GGAGUGGGUCACGGGGAAGAGGAGUUAGGCUGGAAGAGGGAGGCAAGCCGCGCUGCGAGAGCCGCUUUAUUGGCUCUUUCCGUCUCCCUUUCCGUUCUUGCUCCAGAGGCAGGAAUGCUCGGAAGUUGUUGAGGCUCCAAGUAUAGGAUGCACCAUCCGGUGUGAUUUCAGAGGCGGUAGGAGAAUAUGCUGAUCGGGCUAGGCCCAGUUCGCUUUCUUUAAUUAGACUAUCAAGUCAACCUCUGAAAGUACAAAAGCAGAAUCACAUAGAAUUCAGAAGGCGCACUCGCGCGAUGGAGAGAAGAAAAGAAGGUCAGGCUGAAUUAAUUGAGAGUUGCGUGAGGCGCAAUGUUCUAAUGGAUAGUCCGGAGGACUGGAUCUUGUUUUUGAGAUCAUUCUUUUUCAAUAUUCUUUUCACCUUUUUCUUUUUGAGCCGUGCAGGUAGGAAGGAAUAGAGUCAAGGGCUGACCAGCCAAUCCUUAUCUCUUUAGCAUAAGACAAGCUAAGCCGCUUCCAUCCCUUGCUUCCUACCUCUCUUCCAUAGAAAAUGAUAUCCAAUCCCAAUCAAGCACUGGUUACCGAAUUAAUUCCGCCUAAGAAAAGAUCAAUGAACAUCCAUAAAUAAAUAGGAGAGGAGUAAAGAAGAGACCGUGGAGAUCAGAUUAGGCACAUCAUCAUUUCAUGAUAUCUUAAUGAUCUCUUUCAUUCUCUGAAGUAGACAGUCAAUUCUCUAUUUCAAGUAUAAGGGAGGGGAGCUGGGCAAUCCUUGUCAAUAUCAUCACACAUUCUAACUCGCCGCUCUUCCUGAAUAGGAAUAACUACUAAAAGAAAGCCUAUCCUUCUAAAUUCUCAAAUAUGAUGACUCAAUUGCAAUAUUCUUUGCCCCAUCAAAGAAAGGUCCAGGGUCCGGAGUCCGCAGGAUUUAUCCGUAGGACUAUCCAUUAGAUUAGAAGGAGGCGCAAUUCAAUAUGCGACUUUGAACCUUGGUAUUUUUUAGGUGAAGAAGGCCUAUUUUGGCUUAGUCAAAGUUGCUUGGGCUAAGAAUAGGUUUCAUUCUCAAUGAAUUAACUCACAUCACAAAGCAUGAAAGAAAAGACAAACUCAAAUCAUAAUAGAAGAACUCUGAAUAUCGGUAGUUGUGUGGCGAAGAAUGAAGAUCGGAUUCUUUUCUUUUCCUGACUUUCGAAGGCCAGCGCCCAAGAAGCCUUUACUAAGGCUGGUAAAGGUCUGGCAGAGUAGAAAGCGAUGGAUAAGAAGCUGAAAGUCAGACUUUCCAUUUUCUAUCUACACAGUACUAUAACGUAGAAUCAAUACUGAAUUCAGAAGCAAGAUACUGAAAGUGCGAAUUCGAUCUUGAAGUAAAUAAAUAGAGAUUACUUACGAUCUACCCGAUCUGAUCGAAGAAGUGCAACUUCAGCUCCAACAAGAGAAAGGACAGCGAGCUGGAAUUUCUUCCUGAACCCACUAGGACACCCACUACCCCUUGUUCAUUGAGGCGGUCAAUCUGGCCCGGCCGAAUCUGAUCUUUUUUCUUGGGCUGCUCGGGUCCUAUCAAGUUUUUGAUGACGUUCAAACUAGCUUCCAGCAAUAGCUUUGACAUUGUUGAAAGCGCUGAAAAUGAGAGGACUCAAAUUCUUUGACCCUCAGAAGAAAUUGAAGGAAUGAAAGCAUUAACAAAGGCGGACGACCACGCUUAGAGGGUUUGUAUGAUUUUCAUCAAUAUUCCAAUACCGCGUAGUGGGGAUUGAAAAGAUUAUGAGAAAUAUCCGGGGCUGAUCAGCCUUUAUUAGGGGAAUGCACUUUCAGAAGUGCUUUCUUCUGUCUUGAUUAAUGAAAAGAAAGGCGUAGCCGAUCUCCUUUAAAGAGGAGAAUGAGAAAGAUCGAUUGGUAAGAAAGAGAGUAUUAACGCCUUCCUUUAUAUGUCCAUGUCCAGGAAGAAAAGAGAAAUGUUCACACACACAUGGCUUCAAACCCCCCGUAUUAAACAAGCCCAUUUGGCUACGAUCUCGCUCGCAAGAUGAACCGAAAAUCUGAGCAAUAUUCUUUGCACCGUCCGGAGGACUGGCACAAAAGUCAAGAAAAGAAGCUCAUUAACGAGAAUGAAAGAAUCAUUAUGAUUUCAUAACUCGAAUUCAAGAAGAAUUAUGAAUCUGCUAGAUUUCAGAUGAAUCCGCGGAGGGAAAUGCUAGGUUUUGGGCCUAUAAAGUAGCAAGAAAAGACAAAAAAUCAGUCAAAAUUGAUCUAUUUUCGUUAGAUAAGAAAAGUCGAAAAAGUCCUAUUUAGAAGCAAAAAAGCCGGGAAAACGCAAUGAAAGAAGAACUCCUAGGACAGGGAAAAGAAAUGAACAGAGUUUGAUUAUGGUUUCUGGUCCGGAGAAAUACGGGUCUAUUCUUUGAUCCUUCUAAUGGAUAGUCCUCCUUCCCUCCAUAUGGAUGGUCCUACGGAUAAAUCACCUGGACCUUUCUUUGGCCCUGCGGACUCCGGACUCCGGACUACUUCGGUUAAUUACGGAUGGUCCUACGGAUAAAUCCUCCGGACUCCGGAUAAAUCCUGCGGACUGCGGACGUAGGACGUAGGACUUCUUCUUCUUUAAAAAGAAGGGUCCAGGUUUCAUAAGACUCCUUCUACGCGGUCUCGCAAUAUUCUUUGCACCGCACCGUGGGGGAGGGGGAAAGCAAAGAACUAAAAAGAAAGGUCCAGAUGCGCAAUGAAAUAUGCGUGGAGUGCAAGUCAUUCAUUCUAUUAAAGACUUCUGCAGACGUUAGGCUCAAUGCAAUAUGAGUUGCGAAGCGUAAAGUUUGAACCUUGAAUCAUUUAUCAGAUGUGGAAACUCAUCCCAGGAAAUCCAUAAAUCAGCCAAUUUGCCUUGGAAAAGAUAGGGGAAGUAAUUCAGCCACCUGAAACUGCAACUGAAGAAAGAGAAUGAACCGCCUAUCCUUUCAACCUACUGAAGAAAGAGAAAGAUCUGAAUACCUGUCCUAGCCCCCUGAGCCAACUCUGAUCCUCGAGCGGCUUCUAACCUCUAGCAGAAUAUUGCACCUUCUUUUCCUUCUCGGGCCUAUGCUCUAUCCUACUACAUACAAUAAGUCAGAGUCGACUAGGUUCAAAGAAUUUUGAGCUCCGGCCUCUCGUGAGAGAUGGAAUUCCAUGAUAGGCUUUUACCUUGUGAGGCGGUCGUCGAGCUUGCAAUAUCUUUUUCAAAUAGAAGAACUCACUUCUUCGCACCUCUCGACAGCUUAUCGCACCUUCUUUUCUCGUGGCUUUGUUCUCCUUCUUUUCUCGGUAAGAAGCGGGGAUCCCCAUUUCAAGUUCAAGGUAAAGCGGACGAACUCGCCAUGAAAAGAAGUACUCUUUCUUUUCUGACAGAAAGAAGAAAGAAUGGGAAAUAAGUGUCAAUGCUUGUACAAGUAAAUUAAUAAGCUCUUCCCAUGGAAAUCAAGAACAAGAGCGCUUCAACUUCAACCGCCUCAGCUAUAUUAGUUCCAUUAAUCAGUCCUUCGGACCUGUCUUAUUACCUCGUACUCUGGUCGUCUAACCUGCCUCUGGAGCAAGAACUACUCUUUCAGAAAGUAUCGGACCUCCUUCUUUUCUUUUUGCCUCCAUAGAAUAGAAAAAGAGUGAGCCACUACGCGGAAGGAAAGGAAGCAUGCACUAUAAAGUAGGGCGUCUUGGAAUUCGAAGUUGAACCAACGAGGACAAACUACUCUUUCAAAGGAAUCUGGGGUUCGCGGGGCUAGUUACUAGGUAUUCGGGCUUUAAGGGAGUCUAUGAAAAUAGGAACAGCUCUCCCAGGAGCAUCAGUAGUUGCUUUAGUUCUAGCUUCGUUGCUUAGUUUCGUUCCCAAUAGCGAGGCGUAUUUCUUAUUUACUGGUCGGAUAAAAUCCAAAUCCCAGGAAAUUGACUUUUCAGAAAGGCCAUUUGCACAAGCGCAAGAACAGCUGAAGUGGCCUCAUCCGGGAAGCUAGGCCCAAUAUCACCUCCUGCAGACCUCUUCUUUUGUACACAAGCAGAAUCUCCAUACAAGGCCCACUCGCGGAGAAGAAAUUCUUCUUUUUCCUCUUUCCUAGGCUAAGUCCUUAGUUUCGAACUGCAGUUCUAGGGGUUUCACAUCCAUGGUGAAGCGAAUGAGAUAGGCUUAUUGAAAGUGGUUUAUUUCCUUUGAUUGACCGCCCUCUAGAGACCUGUGAUUAGGCUUUGCCUUGGCCUGACGAUCUCAUCUCAUUAAAGAGCAUACCGAUCCUCCACACCUAGGAGUGGGUAUGCGCGGAGGACCUCAACAAAUAGAAGGUUAUGAACACGGGUAAAGUAUGCCCAUUUCUCUUGGUCAGUCACCUCGUCGUAGGGAUCUCGCUCAUUAGGAAAGCAGUUGACUGGACGCUUUCCCGAGCUAAUGUGCGGGAAUUCUUCUAAAUCUAGUUCCGGGGAGAAGGCUAGGCGCAAAGAAUAUUGCGAGGACGGAGGACGGGGGAGCCGAAGGCGGAAAGAAUAUUGCCCAUAUUAACCUGUCAUCUUCUGACUUUCCUUUCCGUAGGUUAUUUUUGUUCAUUCCACGAAAACUUUUGAAUAGCUUUUAAUAUAAUCAAAACCGAAGGCUGAAUUCAUUGAGUUGCCGUAGGUCGUCAAUAGGGGAAGGUCUUGUCUUCUUCUUCUCUUCUUUGAAAUAGUCUUUGUCAUCAUAAAAACCUUACCGUAGCUUCUAAUCUCUCGCACUCCUGUUAAGUCUCUCUUCUUCGAACCCGUAGGCGUAGUAGGAUAGGCUUUCCUUCCGCUCCGCUCCGUAGGUUCGUUCCUUCUCCGCGGUUAGAAUAAGGAAAGAGAGUUGUAGAACGAGAGGGGAAGGGACUAAGCCGCUAUCCUGGAAAGGUUAUCAGUUCCCUAGUUUGGUUAGGAAAGAAAGUGAAAUAUUCUUUGAACCUUCUAGAGUCAGAAAAUGAGUCACUCAACACGGGUUCGGAGCUCCUCAGACUCCAAGUUUUAGUAUGAGAAGAGAGUUCAGAGUUCCAACAAGAGGAGAAAGAGGAAGAAAUUCAAAGUUCAGGGGUCGGGUAUGCAAGCCGCUCCACGGGCCAUUAGUAGUAGAAAGAGCUGCUGCGGCAGAAGAAGUCUCUCGGGUAGCAAGGUUCGUAGGAAUUGUUUAAAUAACUCUUUUUUCUAUAAGAAAGGCGCAAAGAAUAUUGCGAGACCGCGAAAGAAAGAAGAAGAUAUUCUAAGAUAUAAGUAGAUAAGAAAGCCCUUGUUCAUUGACUUCUAUCGAUUCCCGGUAUAUGAGAAGAGUUGGAUAGGCGCAGGUCUCAGUUAAGAGGCCGCUAGCCCUGAGGAAGAAAUACUCGUCCCAGUAGUUGAAGUUGCUGCUUUAGUUGCAGCAGAGAAGUGAGUCUUCAUUCUUUUAGACGAACCGCAAAAGAAAGCGGAAAUCUUCCAGUCCGGAGUCCGCAGUCCGCAGGAUUUAUCCGGAGGACCAUCAAAGAAAGGUCCAGGUGAUUUAUCCGUAGGACCAUCCAUAUGGAGGGAAGCAGUCCGCAGGAUUUAUCCGUAGGACCAUCCGUAAUUAACCGAAGUAGGACUAUCCGUAAUUAACCGAAGUAGUCCGGAGGACUUUCCGUAAUUAACCGAACUUUGCGCCUGUGAAAAGUCAAGAAAAGAAAAGAAGCUCAUUAACGAGAAUUGAAAAGUCAAGAAAAAUGAUUCUUGAAUAACCUUGUUUUGACGGAGUUCAUUCCAUGAUUUUGCUAGGUUUUGGGCGAGACUGGUCCGGAGUCCGGAGGAUUUAUCCGUAGGACCAUCCGUAAUUAACCGAAGUAGCAAGAAAUAGUAGCCACUUUUCAUGAAAAAUCAGUCAUUUUUCGACAAUUUUCGUGAAAUAUCAAGAUGAGAUUUAGUCCUAUUUAGAAGCAAAAAAAAAGCCGGGAAAUAGCAAGGCAUUGUCCUAGGACAGAAAUGACAUGUUCAAACUUUUCUAAUGGAUAGUCCGGAGGACGGAUACUGAGAGGUCUAUUCUGGAUUCCGCUCCGGUUAUGAAAGAAUAAUUAUUCUUGAAUUCGAGUGAAUGAGCUUCUUUUCUUUUCUUUUUUUCUUGACUUUUCACAGGCGCAAAGAAUAUUGCCGCAUCUUUUCAAAUUCAGAGCGGACUAGAAAUCCAUUAUUUUGAUAACUUCUUUAUCAAGCUUAACCUUUGUAAUAGAUUGAAUAGUCCUCCGUCUCUUUGUAUUUGUCGUCCUUUUUCUUUAUCAAGCUUAAGAGCCUCCGCUCUGCUUCUUUGCUCCUACGGAGGCGGAGUGAGACUGAGACUGAAUAGGAGAAAGUUCAGUCCUUGAAUAUGAAAGGAAUAAAAAGGAGCAAUCCGGACGCUUUCUUUUCUAUUCAAGUUAUUCAUAAAGAUACUUCCUUUAUCUUUUUUAUUCCCCCUAGUAGGAUAGUCCGAUCUCUCUUUCUUCCUUUUUUUGAAUCUCUUACCUUGAAGCCUCUUAUGACUUUCAAACCUUUCAUCCGCGUAGUGCUUUCUUUAUUGAAACUGAAAGAGGAGAAAGCCUACACUUGAACUCUUUAUUUUGAGCCUUCCCCAAGCUUUGAAUGUGUCCCAUCUGCGCGCACCCUUCUUUUCAUGGAAAUAAUGGACUUCCGCUUGCCCGGAUGAAGAGAAAGAAGCCUUAUCAUUCCCGAAUGAGGCAUCACACAGCAAAAAGAAGAGGUCUAGCGCCCCACUCCGCGGUCACCAGUGAUGCUUUGAGUUAUUUCACGGGUUUACCCACCGGUAAAGAAAGAAUCAAAAGUCCCCACUUUACGAGUGAAAAUGCACAAUGGACUAGGCCCUGGGCGAGAAGGAAGUUUGGUGAAAGGCUGGAGACUCUACUCUAUUUACGUCUUUUAUCUUUCAUCACAUUGCUUCGUACUUUGGGUUGAAGGACGGAAGUCUUCUCACUUUACACACCCGGAAAUACCAUCCCCCCACUACGCGGAAAGACUCCUCUUCCGUCACGGAGGAUCUUUCUCAUAGUACGGAUGCUAAGAGUUUAAGGAUACUUCCUUACUUAAUCCCUUUAUCUGAGACCAAGGGCUUUCUUCUCCUUCCCCGCUCCGUGGGCUUAGUACUCACCGAAGGAAGAGCAGUUCCGAAGCCUCUUCUGCAAGAGAUGAAACUGCUACGGAUGACUCUCGCUUCUUCUCUCUUGCACUCAAGACUCCUUGGAAGUCCCGCUAUGAUAGUAAUCUUUGUUCUAGUCUUUCUUAAUGAGGGUCAAAGAAUGAUCGAGGCUUUCUCAAAUUCUUUGAGCCCCGACUUCGAUCUAUUUAUUUAUGGAUGUGAAUUGAAAAAUCAAGGUCAUCUGAAACCUUCUUUUUGAUGAGCCUCAGGCGCAAAGAACUAAAAAGAAAGGUCCAGAUGCGCCAUAAGACAGGUCCGAAGGACUCUCCAUCAGGGAGGAUGGAAUAUGAAAGGAUAGGUUGCCAUUGGCCGAGUAUAAAGAUAGGAAAGGUCUUCUCAUCACCCCAUGAAAAUCAAUCGGAAAUCUUCUCUUCUUCAAAUUCUUUGAUCCUUGUUCAUCGCUCAGAUACGGUCGUCAAGGUUGAUUUCAGAAAGAAGGAGUCCUCCUACGGAGCCAUCCCAAUCUCUCUAAUAGAGCGAGAAGGAUUCCACCCUUCCCGGAACCCGGCAAGUUGGUCGGUCGAUAGGUAGAGGAGCUCUCAAUUGGUUAUGAGCGGACGCCCAGUGGGCACCUCAUGCUGUAUGCUACGGCGUCUACCUGUAUCAAGUCAAUAUUCUUUGACCCUCACCUUCUUGGCUCCGGCUCCGUCAACUGCCCCAGCGAGAGAAAGCGGUCCCCUCUCAAUCAUAAAAAGGGAUCAGACUGAUUCGGCUCAUUUUCGAUGAUGGAAAUAAUCAGAUAUUCCAUAUAAGUAGUAAUUCAGAAGUGCUCAAGAUUAUUGAAUAAUAAGAUAUGAAGAAAUGAAAGUGCCUCAUAAGAUCUUUCGACUUUUAUAUAGUCUUUACAAUCAUCAAAAUGGAGUGGGCAGUCGCUUCUCAAUUGAAUCGGAUUUGAAGAUCACUGAAAAAGGCGUGGGAAACCAGGUUCAAAGAAUUUGAGAGAAGGUGAAAGUCCGAGAAAUAAUCAAAGCCCACGGAGCGCUUAUUCUUUCGGAAGAUUUUUUGUCCCUGAAUCUUAUUGAUCCAUAUGGAUAAAGAAGUCACCUGGACUUUGAAAAUAUGAUGAAUAGUCACCUGGAGUGGAGCAUCUCCAUUGGCGAGGACUCUUUGGACGGAGUAAGCCCACGUAGCGGUGCCAUAAGACAGGUCCGAAGGCGGAAUGAAAUAUGCGGGGGAGCCGAAGGACUAUCCAUAUUAACCUGUCAUCUUGAGCCUUAAUUAAUUUGAUUGACACAGUUUGCACGUAAAGAUUUUCAAGGAGUCAAUUAAGAAAUAAAUAAGGCCGACGGCCAGAUCGCACAUACCAAUUACGGAGUGAAAUCCCAGAAAAUGCUAGGUUUUGACAUAGGGAAGUAGUCCUUUCAGGAAAGCCCUUGUUCAUUGAUUGAUUUUAUGACUGAAAUCUGCGAAUGAAAGAAUAAUUCACUCAUUAACGAUAAUGAAAGCAGACUCAAAUUCUUUGAGCCUCUCCUUCUUAUAAGUCAGAGUUGCUUCGCACCAUACGGUCUCGAACCCUCUCCUAUGCCUAAAUUAGUUCACGCAAUAUUCUUUGCGCCUCAAAUUCUUUGAGCCUUGUUCAUUGUCAAUAUUCAUUGAUUUGUGCUAGAUUGAAGAUGAAUCUGCUAGAUUGAAGACGGAGUGAAAUACAUGAUUUUGCAAGGUUUUGCCCAUAGGAAGUAGCAAGAAAUCAUGAAAAAUCAGUCAUUUUCUCUCUAUUUUCGUUAAAUAUCAAUCUUCGAUUUACUAUGAUUUAGAAGCAAAAAAGCCGGGAAAUAGCAAGGCAUUGUCCUAGGACAGAAAUGACAUGUUCAAACUUAUAGUUUCUGGUCCUAAAAUAUAUCCCAGAUACCUGUUAAGCUUAUAGGGAAAAGAAAUGCCAAUAAAAAGACUGAGAGUGUGUGGUCCGGAUAAGAUAAGCGGAUCAGCCUAUCUUCCUUGUCUUCCCUUUUCUUAUCCAUUUCUUUCUUCUCGUUCAGCAUUUUAUGCAUGUUCAUAAACACUGAAAGAAGGGAUGACGCAUCCAUCUGCAACUACUGCUUUUUCUGGGUUUGGAAAAGUGCGGAGCAUAAGAAAAGAUGAGAUCUUGGGAUAAUCAUCCACGUCGUCAGUGGGUAGUUUCUGAAAUACAAGACAAGGUUUUUCAUACUAAGCCAACGGAGAUCCCUUUCGGUCAAAUGACCUUUCUUCCUUAAUCGUUGAUUGAGAGAGGGCGGAAAAUGUCCAUUUUCACAUCACGAACCCCUUGUUCAUUGAGGCGGUGGAGUCCUUAAACCGGGAACAUUCAUAUGGAUAAAAAUCAGUCAGAAGGACGGGGGAUAGGCUUUCAGAUAAGAUAAUAUCAAAUCUUCCACUAGAAGAGUGAAGGAGCUACUUAUUGUCAUAAGAUAAGACGAAGAAAGCCUACGGUAGCUUUAGGAAGAAGAGGGGCCCAGUCACAGAGGAAAAGAAGCAUCGGGUCCUGCUGUCCCUAGCUAGUUGAGUAGUAGAUUAUGUAGGGUAAGAAUAAUCAGUCUGAGGAUAGGUAUGAAUAACCUAGAACUCAGAAUGGCACGGACCGAUACACGCGAGACCAAAAGGAUAGAAGGCCGCCGGACAGAGUGUCAUGGAGAGGCGGGACCCGUAGGAGGACGGCUUACCCCGGAAGCCCAGACGAAUAUAGGCAGGGGCCUUCUCUAAAUCAAAUGAACGGGAAUCUGCAGCUCGCGACCGCUCCGCUUCUUUGCUGAAGUUUCGGAAGGGAUCGACACCGUAUUGGAAUCAAUAGACUUUCUAUAGGUUAGAAGUUAGCGCCCUAAGGCGGCGAGACUGAAGAGGUUCGUUUUCAGACUUCCCUGUGAAAAGCAUAUCCUUUCUGAUCCUUAUCCACCGAUAAAACAGUCUAAUCUUUACAAAACAAGAAUAUCCCUGUCCGGAGUCCGCAGGGCCAAAGAAAGGUCCAGGUGAUUUAUCCGUAGGACCAUCCGUAAUUAACAGAAGUAGGACUAUCCGUAAUUAACCGAAGUCGGACUUUCCGUAAUUAACCGAACCUGGCUAUUUUUUUCCCUUCUAUAUAUUCUUUGCGCCCCUUGUUCAUUGAUUUCAUGCGCUUCGCUUCGCGCCUUCGAAUAUGAAUUCAUCGUCCUUACCCAGCCUCCAGCUUCUUAUUUGACGGAGGACUUGUUUAUCCAUAAAAAAUGAGCCUUUUCUCACUGAAUUUAUGAAAAUGGGUAAAUAACUACUCCACAAAGUAUAAUAAGCAAAAGUCCAAUUACGCUGAUUUUUCUUUCAUUCUUUCAUCUCCUGAGCAAUAUUCUUUGGGCCUUCGUAGCUUAAUAAUGGCCUCAAAAAAAAGACUUCAGGAUAAGGAGGGGAGGCAUAAUAUAAGGAUAAGACGCCAGAGAACCUACCGCCCCGUGGGAAACCCCCACUCCGCGGAAGAAAGCAGGUUCCAUAAGACAGGGAUAUUGUGCUCCGUCCUCCUACGCAGGUUAAUAUGUAAUACUUAGUCGUAGUCUGAAAAUCUUCCGCCUGAAAUUCAUGUUAUAGGGCUUCCGAUAAUAGAAAACCUUCUCCAACCCUAAUAAAUACUGAAUAAGACGAGAGCGUCCUACGUAGCUUAAUAUAAUAAGACCAGUCUGCAAUAAGAAGCCAGAAGACUCCUAAUUUAAUAUGGAUUUCUUAGUCCUCCGUCAAAUAAGAAGCUGGAGGCUGGGUUUCGGUCAACUUUUCGCAUUCGAAUCGUGUGUAAUUUGCUUUCAUCGAUUAUUCUUUUUGUGGUUUGAACGAGUAUAAUGGAAGAAGGAAAGAAGACCUCAUUCGCCCUUUCUUUCCUUUUCUCUUUGGCGGUCAAUAUCAGAUCCUGAGUUUACUUAUCAGCAGCUCAACUUUUUCGACUGAGUUUGUAAGGUCAAGAAUAAGUAGAGAGUUGCGAAAGGGCUAAGGGUCGGCAGACAAGUACCUUCGGUAUUCCCAGUUUCAUCGCUUUCAUCCGUAAAAAAAGAAUAAGCUUGGGAACGAAGAUCCUGCGCGAGACACCAAUCUGCUAUUUCUGCUAUUUAAGAGUUAGAAUCAAGGAGAGUCAAAAGGGAAUGAAUGAGACUAGGCUUUGCCGGGUUGGACCAUCAUCCCUUGAAUCUCGAGAUAAAGAAAGCCACUUACGGAAAGAGUGAAAGAAGGCAUGAAGAUGUUAGCAAUGAGGUUAAACUAAGCCACCGUCAACACCAGGCACUAGGACAAGAACUGAUUAAAGAAGAAGAGCUCCUCAAUUCCAUCCUCGUCAUCUCCUCUUUUGACUUCUGUAGCAUCCUAAACGGGGAGAUCUGCCCUCUCGUCUGCCUACGAUACUGGGAAGGCGUACUGGGAGCCUCUAAGGAGGCGCAUAUAUGGUUCUCGUUCUCGAUCAACGGAGAUUAUUGGAAAUCGAGUUUCAAGCCUUAUUAUGAGCUUACCUAUCUACUUAUCUAGCAACUUUUCCUGCAAGAACGAGAGCUGAAAGAGAAAGAACUCUUUCAACCACAGCGACUGGAACAAGACAAGAGGCCCAACUCAAUCAUCAUAGUUCGCCGCGCGCUUGGUCUCUGCUCCGAUCCCGCCUCGUUCUUGACUCGGCUCUUCCACUUACAGGAAGAAUCCUUCUCCGCGGUUCUGACUUGAUAGAAGGAUAGGCAGAAUUCCUUUAAGUAGGUUCCAAGUCUUCCGAUUCCGAAACAAAGUAGUUUCAACUACAAAAGAAAAAGAAGAGAAAAGAAAGUCUCGGUCAAUGAAGUGGAAUCAUUGAAAAAAGAGAAAAGAAAGAUCCAGCCGGUCCUCUCAAAUUCUUUGAGUCUUCAAAGUCAGAGCUAUCCAAAACGCAAUAUUCUUUGCACCUUCGGAGCUUUAAGAUGAACCGAAACGUAAUGAAACUCAAUCGCAUAUUUCAUUGCGCCUCUCAUCAAUCAAAUUUCAUUGAUCCUAACCUAAAUAAAGGCAAUAUUCUUUGCGCCUAAAGGACCUCUUUGAGCGCUCCCGCUCCGUGGGAAGAAAGAAAGGUCCAGGUGACUAUCCAUUAGAACGUUUAGUGGAAUAAGACUUAAAGUAGGGCGCAGUUGAGGAGUGCUCAGAUUUUCGGUUCAUUUUUCCCACUCCAUAAGACAGGGAUAUUGUAAGGAGGAUCAAAGAAUUAUCUCGGAGUUUUCUACCUUUCCAUAAAGAAGUUCAGGAUCGAGAACGAAGCAUAACAUCCUGAGUCAGCUCGAGUCGGGGAGGAAGCAAUAGCUCGCCCAAAGGAAUAAGGAGUUGCUGUGGUUCUGAAAUCGGCAGGGGAAUGAGAUCUUUCCGUGGAAGAUUUGCUGGAGAAGUUGAUAGACCCGAUUGACCUUCUUUAGUAGUAGGAGUGGUAGGGUCAGAUAGGCUAGUUUCUCGGGAUGCUCUUGAAUGAGAUCUUUCAUUCUCAGUUGCUGCUUCAAGGGAAAGAGAUCUUUCUUCAGUGGCUUCGGAAGUAGAACCCUUAGAUCUCGACGAUACCUCUUGAAAAAAGUUCUUGCAGAAGUUUAGAUCGAUCGGCCUUGUUCAUUGACUUUCCCAAGGCAAAAGGCUUUGAAAAAGAGUCUAUUAACUCUGGAUCGGUACCCGACCGGGAAUUCGAACUCAAAGCAAGAUCAAGACUUUAGGAGAGGCGGAGGAGGCGCAUAUUGCGGAGAGGCAUCCCUUUCUCUCGCUAACCCUAGACCGCGGAGUGGGGUCUUAUUCCUUAUGCAGUUUUACCGGUAACAUUAGGCAGUCUCCGCUCCGAGAAGAGUAUUCAUGAUCCGUUAAGGAAGAAGAAAGAGUAAGCCAGGCCCCGGGCCUAGUUGAAUGAAUCAGAUUUAGGAGGGAUUCACUCUUUACUAGGUUUGAGAAUAGCCCUUGUUCAUUGAGGCGGUCCGCCGCUCAAAAAAGAGAGGUUACCGCUCGACUUAGACUGAAGAGGAUAGGAGAAAAGCAAGAAAAGACGGGGACCCACCCAGAGUCCGCUGGAUGAUUGACCGGAACAAGCGUUGGGACGAAAAGGGGGAGAGGUUAGUGCUAUCGUAAUGGAUAUUGAUCUCUCAUGCUGGUAUUUCCUGAUCUGUCUCGAUAUUCCUUCCGAUCCGGUGUGGACUGGGAAGUGCCGAAGAAGGAGAGAGCUGCUCAGUUCUGAGAUCGGAAGUCCUCUCUCUCCUCUGUCUCAGUACUCCUAUUUGAAAAUUCCCCCUGUAUUCAAGUUAUCCGGAGCAUUGAAUGAGUAUAUCUCUUCCAUAACCUCCUUCUCUGUACUGUAGCAAAGGAGAUAAUAGGGGCGAAUACAACUGAAGUAGGGAACCCCACUCGGGGGAGGAAAGGAAGAAAUAGUAGCUCUCCUCUUUUCAAAAACAAAGAAAGCUAGACCAGGACGAGGAUCAGAAAGUCCCUUGAAUCGCCCAGGAUAUCGGAGCAAGAAUCAGACUUCUCCCUUUCGUCGGUAGGUGAAAAGAAUAUUUCACUCUCUCUCUUUCCCCUUUGAAUAGGACGACUAGCGAACUAACUAAGCGGAUAUAAGAAUAAGGGAGGGGUGCGCGGGGAAUAAGCCAGAGUUAGAGGCAGAUGUCUUCUUCCAUCCGUAAAGGAUCAGUUGAUGAAGCAAGAAGAAAAGAAGAAAGCUAGGGAUAGAGAAAGUGAAAGUACAAAGACCCCAAACAAGGCGCAAAGAAUGAGAAUUUUCCCUAUAAGCUUCACUCUUUGUCUUCUUUCUCCGGAGCGGAAUAAAGAAUAGACCCGUAUUUCUCCGGACCAGAAACUAGAAGUUUGAACAAACUAUGUGAAUUGACAGGCCUAGGCUUGAUUCUUUCAUUGCUAUUUCCCGGCUUUUUUGCUUCUAAAUAGGACUUUUUUGAAGAUUGAUAUUUAACGAAAAUAGAGUGAAAAAGAAGGCAUUUGACUUGAAAAGUUGCGUUCCGUAUAGGCCCAAAACCUAGCAAAAUCAUUGAUUUCCCUCCGUCAAAAAGAGAGUAUGGAACUGCCCAUAUUAAGCAAAGAUGUCUGAAAUCUAGCACAAAGAUGCACAUUUUGCAUUCCCAUUUUGAGCUUCUUUCAUUAUCGUUAAUGAGUUAAUUAUUCUUUCAUUAUCGGUUAAUGAGCUGAUUUUCUUUUCCGCAAUAUUCUUUGCACCUUCGGACGGUCGUCUUGACCCUGAUUUCCAUAUUACUAGAUUCGGAGCAUUUAGCAUUAUGAAAUAAAUCAAGAUAAGACUCUUUCGCUUAGAAUAGGUUCCUUGGCCGGCCGCCUCAAACUAGAACAAAUAAGUAGGGUUACGGAAGUCAAUCGGGGAAGAGUAGGACUCUCACCUCGAACUCUUAUCUUUCGGUGUCCGAGCGGUAUGAAUACGAUUAUUGACUGCUACAUUCUUAAUCUCUUUCGUAAUCAGUCUCUGCCAUUCUCAUCUGAGGGAAGGAUUGGGACCAGAGUGCUUGAAUGAAGAUUUCGGUUUUCUUCCCCGUUUCAGAAGCAAGGUAAAGCGUCACAGGGUUCCAAGAUUCCCUAAUGGAUAGUCCUUCGGACCUGUCUUAUGGCACCGCGGAGUGGUCCGGAGGCGCAAUUCAAUAUGCGACUUUGCGCCUUCCUAUCCAAAAAAGAAGGUUACCCAGUUGAGUAUGAGUAGAGGGACGUCUUUCAGGGAGCAAAAGUACUGAAAUUCAGGAAGUCUAAUGGAUAGGACUGAGGCGCAAUGAAAUAUGCCUUGAAUGAUUGUAAGGAGCUUGAUUUUUCAUUGAGGCGCAAGGCUUAGGCCGAGACUUCGUGUCUUGAGGUUUAAGCCGGCCGACCUCAAGGCUUUCGCCGACUAGUUGCCUUUCUUUCCUUCUCUCACCUAUUCUUCUCAUCCUUCUCUCACGGGUCUUUCGAGUGCUUUCCUUGUCCCUUAUUUCUGUCUGCUUGGUUUUUCUCUUCUCGCAUGGGAGGGGGGGUUGUCUGAUGUCGGGUAGCUUAGAGGACCGAUGGUUGACGUCUUUCAACUCCGAUCGUGCUACUUCUUUUACGAAUGGACCGCCUCUUCUUUUCUUAUGUAUCAUUCCUAUGAUUAGAUCGCCCUAGACUGCUAACAUCUAACCCGGCGGCUUUCUUUCCUUUAAAGUCUUGAGAGGAAAAGGCUCGAUUCAACCCAGCGACUCCACAGGUUAAGCUUGAGAAAGUCCUUACAAGAUCCAGUCAAUUAAUUACAAUAUCCCGCUACGUGGGCCAUAGAUCUUUGCACCCUGUUCAUUUCUUUCUUUUUUUCACGCGGGAAGAGAGUGCGCGCUGGUCUUUAGCCUUCUCCCCUCUUUUAGAUAUUAUGUCCUUAUUUAGAAUAAGAUUCUGACACCAACAUAGAUCAAUUUGAUUCCAAUCCUAUAUUGAUAGAUAGGGCCCCACAGAGAGGUCCUUAAGGAUAUUGUGGGGAGAGGGCUUCCUCUCUUUCUUCUCGCUUCCUCUUCUGGGCCUAACCCUCGGACCACCUAUCCAGAUUCCCCUUUCAGCCGAGACAGCGGAUCCAGAAAGCAAGGUUUGCCUCCUGAGGCCUUCCUUUCAAAAGGAAGAUAAUAGAUGAGGCGCAAUGAAAUAUGCGAGAAUGAAGAUCUCUUUUAUACUUAAGAUCUCAGUCUCCCUCUCUUUCUCUCCCGCUCUUGAUAUUUCUCAUAAUCUUUUCUUUGUCAAUAUUCUUUUCACCUUGUUCAUUGAGGCGGCGGUCGCACCUGCGAAAGUGCAUUAUUUAAGUUGAUAUGAGAAAGAUCUCAUUUCUGAAUAAUAAGAUUUCAUAACUAGUCGAUAAGAAUUUCAUCUUCUCUUUCUUUUCUCGAUCUGGAAAUUCAUAAAUAAGUAGAAAGCGUCAAUUCAAAGAAUCUUUUUUCUCUUUCUCUUUAUUAUAAAUAACCCACCGGUAGGUCUCGCAACCGCUCCGUGGGUUCUCUGACUUAGCGCUCCUACUUGAGUGCCUUCUAUCUCCCGCCUAUGGAUCUCCUUAUGAUAUGAUUCAUCCCCUAGUACGCGCACUAGUCCUCCGAUUUCUACGUCCCGAUCCCGUGGUGGGUCCGGGCUCCUAGGCUGAAAUUCUUUAUCACUAUCUUGGAGAUUCUCAAUCUCUAUUUGAUUCCGAACUCACGGAAGGGAUUAGUCUUUCGCUUCCCUUGCGAAGAUGGGCACAACUUCGCCCCUCCCUCUCUUUCUUAUGUAUGCGGUCUCCCCACUUCGCCCCUAAACAAUGAAAUACCAUACCGCCUAAAAAGAAAGCGGAAAACGCAACUCCGCAGGUCAAAUUCUCUAAUGGAUAGGCCUUCGUUUUUGCUCUCUCCCUACCUUUCAGUUUCUAGUCGGACUCUGACUCUUCAAGGACAGCGUCAACAGCAAGGACGGGGACUGCAACUUCAUCAACUUACCGCGUAGUGGGCCGAUGAAAGGACCUAGCCUAGCCCCCUUCUGCCUUCCCUUAACGGGAUACCGACCGCGUAGUGGGCCUUCCCACCUGAUUCACGAAAGAAGGACCUGGAAUCAAGCACUUCUGAAACCGAUGCGACAAGGGCGUCAACACCAGGGACGCCACGCAACUGAUCUGAGACUUCUUUCUUUCACUUCCCUGCCAAUCGAAGGGAUCCUCAUUCAUUCUCUAAGGCGGUUCUUGAGUCGUAUGCCUCUGUCUCUUGAUCGGAAACUUUCCAUGGGUCAAAGCGCCCAUCCAAGCUAAGGGAGAGGUGAAAAGAAGAUUUUUCUCUUGUUGGAUAGGCGAACCACCUACUAGUCAGAUUCAAGCCUACCGUAGGAGGAAAGGAAAGGCAUCAAGAAUAUCCCUGUCUUAUGGCACCUGACUGAACUUUCUCCUAUGAAAGAGAGUUUCUACAGUCACUGAAAGAAGCAACUGAAAGAAAGAACCGACUCUCACGGACCCAAGAAUCCUUCGUGCGCUCUUGGGCGGCCUCUUAUUAAGCUCUUCCUUCCUCAACGCGGGUGGGUUCUUCUACUACUUCUGCAUUCAUUCCUCAACACAGGUAAGUAACUUCGAUCCCUUCUUGCUGCUCCGCCGCGCCUAUGGGAAAUUCUCUCUUGGUCGAGCUGGAUGGUGCUUUGUUCUCGCUGCUAGGUUCUAGCAGCUCUUUCUUCUGCCUCUUCUUGAGUAUUUGUACAAAACGGAUGUGUUAAGAAAAUGCACACACUUAUAUGGAUAUAAAGAAGUCCCGCUAUUUAAUUGAAAGUUCCCUUCUAUAUAUUCUUUGCGCCCCUUGUUCAUUGAUUUCAUGCGCUUCUCAACUCAUAUUAGAUCUCGCCUCUCCCUAUGUAUGGUCGUCCGGUUUAGAGUCCUUCGGACGGAGUGCAAGGAUGAUGAAAGAAGAUUAAGACUUCGUACUUCUUCCCUUGUUUCAUGAGACUGGGACUCAUCCGUCUCUUCUUCCUCCCCCUCAACCGAGACUUCCCACUCACUUCAAGAUCUCAUUCUCACUCUUCUAAAGAAAAGAAAUAGAAAAGCCUACAUCUCGCCUAUGGAAAGGGUCGUAUUCAGACCUAUCCUUGCUGAGGCAGCUGAGCUCAUAAGCCGAUUCUGACUUUUGAUGUGAGACAGCUACUCAUGAAAGAAGACUGAUAACCGCCUCCCUGAACAAGGUGAAAAGAAGAUUGAAUCCGUGGGUUUGGAAGAAUUGAAUUUGGUCUUCCCUUUCUUAAGAGAGAAUGAAUAGUUCGUCCUACCGCGGAGUGGGGGGCCCAUUCAACUGAGACUUCUGCCGAUGAGGCUUUUUCAACUUCCACAGAGAAUGCUACCUUGUAAAUACCCUUCCACGAGACAAGGUGGAGAUUCCAGUCGUCGAGCCAUUUCUUCUUGCAACUGGAAGAACCUCUCAUGACUCUCUCUCUUUCAUACUCUUUCUCAUUCCACUGCUGCCCUAGCCCCGUCAAUGAACAAGGGUGGGGGCUAGUUCUAAGGGGAAAGCUUCUCCUGUCAACUCGGGAUAGACCCACAAACACAAAAGAGAAAAAAGAAUUACCAGACGGUGUCCAUUUUCACAUGAAAAGGAGAUUCGGCAUUCGGAAUUAGAUGCAUUGGCAGUCGAGCUGAAAUCUUCUUUGAACCUAGCCUUUCCAGUCAGAGAAUAAGACCUCUGUAGCAUCCGCAACUGAUCAUACUCAUUCCACUUAUGAAGACUGAUGACUAUAGUCAAUGCCCACUACGCGGGGAAAGGGGUGUCCGAUCCGGCCCUAUAUAAGAGGCUCCUAAAGGAGGAGCAACUGCGCUCUUCCCAGAAGGGAAGGAGACUGGACGAGAUAGACGCAGAGCUUCUUAUUGGGCUACCGGAGGAGCACGGCCACUACGGAGGAUGAUUCGUCAUCCUCAGAUUUCAGACGAUUCCCGCAUUUAUCAGACUAAGAGGUCAAGCCUCUACCGAUGCCAUUCCCGGGCAAAAGCUUGCUCGCCUAUAUUCCCCUUUCCCCGGUGGUUAACUUACCAUAAAAGGAUUAGUUGCUUAACUUACUCUUUUCCCUCGUAAAUCCGGAAACUCUCCUGCCGGCGAUUACGUGCUUCGGUUCUCUCCGAUCCGACCCCUUGGCGGGGAAUAGCCGGUCCGACCCGACCCGAAAGUCUAAGGUUUUCCUCCGUCUCAAUCCCCCGUCACCUGUCCGGAGGAUUUAUCCGUAGGACUAUCCAUUAGAAGCAGGAUUUAUCCGUAGUCCGGACCCUGGACCUUUCUUUGGCACUAGCAAAAUCAUGUAUUUCACUCAAGGUUAUGAAAUCAUAAUUCUUCUUUCAUUAUCGUUAAUGAGCUUCUUUUCUUUUUCUUUUUUAGUUCACUUCCACGCAAUAUUCUUUGCUCCUCAAAUUCAAAGAGCCGGAGGCUCCCUCCUUUGGAGUAGUCCUUUAUCAAGCUUAACCUGUGGUCUAAUCAAUUUCUUAAGAAUCUUUGCUCCUCAAAAGAAAGAAUGUCCAUCUGAGUCAGAAACCGCAUCUUUGCAACCUUUGGGAUCAUGACUCCCAGGCAAUAUCAAUAUUCUGCUUUCUUCCUUUCACAAGGGGGUCCGCUAUCAAGUCAGAACCUUUCACUUUCCGAUUUCAAUGAAGAAUUCAAUCUUCUUCUUUUUUCCUAUUGAUCUCGUAUUCAUACUUCUAGGGGAAGAAGGAGCUAGCUACUAAUCCGACCAGCCGCACCCAAGGCAUCCUCCUAACUCAGACUUGAAGAAAGUAUUCGUCACACCGCUCGGCAUCGCUUCGCGCUUCCAAAGAAAAUGGACUAGAAUAUGGACUAUAAUACAGGGCGCGGGGGGAUUGAAUAAAGGGAUUUUCAGAAGGGGAAGUGGGAACCCCAUAUCCUCUACCCGACCCGAAUGCUUGGACUCCCACGUAGCGGUCAAAACUUCCAUUUUUGGAUGAGAAGGCUGGAUGAAAUUCAGUCGAGUGAGGCUGAAUUCAUAUUCGAAAGGACUGCCCUUUUUCUCUUUUAUCAAGACUACUUUAUCCUAUGCGGCUCGAAGCCCACGGAGCGGGAAGAAGCAUAAGAAGUCAUCCGCGGUCAAAAGUCGAAAAGGAGAAUUACCGCGUAGUGGGUGAGUCAACUUCUCUAGAAGACUCGCACCGCGGGAAAAUGAGUGAUCCUUUGCUUGAUCUUUCUCAGAAUGAACUUCAGACGAGAGGUGAAAACGAAAGUCAAGGACUUAGCGAAGAACUCCUGUCCUCGAGAAGAGGAUAAAAAAGGGUAAAGACUACCCCACAGAGGGGUAGGGUCCGGCCACCAUUUCCGGAGAAUUAGUGGAUUGGUAAAUCCCUUUACGAGCCCCAAAUGUGAACAUGGCUUCGGCAGUCCUUAGUCUUUCGGAAGAGAAAGAAGGCUAGGGAAGAUCUCUUUAGUUGGAUUGAGUGAGGGAAGAGGAAUAGGUUGAUCAGAAAAUGAAGUUCUUUAAGCCCCUGCCCUGGCUUUUUUUUUCUCUUGCUUGCAUUAUAGAUCGAUCGGUAUUCCCACUCCAUCCACCCAUCUCCUUUCUUAGACUUCUACUUUCAGGAUUCGGAGGGAAUGAAAAGAUUCUCCUCCGUAGCCCUUUCCAGUAGUGCCCCGAGAAGCCGGUCACCGGUAGGCUAAGAACUCUACGAGUUGAAAGACUUUCAUGCCACCGGAUGAUUUAGUGUGCAAAUGGGUUCAAGAAAACUCUUUCACUGAAAUUGGGGGCCCAGUAUACCGCGGAGUGGGAUUCAUUCGAAAGAAGGAAGGGUACGACCUGGUGGGGAGUGGGACGGAGCUCAUCUCCUUUAGUUGGGUCCGCUGGAAAGGUUGCAGUUGCUUUUCUUCUUUCAGUGGCAGGAGCAGGAUGAGCGGAGAAAAGAAUGAACUCAUGAAGAGAAGAGAGAAAGCCGAUCCACUAUCGGGUCUUUUCAUUCCUAUGCAUUCAGAUAGAAAGAACCCUUGAUCUUUCCGACUAGUCUUCUUCAGAAAUGGAAUCCGCCCUUUAUUAGUGAGAAUGCAGAAAAUCCAAGGGCCCACUUGCGCUCCCUCGCUCGAUAGGCUUUCGCUCCGUCUUCCUCUGUAUCAGAUCUCUCUCUUAAGAUAUAAAUAAGUCUAAGGCUAAGAAUAAGUUCUCUUAAUCUCGCUCCGCGGUCAAAGAAAAUUGAGAAAAAUCAUAAGUUCAGACUUCGGAAGAUCUUCAUCUCUUUCGAAAAGCCAGGGCAAGCCCUGGGUCUGGCAGAGUAUCAACCGAUGGUUAAGAAGGUUAGACUUUCCAUGAACUAUCUACACCCGUCACCUGGACCAUAUGAAUUAGGCGAAGGACUGAUUUAUCAAGCUGAACUUUUGAUUCUAAUUCUCGGUUUUCAGUAGAAAGUUUGAAUUCUAAUAUUCAGUAAUUGCUUUUAGUCAUGAACGAGGCUCCAUAAGACAGGGAUAUUGUAAGGUGCGAGGAUACCUUACUUAAUUAAGAGAAAGAGGAUGAAGUACAGGAAGACUGAUGACUUCUUCUUUCAUCCUGAUCCUUUUUCGGUAGCAGGAAUUCUUAUCAGUUAUCUUUCCUCAGUCACUGUAAUGGGACUAGCCCACUCAUCCUAGUACUCAUCUGAUGAUGGAAUUUCCGAUUCGGAGUUCUAUUUUGAUUCCGGAUUAGGAUGAAGAAGGUUGUCUUUCGCGGACCUUAUAUCUCUUCUGUCGUACGUUAUCGUUCUCAGCGCUUCCUCUUCCUCUUUUAGUCGAGCCACGCUAGACCUUCCCUUUCUUUUCUCUUUCCACUUCUAAUCCUGAAUAUCUUCCUUAUCAAUGAUCUUUGCUCCUCCUUCUAGGAAAACUAUGGAAGUAAAGAUAUGGAGUUCUUUUUAUAUAUAGAAGUUUAGAUCACCAAAGGGAAGCAUGCAAAGUCAAACUAUUAUUUUGAACUUCAAGAAGAAUGAGAAGUCGAGAAAGAUCUAAUACUCACUUCCCAGUCGGUUCUCAUAUGAAUUCAGCCUUUUCUUAUGUGAUUUUCCCGGUAAGAGAAAGAGGAAGCCAUUAGUGACCAACUGCCAUUGAAUGAAUCAGAUUUCGGGUUCCGUAGCUGCUGAUAUAUAUGGAGGCAGUGGCUCUUCUUCCAGUUGGACGCGCUAUCACUCAGAAUUAGUACGGUCUUGAAAUCGAGGAUCUUGAACGAGAAGAUAAAGAGACCGAUCUCCAUCAUACCCGGUGGCUCGUGGCUCAGUUCUUUCUUCCAUUAAGAAAGGGAAUUACCAGUGGAAAGUACUCGGUCUUCAUCUGUUGAUACAGACAUAAUAUCUCAGAAUUCCUUGAAUUAUCUCUUUUGAUUAUCCGUUGAGGCAGAAGCAAGAAAGAAAGAGUCAUGAGAAGGAGCUGAGUCAAGUUAAGUCGGAGCAGCUAUCCCUAGAAGCAAGGUAACUGAAAGAAAAAGCGAGAUCAAUCGUCGUUCCGGAUCGAAAGAGAAAGAUCCAGCUUUCAUAGUGGCUCGACUUUCUAUUAAGUAAGAGAAAGCGCCUAGGUUAUGAGAAUAAGCGUCAGACAGAGUCCGCUAGAUCCGUGGAAGAAGGCAGAGCGGGAUCGAUCCGAGAGGAGAAAGGAAAGAGUGAGUUUACGAACGAGAGGAAGCGAGUCUCAUUCAGAAGAGGAGGUACCAGCCCUUUCCUUUCCAUUUCAGAAGAGGUCGUAUUCAUUCUAUCUAAUAGUGGAAAAAAUACAAGAAAAGAAGAGUGGAAUUAUAACAUAAGAGGCUCAAAGAAUUUGAGAAAGAGGUUAAAGACAUAAUAUCUCAAGAGGAAAGCCACUAAACCUAAAAAUAAUACGGAAAGCCUAGCCUUCUCCGCCGCAAGAAUGAAAUGGAAUAAAUCAGUCCAAGAAAUUCAAAGUGGAAGGCUGAAUAGGGAAUAGGGGAGGACUAGUUUGAAAGAAAGGAUAUAAGAGGAAGGAAUUGAAUUUUGAUGCAAAACAAAAGAAAAGGAGUGUUAACAAAAAAAGCCUUACUAGAGAGAAAGCCUUCUAAUGGAUAGGACUCCGGACUGGAAGAUUUCCGCUUGAUUUUAAGGUUUAGGAGAGGCUGAAUGAAUUGAGUGAAAGAUUAUACAUUUUUAGCUUCUUAAUCAGUUCAUUAACGAGAAUUCAAGAAUAAUUCAGAUUUCAUAACCUUGUUUUUACGGAGGGAAAUACAUGAUUUUGCUAGGUUUUGGGCCUAUAAAGUAGCAAGAAAUCAAGUAAAAUGCCUUCUUUUUUCUCUAUUUUCGUUAGAUAAGAAAAGUCGAAAAAGUCCUAUUUAGAAGCAAAAAAGCCGGGAAAUAGCAAGGCAUUGUCCUAUUUGAUUUUCGAAAUUCACAUAGUUUGUGAAAACUUCUAGUUUCUGGUCCGGAGAAAUACGGGUCUAUUCUUUAUUUCACUCCGUCUGCAAUCUCAAAAUCAAUGAAGGAGUACAAUGAACAUCAUAAUGAUUCUUGAAUUCGAGUUAAUGAGUGAAUUAUUCUUUUCUUUUCUUGACUUUUCCGCCAUAAGACAGGUCCUCCGGACGGUGCAAAGAAUAUUGCUCAGAUUUUCGGUUCUCAAAUUUCAUUGAUCCAUUAGAAUGUUCGCAGCUUAAUAUGUGGGAAGGAGGAGUCUUAUUCCUUGCCAAAGGGAAAGGGAUUCGAAAUCUCAAUCUGUAUUUAUUUCAAGUGGUUUUGUUUUCAUAUAUGGGCGAUCGAGUUUACCUUUUACUGGGUCAUUAAUGCAUCAAUGGAGUCAAUUCUUUCUUCUGUUUUUUUAGAAGUAGGUCGGCCUUGAUGUAUAUAUAGAAUACUUCAGUUCCCACCUCCGUGUGUAUUGCGUCUUUGCUUCAAUCCGGGUCAACGAAGUCAACUUCCUUUCCUUACCUUAAGCCGAAGGAACCCGUACCUUUGCCGCUGGUGCUACUUCAAUGGAUUAUGGGUAAAUGUUAACGUUAGUCUCUAAAAUAAUAGGAAGGGCUUCCGGGAUUAUUCAGUUCUAAGGGGAUCUGCCUUUGCUUGUGUCUCCACCUGUGCCCGCCUAAAAAAUAAGCUUGAGAAAUGAUGGGUCGGUUGUGGGAGGUAGGGAUCCGUCCCACGUAGCGGUUGGAAUGCCGCGAAUUUUGUGGUACCUCUAGGGCUGGCUGCUCUCGACCCGAGAGGUAAACGAAUGCUCUGCGAAUUGCUAUCUAAACCCUAGUAAGUUCCUGCUGCCUUUCUUUACCUGCUGAUAGGUUCUCAACGGAGACUAGUCCUUUUGCUCUUGUCUCUGCCACAGCUGCCUCUGCUGGUUCGUUUGGAUGCUCCAACGUCUGCUUCAACCGGCGUAUACAAGAUCAAUUGAAAUUGAAAAAGACUGAAAAUGGAAUUUCAAUUGCCGAAACCCCAUGCCAAGAUUUCAUUCAAGGCCGUCCAGCGAAUGCUCGUUCUGUUGUCAUACAGAAUCGGAAGCCCCUUCUCGAUCUCAUAAGGCUGAUCCGUCGGAAAGAAGACAGAACGAACUGGAUCGGAGAAAGAAAAUCGAAAUCGUCAAAUAUUAGAAUAGCGAAUAGUUCUUACAAUAUCCCUGUCUUAUGGAGCCUAACGGAGAGGUCCAGAUGAAAAAUAGCAUUUUACAGUGAUUUCAAAUCCAGAGGUUUCCCGUACUCGAAAAUCUCUUCCCUCUUUCGGGGUUACCUACUUGAGGGCUUAUAAAUGGCUUUGGCACAAAGAACCUCUCCAACGAGAGAGAUAAUAAUCUUCAUCUUUUGUAAAAGAAAGAAUCAAGUCCACCGGGAGACAUUCAUACAUAAACCGCUCUACCGUAGUUGUUCUUGGCCGCCCCAUUGUUGUGUAGUUUAGUUGAAUUUGACAUCUGCUACGACCCGCUUGUUCAAUUAUUGAUAUCUCUCAACCUGUCGCUGAAGUCACCCAUGCGCUCGAACGACCUUUAAUGGAAUGGGUACUCGAGACCGCCUCACCCUAAACAGACACUGGUGGAAUCAACCCUAAGGCACCCCUUUACUGAUUGGUCGAAGAUCGGUGACUGCAAGAAAAGGGCCUAGCUAAGGCGCCAACUAUUUAGUCAUAUUCAUGCCCUUCUCCCAAGAGUGGAAGAAAAGGCUACCGACUUGGCCUACUUUGACUACGCUAUUCUUCCCAUUUCGAAAGAAGCAGAAGGGGAACCCCUAGAACCUGGCAAAGUCGACAACAGAUUCAAUAGCUGGGGUGGGGAUCUUGCUAAGAAUUCAACUCCUAACCAACAAUCAUAUAACCGGGGAUCCUCUCCUCCCUUCUGGCCAUUGAAAGCAUGAACAUUGUUCUUAGGAUUCGUUCAAAAAAAAGAGCAUUUCCCUAAUCUAAUGCCAUGCCCUGAGUCCUAAUCUCCUAAUGCCCGUACUCCAAGAGCUAAAUGGCAUCGCAAUAUUCUUUGCGCCUUGCUUUCGAAAUCUUCUGAUCGCCAUUCUCUUCUUUACAGUCGAGCGUCUGAGAACCUUGCUAUUCCGAGCCUUAGGUCAAUCCCUUCUUGAGCAACCGAUGAAAUACCAGCUUCUUCGAGAACAGUAAGAAGAGUAAGAGCUGAUUAGUUAGCUGCCAAAGGACUCUUCCUCGUCAAUUACAUUGCCUUCUGUAAGAGCUAUUGAUCAUGUCUGCUAGUCUUCUGUUUACAGGAAAGGAAGUUGAAAGAGGCAUGGUACGAGAGGAAAGCCUCACGGCCAAUUCAGCUAAGUGUCAAAGACCGUUGACAGCUACUGCUAGUCGCAAACCUUCUCUUCUGAAAGAACCUAUUUGCCCACUGACUUUCAGCUCUGUAAAAGAAGCCCUUCCCCUAUUGAGUGCCACUUCGAUAAUUCUUUGAUCCUCUUCCUAUUCAUGCAAGAACAGCACAUUCUAUGCCAUCUUCCUUAUAUUCUUAACCGCAGACAAGGCCUGUAAUUCAUCUGCUGCCCAGACCAGCUACUCCUGUAAGCAAGGUUCGCAAGAUAGUUUGUCCUGUCCAUCCUUUUCUACAUCUAUCGCUGAACCAACUGACAAGAUAGGCCGGCUGGAAAAGUUCCCCAAGGCCCGCCCCCUGAGUGAUCAGCUAAGUCAAACUCCAAGAUCUUUGGAGCUAACAGCCGUACUAGGAACCCUAUCUGACUGAAAUGUAUAUAUAUAACGUUUCGUUCGUGCACCUUUUGAAUUCAAGGUAUAGCUCAAUCUAAUUGAAAGAACCCUUACCGCUCCGUGGGGGUCUCGCUCAAUAACAUUUCAGAUUUCUUUAAGGGAAAGCGAAAUGAGAUUGAACCCACCCGCAAUGAAGGUAUCGCAAAAUCAGAAAUUCAAGAUCGGCUCUCUUACAUUGAGUGAAACCCAGUGACGCGGGAUCGGCUCGAUGUCCUUGAGUCUUGACCUUUCAUUCAUCUUCUUCUCUUAUCAAAUUUCUCAAAUUUCUCUCGUCUUUGCACCUCUCUCCAAAUUUGUCUGUGCAAUCAGAAAACCCACUUGGCUCAAUAACCGGAGAUGAAAUAGUGAGGGUUAGGUUUAUUAGCUAAAAUGAAGAAAAUGCAUAUGGCUGGCAUCAACUUUUUGAUGAAAAUCAGUCAUUGGCAGAAAUAGCUAUUUUAGUCAUUUUAUAACAAAAAAGACGGGGUUUCUGUCAACUGAUCGAGGUAGAUAAAGACAGGUUUCCAUUUGCUUAACACAUUUCAUUCUCUUCUUCGGUUUGUGGUAAAGCUCUUUCUUUUUAUCGGUCAAUUCUUCCCUCUUCUUUUCAAUUUCAACUCCGAUCCCGAUCCCGAAAGGUCAAGCUGCAAAGCCCCUUUCCGCUGUCGCUGCGCUCCUUGACUUAACCUUUUUUCUUUCACCUCGUAACUGGGUUGAACCUCAGUCAAUUACAUCGACCCUCUCCUUGACUUAAGCUGCUGCAACGGCCAUCAACGGCAACAAGUGGCGUCAUCGGAUGAAGACUUCUGCUUUAGGUGAUUCGGGAGCGGAUGCGUCUCUAUCUUUGGAUUCUGAGUCGGAUACUUCCUUCAUAUGAAGCUACUUCCCCGGUCUUUGCGUAUGCGUCUGUCGAUCCGUCUUCGGAUUCGGCUUGGAUCUUAGACUUCUCUUUCUCUAGUGGCAGCUGCUUCUUCAGAUUAGAAUCGGAUUAUUCUUCUUCUCUUCAAGAGUUGAAGUUGAACAGGCGCACUCACUGAAGGAAGCCUUCCGACCCGGAAGAGGCCUAUGGAGCUGGUUCGGAUUGGGAAAGAGCGGGCACCGAUCCUCUCUUUUAACCCUCGAAAGAGCGAUUGCCGGGAAUAGCAGGACAAAGACUCUCUUUUUCAUAUCUUGUUCAAUGGUCUUCGGCCUCCAACUAUCUUUCUUUCUUUAGCUAAGGACAAGCCAAGCUAGAAGUUAGAAUCGAAUUGAAUAAAGUAAUGGUCGAGAUCGAUAUCGCCGGGCUAGUGCGGCUCGAGGAGAAGAUAGGCAGCUCGACUCCUCGAGGAAAGGGCUAAAAAGGCUUGACUGAAAGGGAAAGGGGUAGGGGUUGGAAAAUGGGAUUCUGGUGAAAGCGCUAGAAAGAGGAAAUCAAGGAUUGUCCACCAUCAAGUAUCUAGUUGCAGGGGGGGGAGUUUCACCGACUAGUAUAUAUUCUGAGAAUUCUGGUCGAAGAAAGAGCCAAGCCGUUAUUAGUGGCUUCAAAACGGGAUAUCGCUGCUUCAAAGGAAGGCAAGGCAGACCGAACUACAAGAGCAUUUGGCAACUAUCGCUAGAAAGAAGAAGGCAAAGUCAAAAGGUCAGUUACUCGACUCGCUACAAGAGCUCCACCAACUAAACUAGCAUGUAAUGUUGCCGGGAGGCCUGAAAAAAGAAAGCGCUUUUUUCUUUGGGUGGCACAGCAUGGGAUUGCCUUAGUUGAGUCUCUCGGACGGGAAGAAAGGGAUUCCGUUCCAUUUCCUUUUUUAAGGAAAAGAGGCCGUAGCCCGAUCUCAACUGGUUACCAGACGCGUGACUGAGUUCUCGGUUUUGGCAGUUCUGGGCAUUGGUUCACGACUGCGCUUUCCAAGGUAGUUCAGAAGGGCACCCGCGCAUUCUUUUCAUUCAACUGGGCCUCGUGAAUGGGAGCUUAUCUCAUUCCUCCAAGUCUUGGCGCGACUCAGCUCCCACAUCCCAGGCGUGUUUUUGACCCCAUUCUCGCCGUUCUCAGGCAACCCCGCUCACCAGAACGAGUUAUAGGCCUCGGACUUUAGCAAAGGAAGCUAAAGUGAGUAAGAGAUGCUAUUCUUAUAACUUCUAAAAGGAUUCCUUGUCUUCGACCUCCCCUCUGAAAAAGCGUUCUCAAAUUCUUUGAUCCUUUCUUUCCCAUCCCAAUAGCUUGAAGUGGAAGCAUGAUAGCCGAUGUGCUCAAAGAAAGAGAGAAAUAUUCUUUCAUAAUAGAUCCGUGAUCGGUAUCAACAAAAAGAGUCUCACAUGCAUCUCUUUAUUCACUAGUCUUCCUAGCCAAGAGAGACCUCGAGAUAUUCCAUACAUACGGAAAGCAUGCCGCGUAGUGGAGCAAUUGCUUAGCUCGUCAGGCUCAAGACCCCCACGUAGCGGUUAGAGGUGGAAAUCCUGUCUCCGCAACAUCCUUCUAUUUGUCUCACAUUCAUCAACCCUUGUGGGGAGAGACGAGGUUCUCCUAACAAUGGACCUCGUCUCAACGAGUUCUUUCUUGAAGGGAAGCAGUACUUAAGCAAGAGGGGUCUCACGGUGGAUCGGAGAAGAUACUCCCUUGUAUUCUUAUUCUUAGUCGAAGCUAUGCAUGAGUGGAUCUCUUCUCUUGAUGAGGAAGCAAAGAAGCAGAGCGGUAUAAGCAAUUCCUCUUCUUAAUAGACCGAGAUAAAAGAGGUUUCAUUCCACUAGAUUGAAUGCAUCCUUCAUCUUCAUAGACCUUACCGCUACGUGGGGGGAAAGAAAGAGAGAAUGAAGGUGAAAUUCAAUUCACCUUUGUGCCUUAAAUUAAAUAGCAUACACAGGAAUGAAACCCGUUGAUUGCUCCGACAGCAUAUGUAUCCAUAGCCUGGCAGGCGCACACAUGGGAAGACUGGAAUUAGCCGAUGAUCUGACCUGAUGGAAUAUUAGAGUGGAACCUACCUCCUCAUCUUAGGAGUGGGCAUACCGCGCGAGAGGGCAAUAGCGAAGGGAGCGGCGUACCAAGACAAGAAAAAGAAAAAGCACAAGAUGGAUAAGCUUGCCUCAAACUGCCAUUAGUGUACUAUAUAGAUAGACGGCUAGGGGUCAUUGAACCCACCAUAGACAACUUUCCUGUCCCGUAAUCCGACAGAAAGAAUAUCUACUAAUGGAAAUUGUGCGCUCUGUCCUUCUUUCUUUUAUGGGGUGGUUUAUCUGAGGCCGACUUCUGAGUUAUUCAGGGAAAAGCAGCGAGACCGUUUUGAAGCUUUACGAGGUUAUCAUACGACUUCCCACGGAGUGGUCUGAAUAUCUGAUACUUAGUUUGGGCUUCCUUUUCUCAAUCGUCCAUUCGUCAAUCUCUAGUGGGGACGCCUCCCUCUAAGAAUUCUUUGAUCGCUAAGUCGACCAAUUCCUCUACUCGGACUAGACCGAAGCAGCGGAUUCGCUACCUAAAUUUAAGGCGGAAGACGUAGCCUGGUUCAUAAUUUUUGAUUGAUACUAGAAUUUCAUUGUGUAUACAGUAAAUAAAGGAAUAAGAGGUUCGAACUCAACUUUCUAGUUGGCACAGCUCCCAUCGCUUGAACUUCAAGUUCAACUUCCUUCCUUUUUCGGUAUGAGGGCUCAGUCAGACUUGGGCAUGAGAAGAGUGUCAGCCAAGUUCGUUGGCAUUACAUGCCUUAGCGCAGGAAGAGAUGCCUUGCCCUGCGUGGUCUUCCUUUAUUCAUGCGGCGGAAGCUAGCGACAAAAGAUAAGGCCAGCACAGUAGAUGUCUGGACGGGCGUCAAAGAGACUUAGUCAAGGAUUCUCCCAGGUUGGGGCGCUCGCUAUGCGGACGGAUGCUGAGCCUGAAUUUCCUCUCCAGCCUGAUCCAGAGUCAUCUGUCUCAGUUGAGUUCAUUGUUCAGACCGCCUGAAUCUCAUUUCAAAUUCUUCCUCUCAAGUAAGAAAUUCUCUCCACUUCCACGCUUAGACGAUAGGCUACUGCUUAGCCGCUUUUUUGCUCUACUCGCAGGACUUUUUCUUGCCUCCUCACCUUGGAAAUGAGUCCACAUCUGCUAGCAGUUUUCGAAAAUUCUGAUGAAAGAAUAUGGGACUGCUCUCUUACAUGUCCACCAAGCGCGCCAAGCUAAGAAGAAAAUCAUACCCACGGCAAAUCCAUGAAAAGGAUUCUGCACUCCCUCGCGUAGUAGGAUAGGCUUUCUUCCCCUAUCUCUUCUUAUGGCGGCUUUCCCACGGGGCGGUAGGUUCAGAUAUAAGAAGAUAUAAGGAAUAAUCAAGCUCUUCUUCUUCUUUCUUCUCUUUUUUAUUUACUUAGCCAUUCUUUGAUUUGAAUUGAGUUCUCGUAUUAGUAUUAUCUUUGAAGGAGAGAUGGAAGGAGACCUACGGGCCGGAUUUACCGCGUAGUGGGUUAGUAGGGCUCAAGGGAAUUCUCUUGAAACUAGGCUCGGAGAGGAGAAAGCCUACCCUCCAAAUGAAUAGACGAAAGAAGAAAAGGAAAGCGAUGAAUAAGAAAGAAAAUGGAGUGAAAGGAUCCGGAUCAUUCUUCUUCCUCCUCCCCUCCUGAAAGGGAUGAGUUCGGGCCGCCACCAGGCCUUGAUUCUGGCUUAUGAGCUCGGCUUGCCUCCCGUCGAUCGUAGAUAAGGUGAUCGGACUCCGUGAUGAAUCCUUCCACUCGUGAACUCGGGAAAGCCUAUCAACCAAGUCAUCAAGAUCAAGCCUAGCCUGAAUGAACAAAGGUUCCAGGGAAAGCCAUUACACUCCUAAACAAACCUCUGACUUGGGAGACUCCUAAACCUCGUCUGCUCGGGAAAGGGCUUCCUUUCUUCUUCUUUUCUUCUAUGAAUCAAAUACCUUCCCAUUCAAAUAGUGAGAUGAUAGUAAUCCAACUCCAACUCUUGAGAUAAUUCUUUGAUCCUUUACUUUCUCUUACAAGAGCUAAAACUCUCCCGUAGGUCUGCACUUGCACUCCUCUCUCUCGACUGAUAUAACUCCUUACUCUUCCCCUUCUACUAAUCAGAUAGUUCAAUCAUAAUUCAGUAAAGAUGCGAAUGAAAUAAGAAGAGAUAAUCAGAUUUCAGGGGUUUAUCCUUCUCUUUCAGUGUCUCAUGAAAGAAUUCCGAAAAGAAAUUCCUCUUUAGAUAUUAUGAUAUAUCUUUUUCUGGAGUCCGGAUUGCUCCUGCGUCUUUCUUUACCUUUCAUCCUUAAGUUUCUCUGACUUGAAGUAGGUUUAGGAGUGAAAGGCCUUUCUAUUUGCGUGACGUAGAUCGAUAGUGAAUUAACGACUUAUCAAGAAGAGCGGACUCGCCUCAACCUUUGUUCAUUGAUUCAGUCCUUAUAUUCACCUUUUAUUUGCCGCCUGAAUUCUGUGGAAUCUUUGACUUAGUGGAUAAAAAAGGUCAGUCUUCCGCUUAUUAUGAGAUUUCUUUGCACUCGACCUAAUACCUUUCCUGCCGGUCUUUCCGUUGAGAAAGACGCUUUUCAAAGAGUUUGGAGAUGAGGGCUGAUGUUCUUUCAGGUAUCUCUCUUUUUUCCUAAUGCCUUCUUUCUUCAUUGAUUGACUUCCCAAGAACUCUUACGUGAAAACUUCUUGCUCACCCGCGCGCUGGGCUUCUCCCUUUGCCUUUGUAGAUAAGCGAUGAGCCGACUUUCCAGUUCUUCGUCUUGACACACCUAUAUUAUUAAUUAAGAAAUCAGUCGUACUCGCCGAUCCAAUGCUAUUCAACGGAAAGAGAGACCUCCUUCCCGCUACGUGGGGAAAAACAAAGGUCUAGAUUUACUGACUCAACUCGGGAAAGAUCUCAAUGUGUAGACGGGCGGUCUAAAGAAGGUAAGAGAUUCCAUUCCACCUGUGCCUGAGGCCUCGUCUUUCUCUCCGAGUUCGAGAUCCUCUUUCUUAGUGUGAUUUCUGACUUUCUCUGGAUUCUAUAAGAUAGAAAAGGCCUUAGGCAACUCAGACGAUCGAAGGCAAGAAGAACUCAAGACAGCCGACUCGAACCACUCCUGGCCGGCCGUGCUUAUGUCUCUCAUGAUCGUUCCGAGAUUCUAUAUGAUAGGGGAAGAACUCAAAAAAGACCUUACCCGCCGAUAUGCCUCGUCUCUCCUCGUACGGGUACAGAGGAUCACCGUCGGCCUGAACCAUACCAUACAAUGAGAGGAGGGAAAGUUCAUUCUUUUUUCAUGUGUAUUUGCCGGGUUGUCCACCGCGGAGUGGGUCUUGGAUCUGGUCACAAUUCAAGCAUAAUCGUAGCCUCUCCGCCCUAAACCAACUCCAUUCCUUAACUCCUCUGGCUUGUCUUCAGGUUAGAGAGACGGGGAUAAAGAAAAGUCUCGUGAAAGGAUCUCAUUCUUCCCGCUGAUGGUCUGAAUUGUCCUUGGAUAGAAAGAAAAGGAAUAAAGAAAGGUGCGUCUUUCCCAUUCAUUUUUGGAUGAAAAAGAUUUCAUGGAAAACAAUUAGGGCGGGAUCAGAAGCCUAGGCUUGACUUCUUAUGGUAGGCUUUCCUGGAGAUAGUUGAUCUUUUCUUUUUCUUUCGAUCAUUCUUUCUCAUAUUCAUUCACCCGCGUAGUGGGGAGCAGCAAAGGUUAAUAUGGAUUUCUGAGGACUGAGGAUCAUCAAAAACAAGGUUGAAGAUGACUCGUCAGAGGACUCUACCCUAUUUAGAGCGCAGAUAAGUUGUUUUCUCAUCAUAACCUUCCCUUCGAUAAAAAGACAAAAGAACCGAUACGAUAUUUCCGAAAAAGGCUGAUAAGCCUUUCUCAAAUGUGAAGUUGGCUUUCUUUUUAGUUUGCAUGAGGGAUGUCUUCGCUUCCUUCAUAUUCUACAUCCGUUUCACUUCGAACCACCCUGAUGUGCGUGGGUGGUUCUUCAGCCACGUUCACUAGUAUUCUCUCUUAGUUGUCUCUUAGAUUAGAUGAGACGCCUUCGUCUUAGGCCUGCGGAUGAAAGCUGACUUCACGCUUUCCCCCCAGCCCCUCGGGGGAGGAGAGGAAGACGGAGUUUGACCUUUCAGGAUAAGCCUUUCUAAAAUGGUAACUACAACCAAUAUGCACCGAAACGGGUAAAAUAGUCCUCACAUUCAAACUCUCGCGCGGUUCGGAGGUCAAUUCGACUAGGACCCUUCUUUUCCCUAUGAGAUUCAUAACGGAGGAUACCGGAAAGGGAAGACAGACUAGGGAAUUCGUAAUCGUCAGAAAGUAGGGCUGAGGAUAUUCUUUCGGAGUAGCGGAAGCGUAGCGUAGCGGACAGCCUGAAACUACUUUGACUUCCUCCUGUCUUUCUCAGGAGCGGAAUCAAGAAUAGACCUCUCAGUAUCCGGAAAAGAAACUCAAACUAGAAGUCUUCAUUGAUUUUCCCUAGAUUUUUCUAAUGGACCAGUUGCUAUUUCCCGGCUUUUUUGCUUCUAAAUAGGACUUUUUUGAAGAUUGAUAUUUAACGAAAAUAGAGUGAAAAAGAAGGAAUUUUCAUGAUUUCUUGCUACUUCCCUAUGGGCAAAACCUAGCAUUUCCCUCCGUCUUCAAUCUAGCAGAUUCAUUUUGAGUACAAUGAACAAGGUGAUGAAAUCAGAAUUCUUCUUUCAUUCGAGUUAAUGAGUGAAUUAUUCUUUUCUUUACUACAAGUCUUCUUCUUAUGAAAUAUGAUUCAAAUAAGAGAUAGUCCGAAGGCUCAAAGAAGAUUGAGAUAGCUAACGAGUUUUUUGACUGAUUUUUCAUGACUGCCAGCCAUACCCAAAACAAACCUUGCAAAAGAGGUCUUUCCCGCUCCCUUCCCUUGACUGGGAAAUGGUAGUAAGCUCCGGUGGUCGGAAGUCUGAUUGAAUGAGUCACUGACGAAGAAGGAGAGAUAGGGAUCGGACACAUCUCAUGCGGCGGACUCCUUCCCCUGCUUUUAUCGUAGUUCCUACUGAUCGAUUCAUCAAGAGUACUGUCCUAGACUGAGUUAGAGGAUAGAAAAAAAUACCUAUAACGGAGACUGAAGACUAAACUGAAGCAGACACAACUGGACCUCUGCGCCUCAACGACCUCGGACUCUUUUGCUUAUUCUUCCCGGUGGGUUGGGUUCAGAACGUCGUGAGACUCUCGUCUAAUUCUCUGUCUGAGACUGGAUCGCAUAUGUUCUCACUCAUUUUCCCCUCUAGCUAGAGAUCGCAAGAUCGAAGAAGGCGGAUGACUAUUUAUAGGUGGCCUAAUGUAUCAGCUGAUGGGUCCCGCUUUAGCAACUCAUCUAUUCUCAGUCUCGUUCGUCAAGAAACAAGAGAAAGCGAUCUAGCCGACGGGUAAUCUUUCUGAGCCAGCUACCUAAAAAGAGAUAUGUCCCCAGUUCAAAGCACAAGGCUAUUAGUAAAGCGCAUGAAAGAGCAUAGCAAGCACGGAUUGAUCAUAGCACUUCUUAUUCCACAAGAGAUCGAAGAGGGAGAUCUUCCCCCUUUGAAACUGGGACUGAGGACGAUAUGGUAAGCCAGUCCUAUUCAUCCAUUUCUGAAAGCGGGUACCGAUCCAAGCAGCUUUCCCUGAAAAUAAUAAGUACGAAAAGAAUGGGCGGAAGGAAGUAUGUUUAUGAAUAAGGGUUAGCGAGAAUAGGUUCAAAGACAAAGCUGCUACACCGGCGUCAUGAAUCAGAGGAGGAUAGCAUUGAAUAGGAAUCCCCCCUCGUCGCCCCGUUCUUCUUUAAUCAGUGGUCUCGGAAGUAGUUGUUUUAGUUCGAGUUGCAAGACAAGUGGCUAUAUCCCCAGAAAGAAGGAUUAAUUCAAUGGGAUUGGAACCUGACUUGAUUCUACGGUUUCCCUUAAAGGGAUUUGACGUUCUUUCUUCUUGUCUUUUUCAUAUGACACCAAAGGAAGAAAACGAGAAGAAAAAAAGCUUUGUAGAGAGAACUCCACUCCUCCUACUAAAUAGGGUUCGAAGAAGAUCGACUGUUAAGGAGUGCAAAAUUAGAGCGACUGAUACCUCAAGAGGAGGAGGCAAAGAAAAGGAAGAAGACUCAAAAGUCUGAACUAAAAUCAAGCUCCUUCUCAAUCCGGACUAUCCAUUAUCAGGGCUUAACGGACGGAUAAAAACAAGUCCUUCGCCUAAUUCUCGCAAUAUUCUUUGCGCCUGGACCAAAGGUUAAUAUGGAUAGUCCUACGGAUAAGAAUCCUGGACCUUUCUUUGGCACUGCGGACCACUAUUUAAUGAAUAUGGGGAUCUGGACGGAGUGCGAGAGAAAGAAGCGAAGCGAUCGUGCAGUGCAAGUGCUGGAGCCGUCCUUCUUAACUGCAAAGACUGAUUCCAUGCAUAUGUAUUUUCCUGCUCGCUUCAUCAGCUCCGUUAGUGUAAAGGGCGUAGACCCGCUUCCUAAACCUAGUUGGGUCAACUUAUGUGUAGAGCCGAAAAUCUUUCUAAUCUUCGAUAGCAUAAAGGUGCGCACCUGCUCAACUAGAUCUCUUAAGAAUCCCCACUGAUAGAAUGAGGAGGGGCAAUUGCUUUAUUCAAAGUGAUAGCGGAUGCUGGGGAAACCAUUAGGAAUGCUCAACCCCACCGGGCUUGGGCCCAUAUCCUUUGCUCAAUGGACGCGAGGCUAGUUCCUACUUCCAGCUGGAUUGCAACUACUGAUCUCAUUCUUUUAUACGUGCAUAACCCUCGUGGAACUCUUUCACUGAUAGCCUCAUUCCGGCAAGUUAGAAAGAAGCUAAUGCUAACCAUCAUCAGCCGGAAAGACCCGAUAAAGCCACGAUAAAAGGAAUUGGACAGCUUUCAAUAUUCUUUGAACCGCUCCGUGGGCCCUAGCAUUUCAUUCUUCUUUCCCUCGGCUGAACAAUUACCGCUCCGUGGGCUUCCAAAAUCCCGGCUGCGCUAAAAGCACCUCACGGCCCUAUGCCUUUCAGUCUGAUCUCUUAAUUGGCCUAAUGUAGGCACAGAGAGCAAGAUGGAUGCGGCUGAUCAUUCUAUGCCUCAAGCUCCUGACCAAGGUGAAGAUAUUAGCUUCCAAGCUUUGUCAGCCCGGAAAAGUGAGAAAAUUUCUUAUUCAGAUGACCAGCUCGAGGGCAAGGGAAGAGCCGAAGCCCGCUCUCUCGAUGAUAUCAAGGCUGAGUUUCAGAGAGUUCUUCCGAUCCGUCCGGAUCCCCAUAUGAAUUAGGCGGAGGACUGAUUUAUGGAACAUAGACCUUUUUUUUAGUAGGCUCGUUAGAAAGAGAAAAGAUCAAAAUCUCAAUCGCAUAUUUCAUUGCGCCUCUUCUUACUGGUGUGAUGAUAAGUAUACCAAAGGUCAUAAGUGCAAGAGCUCUCAAUUGUAUAUGUUAAUGAUUCAAAUAAAGGUGCAAAGAGCGCGGGUUAUUCAAAUUUCAGGAUCAGGACUGGUAAGACUCCUUCGGAGCGGUCUUAAUACUCCUAACUACGGCGCAAAGAAUAUUGCGAGGACGGAGGCUCAAAGAAUCCCCCUACGCGGUUCAAAGAAUAUUUCAUGAAUGAGUGAAAGAAGAAAUUCAGCAAUGGAUAGUCCGGAGGUGCAAAGAAUAUUGCAGAGCGGGAAGAAUGGAUAUAUAUUGUAGAGCGGGAGAGAGAAGUCGUCUCCGUUUAGAAUAAAAUAAGAGGAUAGGGCGGGCCCUUGAAGAAUGAUCUUGCUGCUGCCCACGGUUUUGAAUUACUUUACUCUUUUUGAAUCCAGUCAAUGAACAAAGUCUGUUCCUACGGCAAGGAAUGCUCCAAAGGAGGGAGGCAACGAAAUUGAAUCCAGCCUCUGUCUGAAGCCCAAAAGGAAUGCGGGGGAGUCAGAAAGAAGAAAGCCUACGUCACGAAAUUGAAUCCAGCCUUCGUCUGCAAUAAGAAGCCUCCUCAAAAUACUCCUUCGUAAAAGAAGAAGCCGGAGGCAUUUGUAUUGACUCGGUUUUAGUGGAAUCUUUUCUACAUUGAUACGUGGGUCCUCCUUAUCAUUGAUUUGAGUCUGAUUCAGUAUUUCUUAGGUAUUUAUUAGCUCAAAUUCUCAAAAUGCAAGGUUUUCGCCUUCCUGAAAGGGGAUUUCUCAAUCUGAAAAGAGCCUUUCUUCUUUUCUUAGAUAAAUGCGCUUCGCUUCUCGAAAAUGAAUUCAGCCUCAGCCCUAAUUAUCGAAUAUUGCCUUCCACUUGAGGGAUAUUCUUGGAUUUCAGACUCCUCCUAUUUUACCUGGACUGAUUUAUGGAACUUAAGCUCGGAUCGAAACUGAAAGCUAGACAGAAAGAUCUCUCGCAACCCGUUCGAGAAAUGGGAGAGAGAUAAGUUUUAGCAGUUUCCCACCCAACCCAGUUGAAUAGAAAGUGCUUAGGUCGCUGUGGAAGAAAGAGAAGGAGCCUCAUCCAUCUUUUCUCGGGAUUGGAGUUUGAACAUUCUUGAAAAGAAAGAUUUCUUGUCCUAAUCGACUAGGCUAGGUUUCGUAAGGCUGGCCGUCGGCCUUAACCUUUUUGGAUUCUAAUCUCAAGUCUUUGAACCCCAUCAAUGGAAUAUAUAGAAAAAAAAGCGGAAAGAGAGGGAAAGAGAUCAAUGAAUAAGGAUGCGAGAGGGAUCAGGAAGAAGAAAUCUAGGGCAUGCGCACUCGGGUCUUUCCUUCCCGCUACGUGGGCUUACUCGUUCAAGAUCCUGACGCAUAAUUGGUCGUAUGAGAACCUAUACAUACUAACUAUGAAAUUCCCUUCUCGCAGGUGGAGCGGCUGAAUUCCGUCUUACUAAAGGAAACUAAAGUCAUAGUUUUUCUUGCUGUCGCUGUAGUGGAAGGUUCUGUCGUAGCCCUUGUUGCAGGAGAAGAAUUGAGUAUUCCGCUUAGGCACGGGUGUCCCGAGUGGAAGGAAUAUGUCCGAAAAGGCCAACAAUUCUUAGAUCGAAGGACAGACCCCAAAUCGCGAGGAUGCAGUUUUGAGCCAGAAGUCCAGUCCGCUUCAAGGUCACGCUUCGGUACCUCGAGCUAUGUAAGAGAAAGGGGAAAGCAGUGGUACGCUACUGUAGAUAAGAAUAACUUAGAGGGAGUGAACUAUUAGAUGCACAAGAAGAUCAGUUCCAAGAUUCCCAAGAAUAUCCCGUCCUUCGGACAGACGGGUUAAUAUGGAUAGGACUGAGGACCUGUCUGGCCUUCGUAGCUUAAUAAUGGGAUUUUGGAGGGAGCGAAAGUGUUAAAUAUUAUUCGCAUAUUUCAUUGCACCUUCGGACGGGAAAUUGCAACUGGAUGCAUUGUCCUAGGACAGGUAAAAGAAAUUCAUGUGAACUGGUUUCAGGUCCGGAUAAAUACAGGAUCAAGUGCUUUCACCGCUACGCUACGCUUCCGCUCCAAUCAAUGAACAAAGGCGCAAAGAAUAUUGCGAAAACGUAGGUUCAAAGAAUAUUGACUAGACUUAACAGGAGUCCGUAAGGACUAAGAAAUCUAGGAAUGAACUCCGUCUGAAAUCUAGCACAAAGAUGUCUGAAAUCUAGCACAAAUCAAUGAAUAUUGACAAUGAACAAGGCUCAAAGAAUUUGAGUCUGCUUUCAUUCUCGUUAAUGAGUGAAUUAUUCUUUUCUUUUCCGCUCCGUGGGCGUCUAUCAACUUCAUUCCCUAGCUUAGGAUCUUGUCGAGCAAGAGCAUUCUGAUCCGUCCGGAGGCGCAAAGAAUAUUGCCCUAUUUACUUCCCUUGAAAGUGCACUAUCUGCACCCUUGUUUUUGCAUUGAAUUUCAUACUAGGACUAAAGCUAUGCUAUGUAUGGGGAAUGCUAAAGGAAUCCUCCUGUGCCAAUUGAAGUAAUGAACUAGCGGAUCGCAUCACUAAAAAGAGGAAGAAAGUAGCCCACUGCGCGGUGUAGAGGAUCCAAGAAUUUGAGAAAGAAUAUUGACGCUCGACCCCCACUGGAAGAGGAUGAAAUUCUAGACAGGAUGAAGAGACUAAAAGAAAAGGAAGAGGCAGAGGACAGAGAGGAUAGGGUAUGAAAUAGGCGAGACUGAACUUAACCCCAGCAGAGGAUUUUUCUCAUGCAAGGCUCUUUGAAUUUGAGAAGAAGAGUUACGGCCGAGGGAAUCCGUACCAGUCCCAGUGAUGAAUCUGAAAUCUGAUUUCAGCCUCUGGUUGGAAGUCGCUAUGCAAGCUAGCCCUUCUCUUUCAGACUGGGAGAAAGAGAUAUGACCUGCCGUACCGACUUCUUAAGUAUAGAAUGAAGACGAAUGGGAAUAACUUAUGAAAAAAGGGAAUGGGAAUCAAUCCCAGCGAGAUCAAGAGGAAAAGGUCUUAAGGAAGAGCUUAUCAGUCGAGACCAGGACGGGGAGAACUCAGUCUUAGCUCAGUUAAUCAGUUUUUCAGAUUGAAAAGGUAAGACUUCGAGUGGGGGUGGCAUGUUUAAGGCGCAGGAGGCGGAUCGGUUUCAAAGCAAAGUAGGAACUGCUCCGUCUAACCUGUGCGAAGGGUGCGAUGAGCAAGGUUUGGUAGCGAUAGGAAGAAGUAGGACUGCGAAGAGAGGUGGAUGGGAUCUUAGCUCCCGAUACGCCGAAUGCCUAAUACCUUCCCGCCGGUCUUGGGUGGAGAUCUGCCCCAUGAAGGAUGCUCGGACUCCCCGAUUCUGUCUUCUUCUAGGCAGAGUAUCAACCGAUGGUUAAGACUUGAGUUACUUUCCGAUAUUCGUUUGGAAUCCUUCCAAUCUCGGCUAUGAUAGAAGAGAAAUGGAGGUUGAGCCGCUCCGCUUCUUUUCUUUGCUGAAAUCCAAAUUAGUAGAUUCACUCUCAAAGAAGAAAGCCGGGAGUACGAAAGGGAAAUUCGAAGCCCAUAAAGUAGGUCUUAUGAAUGAGGGAAGGAGAUUUAGAACUCUUUCGGAAGAAAUGCGAGACUGAGUUGACGAACGAAGGAUCGUAAGUAAGUUGGUGCGCUUUCAAGGGAAGAGAAGAGGGAUGAAAUAGCUCGACCGUAGGGAGAGGGAUGAAAUAGCUCGACCGUAGGGAGAGGGAUCCGUCCCAGGAUUAUGGCUUUCUGCUCGCCCCCUUUUGAAAGUUUCGAAUUUCAGAGUAAAUAGUAGCGGUUCUUUAUUCAAAAUAGCGUAAUGAUCAAUCUUGCUUAGUUUCGCCACCCAAGGAGAUUUGACAGUGGGAAAUCCUGAACAUUGGCGAGAGGAGAAGAACUGGAUUGACUGACCUGAUUUACCUACCUACUUUACCCCUACGUGGGUUGACCUAGGACCUGCCUGAUUUACCUGGUCGAUAUGGAUCAUACAUUAAGAACGGGUAUUCCUUAUUUGACGAAUAGGUUAUAGAUCUAUUCCCGAGACUGGAAAGGAUGGGUUACCGCUCUCGAACAGAGGAAGCAAGAGAAAUUAGUCUUCUUCCAAGUACUUGAACUUGAAUCUCUCCCAAUAGACCCAAUAGAGAUAGAGAGAGGCCUUGUGCCCGAGAAGGAAGGCGAUGGAAUUGAGCUCAACUCUAUCGAUGUGGAACCCGUACAGUCAUCCAGUCUGAAAGUAGCUCAUCCGGAUAACCUCAUCAUCCAAGAAGCUUGACUGAGUUGGAGAGGUAACCGUCAUAUUAUGAGAAGAUAGAAUCGGGGAAGAGGAAGACGGAGAAUUAGAAGUUAGCCCAGUCAGGUGCGAUUGAUUUAAGGAUGUUCCAAGGCCACCCAUAGCGAAAAGGAGUCAACCCCGCUUAUUUUGAGAUGAGAACAAGAAGAUGUCUUGAGUAAAGAGGGUAUUCUUUACAUAACUGAUGCAUGCGGCUGAGGCUGAGAGGGAAGUAGUCCUCCCCCUCCCAGUUGAAUAGGAAAGAUCGACCCUGAAGUGGAAAGAUCGAGCGUGGACGACCGAGAGGGCCAGUUAACCCGAGGGAUCGGACUCUUUACCCAUAUCCCGUAAAUCUGAUCAUCACGGUUCCGAGCAAUUCUCUGAAGUCAGGAGGAGAGAGAGGAGGAGUCGCUUUUCUUGCUUCCGCUUUCGCUGCAGAAGUAGUAGAAAGAGGGUAUGAGUUAGGCGUGAAUUGCCUUCUUUCAUUCUCGGAUUCUUCUGAAAAGCUAUAAAGCUCUUCUUCUUUUUCUCAAUUUCUUUAUACCGAUUGGGUAUUAAGAAGGAGUAAAUGGCACUCUGUAGGGCCGAGGUCAGAGAAUAUAUGAACAAAGAUUCCCCAUGAGAGAAAUACAUAAUCGAUUCCAAUACUCGGUAUGACACAGCAACCCCAAUCCCUUUCUUCAGAAGAAGUUGGAAGCUUCCGAAUGUAGGAUCUCAGCUGCUUUACUUACCAGAUAGCAAUCAGUCUGGCUCUAAGCAAGGGAAGAUAAAGAUAGUCUGUUUACGAAUCUUCGUUGACUCGGUAACCUCAUCGGUAAGGUAUCGGAUCCCGAAGAAGAAGGAAGACUGAGUCAGCGAGACCAGAGGAUCAAGGUGAACAAGUCAAUGAACAAGGCGCAAUGAAAUAUGCCUUGAAUGAAUGAAAAUGCUUCAAAAAAGAAGAAGAGGGCGCGUAGGCAAACUAAGACGCUGCGAUACGGGCAGCAGUUUCCGUCUCCGUUUCAGAGGCAGGAAUUAUAGAUAAGGAACUCUGGAAGAAGGGGAGGAUGCCUCAUCCGUAGCUGCUGAGGCGGUAGAAUAAGUAGUUGAAGUUGAAACAUUAUAUGCAUAAUUCACUUUGAAAUCAUCUCUAAAAUGAGAAAAGAUUCUCCAUCCCGAACCGAAGGAAAAGAAAGAUUCCAAACUAAUGAAAGAGGAAAGUCCACAUCGGGAAGUGGACGAGGCAGACGAGGCGACCCAAAGCAGAGGCACGCGCAGAGGCAUAUGUAAUCCGAAGGAAGUGUGUCCGAAUUCGAUGAAGAGGCGGAGGGCGCUGUCCCUGGAUCUCCGGCCCUUUGUUCAUUUUUUCGGUCCCAGUUGAGUGCGAAGAAGUUCGAGUUUCUAUAUAGAAGGAUCUCCUAGGUUUUACUUGGACGUCUUAGUUCUUCUUUAAGAAGUGGCCGUUUAUGCUCUUCCUCUUGAGGAUGCUGAUCGGAGAUCUCACAAGGCCUAAAAAGUCAAUUAUCCGGUCGUCCACGUAGCAAUGGUGAAAUGGAUCCUUACCUAUAAGUAUAAGACCACCCUGGAAAUCAGAGUGAAAUAACCGCCCCUUUACGAGUCACAAAUGAGUGAAAGGCCUUGAUUUUAGUAGUGAUCCGAUCGAUCCACGAUCGAAGAACUGAACCUGCAACUUCCACUUUCGAUUCAAGAGGGGAGGUUCAAAGAAUAUUGAGCAAGCCUAUCCUAUGCGACGGACUCUGAUUUUUCCACUACAAGGGAUGGUGGGGAAUCCUCACUAGCCACCGUUCUUGAAAGAGUUUCGGACGUAGCGGGAGUUGCUAGAAGUUGCAUUCUGAACUUCUGAAGAAGUAUGAUCCGGAAGCUCGUAGGAAGAAGUCGGCUGAUCGAAUGAUCCUCGGGGUUCAUUCCUUACCGCGUAGUGGGUCGUGGCUUUUAAGGCUUGCACUCCCGUAGAAGGAGUCGUCUUUGAUUCUUUUCUGAGAUAAAUGCGCUUCCCUUCGUCAAUAUUCUUUGAACCUCGUCUUCUGACUUUUAUUGCCUCCUCCUAAGACUUCUCUUUCCUUAUUCAUUGAUUGUAUAUUCAUUUGUCGGCGAAUACGUGGUUCGGCCCACUUCUAUCCGAUGCUCCGGAUCUUAUAGGCGGCGAAUCGCUUGCUUCUUUUCAGGUUUCCGGAUUUAGGCUUGACUUACCGUAACGGAGAAUAAGAGAGUUUGGCUUAGAAUAGGUUUCAUUCUCAAUUUCACUUUCUACUUUCUGACUUAGGCUUGAUUCUUGAAUUGCUUAAGACAAGGGGUUUUGCUUUCUGACUCGUAUGAGAUCUUGAAGUAGGUUUUUACAAAGUAUCAAACUCUGUUUUGAGAACCUCCUCGAUCAAGAAGUUGAAAAAGAAAGAAGGAGCAAUGACAAGAUAAAGAUAAGUUUUGAUAAAGCUCUUCUUUGAACUUUGAAUUGACUUUCUCUUGAUAUGAACUUCUAAUAUUUAAGGGGGCUAUCCUUGUUUUAGUGGAAUUCAUGUCCUCCUUUUCUAUAUAAUAUAAUAUAGUAUAGAAGAAAGCACUAAUUGGGAGCUCUGCUCGUGCGAGUGAGGGACUAAGCUCCUCACGUAGGAACUCAAGAAAGCAAAUACAAAAGUAGGAGGUUUGCGGAAAUGGAGUCUCUUUCGAAUUUUCUCUCAUCUCAAUUCCUCAAGUCUGUCUUAGUCACACCUAUCCGCCGCUCAAUAUUCUUUGAACCUUGACGUCAAACUUUAGUGAAUCAUGACUAAAAGGACUAAUCGCAACUAAAAGUACUAAGUUAGAAGGAAGUAGUAGUAGUAUUGGAAGAAGAGAGGCUUAUAGCAACCUUAUGGGCUUCCCUCUUCGGCCGCCUGCACUAUACCAGCGGAACUCGUAAGGGAUCCCCGCCUUAGAUAGAAUUCUCUACGCGGAAUAGAAGUGCCCGACCCGUCCUCCGUCCUCUUGAAUGAAAAAUCAAGCUCCAGAUGAGUUGACCUAUCCAUUAAACAAGUCCGGAGGACCAGUCUCGCCCUCAGUCCUAUCCAUUAGAAAGAAUGAGAAAGCCGUCAGUCCAAGAAAAAUCAGAGAAAAUGGACUUUUAGUUCCAUCGCUAUUUUGCAAGGUUUUGCUUUCUUUCCCCUUAUAUAAAAGAAAGCUCUCACUUUUUUCAGCCAUUUGAGACUACUAGGUAAAUCGCACAUUGAGUCACUUUUUCCCCGCAAGAAAGAAUGAAAAAAUGUCUCAGUCGAGCUACUAUGAAAGUUAUUAGAUCAAAGUCUCUAUUUACGCUAUUUUGAGUCAUUUUGCCGCAAUAUUCUUUGCUCUAGACCUUUGUUUUCAAAUAGUCAUUUUUCAGACUUUCAUGAAAGAUCAGGAGUCGCUAUGAAUUAGCCUUGCUAACGCACCUUUCUUCGCUUCGCACCUUUUCUACUAAAUAGUAAGACGCUCUUCUGAACGUCUUUAUAAAGCUCUUCUUUCCAUCUCACCGCUUUUAUUGAUCAGAAUCUUUUCAAGAAUAAGCUUGAAUCGACCCUUUCCCAUCUCGGCUACUAUUGAGUGGUUUGGGCUGCGGGCUUAGGCUUAAUACGAUCUUUCUAGAAUUUCUUCUUUUCUUCUUUUGGUCCUAGUCUUGUUUUCCCCCUUUCCCCUUCCCACUUCCCCUUUGUACUUUCCCUCCAGAAAGUCAGUCUUUCUCCUACUAAAUCAUUGAUUUCUUCCUUUUCCAAUCCAUUCCCAUUUUCUCUUUUCUUUUCUUGUUAAUAAGUUCAAUUGAAAGCUACUUAUUGAUUUGAUUAGCCGAGUUUCAAGUUCAAUUGAUCAUGACUAGGCUUUUUCUUAGCGUGAACCUACUUAAAUAAAAGGAAGAAGACGAGAGGGAGUGCAAGCGGUUAUUUUCUUUCAUGCUUUCAAGGGCCCGGUAAGUCAAAUCCCGCACCGCGCACCCUAGCGCUAUCGGUCUCAGGUUAAUUCCCCACGUAGCGGUAAAGAAGGUGGUCUGGUCUGUCUUCCAACUUCAAGAGAGACUGAUAAAAGCGAACCACCCCUAUUAGGGGCUUUCCCGAACGCUUGCUUCGUAAACAGACAAGGAAGGGAUGAAAUUCCAUGAAAUCAGUCCUCUCUUUUUUAUGGGCCUCCUGAUCUUAGUUCCCUUUCCGCGCGGAUCUAGCUGCCGACCAAAAAGAAGGGAGAGCUUCGUCUCGAGCUUCAACGGUUCCGACUUCUCCAACUUCUCUUUCCGAGUUCAGUGCCACAGCUGAAAUUCCAGAACUGAUCUGAUUCCUCCUCCUGGGGCCUCUCUCCCUCUGCCGGCACUGGGACUGGAACAAGUUGACUAUCUUACUCAUUCAUCGUAUAAAUGGCUUAAAAAGAAGGGACUCCAACAGGGCACAACAAGAAAGAGCAAGGAUGGCUCCAAGGGCACCCGCGCUAUUUGUCCACGCCUGCCUCUUUCAUUCUCUUGGCUUCAAGGUACCCCUUUAGCUUCGGAUCCUAAUAGUCAUGACGUCUCUUUGAGAUCUUUCUCUUUACCUGAUUAUUGACUGAAUUGCAUUCCCCACGAAAGUCUACCCUUUCAUUACACGUUUUCACCGUUCAAAGAUUGAUUUUCUUUGCCUCGAUACAAGCGGAAAGAAGGAUUUUCACCUUCGCUUGUCCUCAACCAGCAAUAAUCGAGUUCUUCCAUAAAUCAGUCCAGAAGAAGAUAUGGAACUCAAUCUGAUAAAUAAUAGUACUUUGUCUUUGUCUAAAAUAGUCCUUCGGACGACUCCGUCUCUCUUCUUUAUGGGGGUCCCAGUUACUAGAGAAGCCCACCAGCUAAGAUCCUGCUGAGGAAUUCGAUCUGUGGGGAGUACGAUCGGAAGAGUGAUAGCUCGACGUUUCGGAAUCGGGCGUCAGAGGCGCAAAGAAGCUCUUCUCUUAAGAUAAGAAGAGGGUAUGAAGGAAGCCACUCUUCUGUCAAGGAUUGGAUCGGGAACACCGAGUUAUCCUAUGACUGAGGAAAGCCGUUCCAAUACUACUUUAUCAGGUCAAUCAGGCCGCCGAGCUAGAAAGUUCCCAGGACUGAAUAAAGAGCUAGACAAGAGUCUCGCUACAAAGUCCCACUGACCUAUCCCUUGCUGGUGGAUAGAUAUCUUCAGAUAUGGUCCCCUAGGCUCGACCCUUUCUUCCUUCUAUCUUGUAAGUUGGUCGUAUUCGACCCGAGGAUAGGCUUUCUCUUGUUUCAAGAAUUCCACUUUCUAUUUGUUGGACGUACUAGAAGAUGUGAUUUAUGAGAUCUGAAGCUGGCAAGAGAUGAGAGCAGAGUGAAGACCACUACACUAAGCAAGAAGACCUUUUCUAAUCCCAAAGGAGGAGAUAGACUAGCACCUUCUCGGCUGAUUCUGUGCCCACCCUCAGAUCUCAUUACGGACCUGAGACUGCACUUCUUGCCAAUGGCUCCCUUCGAAAGACAGAAUUCUUCUUUAUAGAAUUCUCAGUCAUAUUCAAUCUCUCAAGACCUCCUUCUUCCCUCUUUCCUAGGCCCACUCACUCCCACGAUCAGGGAAAGGAGGAACUGAGGCGAGAAUCCCAUAAAGGAAGGUUAGAAUAUGCAAGACUCCCACGGGGCGGAGAGGUGCUCAGCUCUGCUUUUUCCCGAGAGAGGGUAUGAUCCCCUGGACUGGAAAGGAUAGGUAUUCAGUUCCCUAGUAUUUUGAUGAUAAAUAGAGAGAUUGAUGAAUAGAAUAAAUAAGAAUGAGAGAAGUUUCUGAAGAGAUCUCUUGGACUAUUUCAAGCCUUUGUUCAUUGAGGCUAGGCUUUCCUUCUCUAAGCUUUCUCUUGUUGGCCUUCUGGCCUUUCAACCUCACCCACGGAAAGCGACCCCGUUGGUUUGAAAACGGCCUCUAGCCCACCACGUUCCACAAAUCCCUCAGCCCCUUUCUCAACGGGCGUGUAGCCGUACUUUCGCGUCUUGGUUAAGGCUCGCUUCAAAAUAUCGAGCUUCUGCAGGGUUGGUAGCUCGUCGAUGCAGAACCAGAGGCGCUCUUGCUGAGAAUCGGCUCCAGAUGAAGCACGGCUUUGAUUGCUGUGUCGAUCCACAAGGACAAAGCCGGCUUCAGUCCUUCUCGCAUCUCUCCUCUCGCGCAGUGAUAAACAUCCAGGAUCUCCUCACUCACCCACUUGCGGAUGGAGAACAGAUCCCCCUUAUCCAUCCGGUCAAAAUCGAAAGGAUUCCAGCUGAUUCUGAACGGUCAUUUUUAGUGAGAUUCCCGUGCGCUCCGUCAUCGGGUCCACAUAGGCCGCACCAGCGGUGCCUUUCAGCAAGGCGUGCAUCUCCUCGAGAUUGCUCUUGGCAACGGCGUUGUAGAAAUCUCGGUUUGUGCGCCGCCCAUCUCUGCCUAGAACGGAGAUAACGUCCUUGAGCACCCUCCGGCCCGCCAAGGCCCAAAAGGUUAGAGUCAGAACUCUUGCUGGUCUGGGAUCAGGCCGUUGGCCAUAUUAUCGAAGUGGUAGUCCUUGGAGAUCGAAGCCCAGAUAUUCCAGUUCGGGCUACGGGCAUCCAGCGGGUUCAUCAGAAUGUCUUUACCUUCCCGGUAGAACGCUUGGGUAAACUCUCCGGUCUUUUCAUACACGACUAUACGCUUACCUCUUGCCCGAACCUCUUGCAUCAAGGCGAAAAACUGCUGGGAUUUCCCCGUGCCUUGUGCACCAGCAAAGAGCGGAUGCAGCGUCUCUGACUUCAUCCGCAUAGGCACACCGGCAAUCAGGGACUCGCUUCCCCCCCGACGCUUAAUGAGUCGUGCCAAUGCCUUUCCAGUGACCAGCCUGGCGCCCCGCAGCUGAUGAUCCUGCAUUCGUUCGCGUCCAUCUCCAUCCGUAUAGAAGAGCGAGGAAAACGAGACCGAUGGCACUCAGCACGCCGGCCCCAUUGCGCAACUUUCGCCAGCCAUCAGACGCAAUCUCCUCGGUCAAUGUGGCAACUCGCGACACGUCGAGCUGCUUGGCCCUUGACGUGCAAUUCCAUCUUACCGGCCGUCAUGUAGAGCGCUGAACGUGUGUGGGCCAGCACAUUGCGCGAGAGGGCAUACUUUGAAUCCGCUGUGGUCGACAACCAGAAGCAUGCAACCGUCACGAUCAGUCCAACUAAGAGAGAAGUCAGAAGAACCGUCCUAAGUGCCCCCAUCAACAGGCGAGCUUGGUGCGUCCAUAGUUCAGCACCACGAGAAAAAUGGUUGGUACUACCCCCUUCCUCUUUUUUAGCCACGCCCAACUUCUUUUCUGCAGCUUUGCUUUCGCGAUGUCCUGUGCUUCGUAGAGCUUUUGAACGUCCCUAGCCGAUACGAUGGCCGACAGCAUGGCCUCAGCGGUAAACACAGAUAGUCAGAAUGCCUCCGGAAUGGGCGUCGAAGCAUCAUCCUGUCCUCUGCUGUGGCGGAUGUCAUCCACGAGACUUCGCAGGCCUUGCUCGAUUUCCUGCACGUUUUCGGCAGCCCUGCACUAGCGUCUGACGCAAGUACUCUACGACGGUGAUCCCGUGCUCCUUUGCCUUCUGCCGAUAGAACCGUGCGGUGUCUUCAUCCAUCCGGAUAUUGAAUGAAAGGCUCCGACGAUGGUCUGCGCUGAUCUUUCUAGGCAUUUUUGACUACACAAGAACCACUUUUCAUGAACAAUUUCCUGUAGGUGUCGCCGAAAUGAAAUACAUGACAAGAAUUUCUCAGAAAUUCCUAAUUGCGUGGGGUGUGUGGCAAGAUUUUAGGGGAGCGGGGACCAAACGAGAAGGCUGUCCUGAUUCGGUGGGCUAGCAGUGGACGGCCAUGGAUGACCCACCUACGCCCAACGACUACAUUAUGCCAUUGAUUCAGAUUUUCUAGCUUCUAAGUUAGAACAGGAGGGUAUCAAGUUAGCCAAGGGAUAUUUUCUUGAGUGGAAGCGGAGGUAAACAUGAGCAAAGUGAAAGGUGCUGUCUCGCACCACGAACGAGAAUUGGCAGAAUGUAGUGCCGAUCGAGAACUAGCGGUGGAAUACCUAAAAGCUAAGAUGGAAUCGCGAGAGAGAUAAUCGCGCCUUAGGCCUGUUGGCGCUACGCACGAUAGCAGAAGCUUAUGGUGGAUUAGCUGCUAGAGGCUGCAGGUAUAAGCCGGGAAUCGUUGUACCGUAUGCUUUCCCCUAAAGGUAACCCCACGCUCAAGACGUUGCUAGCAGUACUUAAGACCGUUGGAAUGCGCUUGUCUGUCGAACUCGAGAAUUCCGUGCACGCUUGAUAUUCAGCUUUUGAAGUGCCUAUAUCCUCUGAAAGAUAUCAAGUUAUCAUCAAAUUUCUAUCUUGAUUCGGUCUUGUUCCCUACAUAGCAGACAGAUUGGUUUUGAUUUCCCUUGAAAAUCCCUGGCCAAAGGUUUCACAGCCGGGACGAAAUCCAGGCGCAGCAAAUGCAUAGCGAGGUCGAUGGCACCGCCUAGCCCUUCCCUUCUGAGCUCUGGUCUCGUACCAGACCGCUUAUCAACAGAAAAAUGACGCUGCUACCAAUCGAAAGAUCGCUCGGUAUGCUUAUCCUUAGCUUAGUCGGUCUGAAUCUCACCUUUCCAGUAAAUUCGAAGAAGAUCAAGGGCAAAGGCUGUUUAUGCUGCUGUCUCCGUCCCAUCAGUCCCAAGCAAGUAAGCGCUAGAAGCUCGAACCAUCUCUUGAAUCAGUACUAAACCGAGUGGUCGGGCCGAGAGCGGGAACAUGAAAAGAAAGUUUCAGAAAGCCCUAUCCGUUUUUAGUUCCUACUUUAGGGUAGAGGCUGCUGGUCCGAAGGCUAGGUUCAUACAGAUAGUCCGGAGGACGGUUAGUUGGAACUUUGCGACUGAGGGUCAAUGAAAUAUGAGAAAGGAUAGGCUUGAUUUAGUAGUCCUCUUUCAUUGAUCUAUUUUGAUGCCAGUUCAAGCAGCCUAGUGGAAGUGAGAGCAAUCCGAACUCCAUAAAAGGGCAAAGGUUAAGUUAUUUGAAUGAAGAAAAUCAAUGAAGAAGUCAAUGCCCACGUAGCGGGGAAAGUUUGAGUGGAAUCUUUGGAGAAUGAGGAGGUCUGGAGUGAUCAAGUCCUUCGUUCAAUGAACAUCCAUAAAGAAAUUGGGAUUCAAGUACAUACACCAAAUUCAAUGUGUUAAUCAAAUGAAAACCGAUCCUUAUCCACCAUGAAUGCCAAAACAAACCCAGCCUACGGCUUCUUAUUGCAGACUCCUUAUGGGGUUCAGACGAAGGCUCGACUGUAUGUAAGGAGAGGCUCAAUGCAAUUUGAGUUGCGAGACUGUCAAAAUCAAGCUCCAGAUGAGUUUCAGACUGUAAGGAGAGGCGGAGGAGGCGCAAAGAAUAUUGCGUAAAGGCUCGCCUUAGAUAGAGGGAGAGGAGCAAAGAAUUUGAGAAAGAGGAGUUGAGAGAAAGAAUUCACUCAUUAACGAGAAUGAAAGAAUAAUUCGGAUUUCAUCACCUUGUUUUUACGGAGGGAAAUACAAGAUUUUGCUAGGUUUUGGGCCUAUAAAGUAGCAAGAAAUCAUGAAAAUUCCUUCUUUUUCACUCAAUUAUCGUUAAAUAUCAAUAUGAGAUUUAGUCCUAUUUAGAAGCAAAAAAGCCGGGAAAUUGCAACUGGUCCAUUAGCAAAAUCUAGGGAAAAUCAAUGAACAGAGUUUUCUUAUGGUUUCUGGUCCGGAUACUGACGGGUCUAUUCUUGAUUCCCAAUGAACAAGGUUAUUCAAUCCUAAUUAUUCUUUCAUUCUCGUUAAUGAGCUGAUUUUCUUUUCUUUUUUCUUUCUGAAAGACCGACCAAUCGAUUCAAAAUCUAUAGUUACCUCCCCCGAUCCCACUCUGUCUCUUACCCGUCUGACUCAUUCCCUUGAGAAUAGUACUGAUGACUCUGGAUCCGAGACUUCAGACUCAAGAGGGAAUUCCCUUUACUGGGCCUCCUAACCUGGUCGAUCCCACCCACUACGCUACGCGGUGGAGCUACGAAACCUUGAUGUGAUGAAAGUGACCUCUAUUAAGUCCUAUGGGCUAGCUCCUUCUAUUCAAACCUACCUUUCUCGGCUUCUUCUUCCCUUUCUAAAGUGAGAUGAUUCCGAGAAAGGCGGGCUAACCGAUCCAAUUCAGAGUGAGAGCUUGAGCUGUCUGAUCCGACCUUCGUCGGUAAAGCCUAUAUCUACUAUACUACCCCUGGCUUCUUCUGAAACUAGGUAAAUCGGACAACUGUCUCGGUCAACUUAUGCCUCUUCCUAGCCCUCUCAACUGGGACUGAGUUCGCGCUUUUACUUGGUCCUCUCUCGAUCUUUCUUUUCUUGCUUGAAUAACUCCGGCUCCCUCAACUGGACAGUUCUUCUAUUUCUAGGGAAUAGAACUCGUAAACUCUUUCUUUUUCCCAUCCUGGAUGAGCUACUGAUAACCGAUCCCGGAUAGCUGACUGAAAGACCUGAAAAUAGCUGUCGUUGAAGUCCCACAGCCACUGACUUAGAAGUCCCCGCCGAAAGAGAGUUUGAAAGAGGAAAGAAUUCAGCCCGCGAAACUUCUGAUUAAGUAAUGAAAAUAGAAAUGGGUAAUUCAAGCUCUUCUAUUCAAUAAAUAAGUUGAACAUAAGAAGAGAAGUAAAUUCAAAGAAUGAGAAAUCUCACUUUCUUUCUUGCCUUUAUUAAGCGUACCCUGAUGGUUGAUCUAAUAAGAUAUAAGUCGAUAAGAAAGCUCUUUUCUCAUUUUCUAGACUAGAACGCCUUCCUACGAACUGAGAGUUCUCCAUCGUCUACUAUGCCAUAUCUUUACCGGCUUCGCAGGCACCUGUAUAUCGGCCUAUCAUGGCCUCGUGGGCGCUGGCCUUCGAAAAGAAGGUGGGAACAAGAAGAUCGAGAGAGAAAGCGGAAACUAUCUCAUACUCUGAAUUGAGUUCUUUUAUGAGGAUAAAAAGAAUGAGAAGUUUGUUCAGAGAGAUUCUUUACUUAAUUAUGAUGAGGCUUAUUAACAAGAGAAUCAAGAGAAGGCUGAAUGAAUAUGAGAAUGCCUUUAUUCUUUUCAAAAUUAUGACGUUAGCAAUUUAUGAUGAGGAAAUCCUAUUAUCAAUCUUAGUAAGAAAUCUAAUAUGAGAAGGGAAGAGGUUUUUUAUGAAAAUGAAAAGGAGUGCUCGACCGCAUACUAUGGAAUACUCUUGAAAUCUGAUCAAAACCCAUCCGUUGAGAGUCAAUCAUAAAUACGAAAUCAAAUAAUAAGGAAUCCAAAAUAGCGGUUUAUCAAGCUCUUAUAUCGGAAGCGAGACCGGUCCUCCGGACUCAAGGAUUCCACUAAAUAGCGCCUUCUUUUUGAAUUGAGCCUCUUGACGGGAAGAAGCGAAGAAAAAAGCCUAGGAGUCGAAAGAAGAAGAGAUUGCUACUUAUAUGUUCGUCAGAAAGAGAAAGCCUAUGAUUAUGACUUUUUCAGGGUUUUUAAUGACUUAAACCUGCUAUCUCAUAAGAUAACUCUUAUUGUCUUAGGCGGUAUUCUAUUUUGACGAAGACGGAAUAAGAGCUUGAUAAAAGAUAAAGCACUAUUUAUUGAAAGGAAAUAUGACUUGAGCAGUCCGGAGGCGCAAUUCAAUAUGCGACGUCCGAAGGUGAAAAGAAUAUUGAAUGAAUGAGUGAGUGAAUCAUAUUUUUUCCGAGGGAGGACGGGGAUAGAGUCCCAAACUUGACUCCCGUUUACUACCUCUUUCUACUCUCUUGUACCCGUCCGAAGGACUAUCAACCUAUUACUUCAAACUAAAAAUUGAAUGAAAAUCGGUCACUUCCGAACCCCUCCUUUCUCGUCUUCUCAUUCCAUAUAUGAGAUUUCCAGGUAGACUUUUGACUCAUAUGAGUGGAUCAUCUCGGUCCUCACCCUUAUUUAUUUCUGUCUACGAGCGCGUCUGCCUUCACGAACGUCUAGUAACUCACUAGCCCUAAACCAUAACUUCUUCACUCUUCCAACCCGCGCACCAUCCGCAGCAGCUAGGAAGGCGCAAAGAAUAUUGCUCGGAGUUGGAUCGGAAGAAGAAAGAGGAAGUUGAAGUACGAAAGGUUCAAAGUGGUUUUAGUGUACCAAAUACAAAGAGACCUCCGGACUAUCCCACGACGGAUCAAUUCAAUAUGAGAGGCGCAAAGAAUAUUGCGAUGCGAUUGCCUUCCACUAAAAAAGGACUUCGUCUGCAAGAAAAUAUGAUGAAUAGUCAAAAAUAGGGGAAGGACUUGUUCUCAAUCAUUGAUUGCUUCAUUCCAUAUUACUAGAUUCGCCGACAAAGAAGAAGAAGAUCGAGAUAGAAAGCUGAAACUAUCUGAAUCAUAUAGAUUCUCCAUCAACUCAUCUGGAGCUUGAUUUUUCAUUGAUCUCUUGACCACUGAAAACGAGAUUUAUAUACUUUGAUUUUACAUCUUGUCCACUCUCUACUCUUUUUUGACCUUUAUUUGACUGCAAAGAAAAAUGUGUCAGAUUUGACCUUAAAUAAUGGGACUGAUUUUGAUCCACAUAUUAACUUAUAAAGAAAUGGAAACCCUGUUCUUUGUCCUCAUCUUCAGUCGGGCGCAGAAUCCUCCGAGGAAGAGGCGCAAAGAAUAUUGCUCAGGCGCGAAGCGCAUUUAUCUAAGAAAAGAAGAAAGGCGCAAAGAAUAUUGCCGAGGUACUCGGCUUUCUAUUAAGGAGUGCAGGUUGAACCACUUCUAAACAUUGAGAUAAAGUAGGAGCAGCUUCUCAAAUUCUUUGACCACGCAAACCGCAAUAUUCUGCAUUGAGCCCGUAGUUAGGAGUAUUAAGACCGGAGGACCAUCCGUAAUUAACCGAAGUAGUCCGGAGGACUUUCCGUAAUUAACCGAACAUUGCACCUUGUUCAUUGAUUUUAGUAGGCUUUCUUCUUCUUCGCUUCGCUAGGCUUGAUCUUAGAAGAUCCAGUCCGGAGGCGCAAAGAAUAUUGCCCAUUAGAAGUGCUUUCUUUAUUUUGUUCAUUGAUCUCUUUGCCGCUGAUCUGACUGAACUUUCCUUUCAUCCGCCAAAUUCAUAAUUGAUCUGCCUUGUUCGCUAGGCUUUCUCUUUCUUUUCUGACUUUCUUUUUUCCAAUAUCCUAUGCCUCGCUGCCUCACUCUGAUCCUUUAUAUACCCGAUGGCAUAUACGGUUCUCGAUCCGGAAACCUUGAUUCUCGUGCGAGAUGUGACCUUUCUUAGGAUCUAAAUGUUGGCUAGGUAAGCGUCCUGUAGUAAGACUUUAUUCAUUGAUUCAUUGAUCUCUUUUAUUGAGGAAGUUGAGCCUCCUUAUGGUUUUUGAUUCUCCCUUUCCCGUCUCCUUCACCCCGUAGUUAGGAGCUUUGAAUAUUGCGUGGAACUUAUCUCAUUUUUUGCAUAGAAAAAGAAGAUGGAAUUCUUUCUUCCUUAUUCUUUCUUAUAUAAGAGAGUUGGUCCGAGUUAGUUCUAUAGAAGAAAUAGAGACCCAAAAAAGGGAUAGGGUUAACGAGAUGAAAAGAGAGUUCUUUCUGAUACAUAGGCUCCACGGGAGAAGCAAGGGUCCGUGUUCUUGCGCGUCCGGCAAAGCCUUCUCCUUCGGGAUAGACUUCUGGGUCUUCCCUUUCGUACUCAGCCAGAUCCCCUGGAUCUUACCUGUCAAAGCCCAAUGAUGUGCCAACUUAAAUGACUGAAAGAACAUAGUCCGGUCCCACGACUACUCUUCCCCGAUAUGGCCCCCACUCCGCGGUUCCCCGAUCUAGAUCUGAUGCAUUAUGGUGGGGAGUUCCUCCUUCCUCUAGUCUCGACUUCGUUCCAAAAGAAGAAAAUCACACACCACCGCUCCGUGGGAAGGGGGAUACUUCUUCGCCCUAAUCAAUAAAGGGGUCAAGCGCGGGUUCGACUGAACUUUCCACGUUCCACUCCCACCACGAAAGGUUUGGAUUUCAGCUUGAUUCAUGCUUUCUAUUUAUAUCGCUUCGAUCUACUCGGGUAAAGGCGCAUGGGGAAGAUUCAAGCUUCAGGGUGAGCGCAGGUCUUUCAUUAUCUUUUAGUUCAUGCAUAGAAAAUGGAUUAAUAAAGAGGAGGACGAAAAGCAGAAUCAAUCGGUCGAAGCAGUUCCGACUUCUCCGCCCGAUGGUAUGGGCGCAGGGGCGCGCGUGAGGGUACUGAAUUUCUCAACCUUCCUUGAUAAGUCAAUGAACAAAGGCUGCGGAGUCAGAUCGGUGUCUUGUUAACGAGACAAUUUGGAUUCGUUGCUAAAGCGGGACCCAGUUGACAGAAAGAACUCCUUUUGAGUAAGCAGGAGCUGUGUUUCGGCUCUCUCUUGUUCGUAAGGCCAAGGCAAAGAAAAAUCACUCUAUUAAAGGCUGAAUUCAAUUUUCGUAGAGGCGCAAAGAAUAUAUAGAGAAGGCGCAAAGAAUAUAUAGAGUAAGGCGCUUCUAAUCUCAAAUUCUUUGAGCCCGUAGUGCCAAAGAAAGGUCCAGGGUCCUACGUCCGCAGGAUUCUUAUCCGGAGUCCGGAGGAUUUAUCCGUAGGACCAUCCAUAUGGAAGGAAGUAGGACUAUCCAUAUGGAAGUAGGACCAUCCGUAAUUAACCGAAGGAGGACUCCCAGAAAGAAGAAGAAGGACUCUAAAACGGACUCGAAGAUUUCCGCUUUCUUUUAGCCGGAGAGGGAUCUCUUUUUCUUGCUUUACCUGGAGAAGAGGUCUGAGAUCAGAUGUCUUUCUUCUUUAUUAUCCCCCUCCGGUCCGGUCUGAAUUUGCAAAGAUGUCCUUAUCAUAUUUAAGCUACUGAGGCCCAAUGAAAUAUGCGAUUGAGAAGACAAAAAUCAGGCUGAAUUCAGAUCGUGGAUAAGGCUCGGUAUCCGGCAAUAUUCUUACAAUAUCCCGCUACGUGGGCCAUAGAUCUUUGCUCCUCGCUCUUUGCGCCUGGAAGUCUAGUCAAUAUUCUUUGAACCGGAGGCCCAUAUUGCCCAUUGCGUCUUUCCAUUGAAUUUCCGGAAAUAAGGCUCAAAGGAUAUUGAGAUGAGAUUCUUUCUUUUUAGCCUAGGCUUUUCACGCAUCAAAAUAGAAGUUGCGCUUUCUUGUUAUUGUUAGCGGAUAGGUUUCUUAUUUGGUUUAUCAAGUUCUUAUCUUCUCUUUCAUACAUCUCUAUCUUCUUUUCUGUCUUCGCAGACUAAUCUUUUCAAUAGUCUUUGAAAUCAUAAAAGACCUUGAUUCUUCUGAGUCAACCCCGCUUAUUUUGAGAAGGUAGCUUGCUUACUCUCAGCCGCUAGUUAGAGGGAAAUCCGUUGACUGAGUUUAUGUUGCAGUUAAUGGAGAAGCAUUGAGGCGGGCUAAGCUUCCAUUCUCAGUAGAGUUUCAGAUAGAGGAUUCGAUCUUGGACCUCUCGGGAUCCGGUUCGAGAAAAGGUCCGAUCCAUUAAUAUCAUGAUUGGGUCGACCAGGCCAGAUCGUCAGUGAAUAGAAAAUCUAAAACGUACAUAGCAGUCCCAGCUGAAAUACUUGGAAUAAUUCUACCACUUCUACUAGGAGUAGCCUUUUUAGUGCUAGCUGAACGUAAAGUAAUGGCUUUUGUGCAACGUCGAAAGGGUCCUGAUGUAGUGGGAUCGUUCGGAUUGUUACAACCUCUAGCAGAUGGUUUGAAAUUGAUGAUAAAAGAACCUCUUUCACCAAGUAGUGCUAAUUUCUCCCUUUUUAGAAUGGCUCCAGUGGCUACAUUUAUGUUAAGUCUGGUCGCUCGGGCCGUUGUACCUUUUGAUUAUGGUAUUGUAUUGUCAGAUCCGAACAUAGGGCUACUUUAUUUGUUUGCCAUAUCUUCGCUAGGUGUUUAUGGAAUUAUUAUAGCGGGUUGGUCUAGUAAUUAGGGGGCGGCCGUUCGGUCGCCUAUGAUACUAGGACCAAUAGGUCAAAAAUGGGUUUGUGCCGCAGGUGUUGAACGAUCUACUCUACACAGGUGUGGGCUUACAGGGCUAGGGCUCAGAAACCCUUUCUUUCAUUCAUCAAUAGGGCCCUGGCAAGGAACCUACUAAAAGUUAAUAUGGAUCAAAAUCAGUCCCACUAUUUAAAUAGGAUGAAUAGUCAUCUGGAUACUUUAUUUUGAACUAAAUAAAGGAUUUCUAGUCCGCUCUGAAUUUCAUAUGGAUUUCAUAAACAAGUCCCAUAUUAAGCUACUGAGGCCCAAAGCAAGCCCACUCCGUAUUAAUUGACUGGAUCUUGUAGGACUCAUUCAUUCCACAAAAUCAAGGCUCCAUAAGACAGGUCCGAAGGACUAUCCAUCAGGAAAAAAGAAAGCGGAAAAUCUUCUCAAAUACUUUGAGCCCGUAGUUAGGAGUAUUAAGACCGGAGGACCAUCAAAGAAAGGUCCAGGGUCCGGAGUCCGCAGGAUUUAUCCGGAGGACUAUCCAUAUGGAAGGAAGUCGGACUAUCCGUAAUUAACCGAAGGAGGACUUUCCGUAAUUAACCGAACUUUGAACCUUCGCCUCAAUGAAAAGUUCAGGGGUCAAAGAAUUAUCGAAGUGGAAGUCAUCAAAAAGAGAUCUUUCGAUUCGUACCGCUACGUGGGAUCGCUUGCUGGCCUAUAUAUAUUUCUAUUGCUAGAUCGCUGUCUUUUAACCGUCUCUUCUUCUUUGUCAACGCUACCUUGGACCUAAAGGAAAAGGCGCUACUUAGCCCUAGAUUUUUAGAAGUAAGCGGCUGAGUUAGCCUAGCCUACCCUCUAAAUGUAUUGUAUACGAGCGAGUUAGCGAAGACGCUUAGGCUAAUAGAUAAGAGAGCGUCGGUGCUACGCCUUCAUUCUACUACGCUACGCAAAGGUUACGAAUUAGCUCGACGUUAGGAGAGUCAAGUCAAGGGGGAAGGCCAUACCUACAUAGAAGAACUGCUGUUCGUUGACUUUCUAAGGUCUAACCUUUCGCUCCCCUACUGAAAAGGAGGAAAGCAGCUUGACUCUCUUUACUUUCAAGAGGCAGCCCACUACGCUAGAGAUCAGAAGAAAGAGAGUUUCAUGAGAUCUUCAUUCGAUCUUUGUCUUCUUUCUUGAGUUCUUCAUAUCCUCUUCUUUCUUGAGAGGAGCAAAGCAGCUUCGCACUACUUAAGAAAAAAUUCAAAAGGUCCUACUUAGUUUCGUAAGCCUUUUUCAUUGUCAGUCAACUAAGUAGGGCCUGAGGCCCCCUGCGAAUCCGUAAAUCUCAGGAGCAUGCCGCAACAAAAGGAUGGUCCCCUAUGCAUUUCAUUCUUUCCGGAAGGGAAAAAGAAGUACCCCCAUCAUGGUGAACCUCUCCUUGUGAUCGGGAUGAGGUAGAUGCCUCCCAGCCGGGGGGCGGAUCGAAUCGGAGUUUCCUUAGGUAGCCACCGACCUACAGUUAUCCUUAAACUUCCGUGCUUGGUGGAGAAGAAGCGAACAAAGGUAGGCUCGCUUCCUGUCUUGUUCUCUGCUGCGAACUGGGAUCGCUCGCCAGCUAGGUCAGAUUGGAGCAACCUUUUAUGAGAACAUAUUACCCUUAUUCGGGGACAAGGGGCGGAACGACCUCUCGAUCUACUUACAGCUGCCCAGGAAGAAUUCGUCUAGGCCUUCUUGCUCCGAUCUCCCCGUAGCCUAGGGCGUUGUCUGGGCCAAGAGCCAUAGUUAGUUGCUGUUUCCAUUUGCUUCUUUUUUUUUCUUGUUGUUGAUACCGGCAAGACCCAGCCAGAUGAUGUCUUCUGGUUGGUAGUGAGAGGACUUUUAGUACCUGCAUACCCAGGGGCGUCAAAAACAAGAAUUUGCUUUUUUUUCUUGCUCUCCCUUAGCAGCGGGGAAGGAGUCUAUCUAUCUGCCUAGCUUUGGUAGAUUUCCUCCAACGCAAUCCACAGAAAUGAAAGGAAUCCCUUGGUGGAUAAGAUAAGUCCGACGACGGAGCAGCAGUGCGGAAUGGACUUUCUCGUCUGGUGGAUCUGAUCUAUAGUUAGGGGGCAAUACAUACCAAAAGGUUCGAAGAAGGAAGGAAGAGGCGCAAUGAAAUAUGCGUUGAAGAAUGAACUCAUUCUCUUUCUACACUGACGACAUAUCCCGCCUCAGAAUAUUCCUUCCUGGGGUGGGACUCGCAUUGAUUGAAAUUGAUUGAAUCUUUCUUGAACUGAUGAGGCUUUCCAAGACGAGUAGACCGCUCCGUGGCCGCUUAUUGGGACCUGCAAGAAGCUGACUUUCUUUGCUUUCUUUCGUCGUCACAGUAGUUGGAAAAAGAAAAAGUCAAAGCAGCGGACCGCUUUUCAUCUGAAUAUCAGUCUAUUAAAGUGGUUCAUCAGCUUGAAACUGCGAAAGUGCUCAAGUAAGGAAAGAUAUGAAUCCUCGUUUAUAAAGCUCUGAUGAUCUUCUCUUUCCUCUAAGGCUUCGCACCUUUCUUUCGUCGAUUUCAGCUUCAAGACAGCGGAUCCCCAUAGAACCUAGGCCCCCUGAGGCCUGAGUUUCCCCUUCGUCAUCAGAUGCUAUUGGGAGCUGUGACCGCUAAAUUCAAUGGACCUAAUGGAUAGUCCGGAGGACUUCGGACGGAUGAAAGUAGCUACGUAGUCUUGUCUUCCCCGCUCCGUGGGCAUUGACUUCUUCAUUGAUUUGAUUUCAUCCUUCGAGAAUUCUUUGAGCCUUUGUUCAUUGAUCUUUACUGCUUUUCUUGGACUUUCUAGUGGUACUUUUCUCAGCAAAAAAGACGGCAAAUAGCCAAGUGAGAAAUCAAUGAACAAGGAUUAGCAUAUGCUUAGCACAUUCUCCAUUAGGAAAAAGACCUUCUCCUCUCGCGCGUAAACGAUGUUCCCUUCCCUUGAUUCUCUAAAUACGGCUUCGAUCACUCAUAUUACAUUGAGCCUUGCUUCCUAAUCCGAUUCUUAGACUGAGAAGACUUCGUCAUCGGCUUUUCAUGCUGUCCCAUUUAGAAAGUGCAGGACAAGAAGGAGUAUCUCCUUAGAGAAUUCUUCGGCCGAUCCAUCUGGAUACGGUAAGUAAUCUUCUUUCUAUUACUUAAUUACCUUGAAGAAUGAAAGAGCUGAAAGAGCUGCUGCAACUAAAGCCUCAGCUUCAAAACUUCAAAAAGCGAAUCAACUUCAUAAGGUCAAUCUGGCCUAGUAGCCCGAUUCCCCGACCUACCCCACCGCGUAGUGCGCUACCUCUCGCUGACUCAGGGAUUCUUUUUUGACUUCUCGUCCUCUCAAAUUCUUUGAGCCUUCUAUAUAUUCUUUGCACCAUCAAAGAAAGGUCCAGGGUCCGGAGUGCCAAAGAAAGGUCCAGGUGAUUUAUCCGUAGGACCAUCCAUAUGGAGGGAAGUAGUCCGCAGGAUUUAUCCGUAGGACCAUCCGUAAUUAACAGAAGUAGGACUAUCCGUAAUUAACCGAAGGAUAUAAGAGGAAAGCCAAAGGCGCGAAGCGAAGCGACUGAUCGAUGUUAUUGGCUGGAGAGGAGGACUCAAAAGAAAGAGAAACUGAUUAGCCGACUUAUACCGCGUAGUGGGCUUAUGAUAAGAAUUUGAGGCUUGUCGGCAGCUAAGGAUAUUCUUUCUUCCCGCGUAGUGCUUUCUUGAUUUUAUUAGUCGCAAAGUUCUUUAUAGAAGGCGCAAUUCAAUAUGCGUUGACAAGACUGAAUUCAUUGAGUGAAUCAGCGGAGGCGCAAAGAAUAUUGCGAUGAGUUGCGGGGCUAUUCUAAAAGAAAGAACUUAUUAUUAGAGUUAGACAGAAAUCAGAUCUUCUCCUUCUCUGCACCUACUAUUUAUUUGUCAGAAAGCCUAUCCUCGUCGAGCUGCAAGGGAUCCAUGAGGAAAGAGAUAGGCAUUUUUUUCACAUCCCAAAUUCAAAGAAGAAAAGAGAGAAUGAAAGAGGAUACCGAUCUCAGAACGGAUGAGGCAUCCUCAAGGGAUAAUGCUAACUGCACUCUUUCUAACCUACUUAAUGAUGACGAAAGAUUAUCAAAAACAAAUGUAUCGGUAUUAAUGAUUUUGAAAAAACUAUCCAAAAAAAAUGUAUCGGAGCGCAAACCUCCACCUCCUUCUACGUCCUACUUUAGUAAUCUUUUCAUAGUAAAGUCAAUCAUAAAAACCUCCUUCGUAGGGAUAUGAAAUUAGCCGCUCAUUAAUAUGAAGAGAAGAACCUAGCUUUUAUCAUAUUGAUUAUGAUAUGUCUAUAACUGGCUGAAGCAUCUAAAAAGGGAUGGGCUCUUUCCUGAUUUUUGAUUGUGAAAUACUCUUUUCACUCUGAUUUCAUGAUCCUGGGUUCAAGCGGUCGGUCCAUAGAAAUAAUAUGUGCUUAAUGAUUCUCGGAAAGAAAUGAAUGAAAUGAGGAUGCCGAAGCCUUUUGAAGUUAGUGGGACACGCCGAUACGACUUCUUUUACUCAAGGUUAGGAAAGAGAAGGCACCUCGCUCUUUGGGGGCUUCCAUCAAGACAAGAAGAGCCAGCGGCCCGGGUAGUAGAAGUAGCCUCACCUUUCAGGGGCAGCUGUGGCCUUUGAUGCCUCAGAUGUGACCGGAUCUCGCUUAUACGCAUGAGUUUAUUCGUGGCUUUUCAUGCGCCAUUAUAGAUCGUCCGUGGAUCGAUAGAGAAUGAGAUCGUAAGACCAGGGCCAAUAUAAAGCCCUUUCACAAGAUUAACUGGGAUAAAGAAGGUGAUUGAUUAGAGGAUCCAGAGAGAAAGAAGGACUGAUUUUAGCUGCCCAUGGAUUCAACCCCGCAAACUGCAGGUCGAAAGAAAAGGCCUUAUUGUACAUCUUUCACGCUCCAUCCCUCCUUCUACAUUACAUUUGCAGAUUCAAAGAAAAGUAGUGGGAAAGCAAAUCCAUUGUUUACGUGAAAAGUUGACGCUCAUGAAAUUUCAGAUUUGACCUUCUGGGGUGCAUUCUCAUCUAAAUCAUCUAAACUGGGGUCGGACCAGAGAAGGUUUAGGCGCCUCAAGCUCAAACUAAGAGGAAAGAGUAGGGGAGUCGGGAAUGAGAUCUUUCUCUUUCAUAAGCCUCCUCUCUCUCCUUAACUCUUCAGACUCAAUUAGAUCUCGCCUUUCAUCAGUCACUGAAAUCAGAAGAUUGAGUAGGGUGCGGAUUGAUCGGUUGCCGAAGGAAGAGAUCCUGAAUUCUUCCUUAAUCUUAAUGAGAUCUUUCCCAGUCAAGGAUGAAGAAAGAAGGCAGUGGCGCUAGAACAAAGGAGCUCGAAGACAAGAGUCAGAUUGCCUUCCCAGGGGAGAACCAGCUAGAACAAUGAUGAGGGUCGAAGGAGAGUUUCAGCUGAUCUUGUUUCAGGAGUAGCUGAGGCAGCUGCCCUUGAAAGAUGGGGGAGGGGCUGUGCCACCAGGUCUCAUCCUUCUUGCUGCUGUAGAAGUUGAAGUAGCCGCAUCCGUGGUUGUUGAGGAAGAAGUAGCUCUCCUUCGAAGAUGAAAGGGAUAGGCAGCGAGAAGUUAGUUCUUCCAUUGAAUAAGAAGGAUUCCCCAUUAGAAGCUCGAAUGAGUGAAGGAGCUGAGGAAGAGGAUAAGUAGCGUCAUGAAAGUGUCGGCGCUAGCUCUUGUUCUUGCAGAAGUAGGAGUUGAAAGGGAAGUAGUGGCUGUCGCGGUUGCAGCUCUUGUUGCAGAAAUAGCUGUCGCAGUAGUGGAAAGAGCAGUUGCUUAGUAGAAAGAAAGAUCGAUCGGGUAGGGAAUAUCAUAACUAAUGAGCAAGGAAAAGAGCUAGCCCUUUCAUCUCACUAUUUCCGAUUCCUCUUCGAGAAGAGAGCAAGCUGGAAGAACGAAAGCAACUGGAACAAGGAGAGGUGGGGUUGCUCGCGCGGACUGGAGCAUUUCUUCCCCAUCUGCAGUAGUUCCAUUAGAAGCAAGGAUAACUCAGAUUCAAGGGAAUACCGCGUACCUUUCUCUUCGAGUCGCGAGCAGCCUAAUCAAUUCCUCAACCUUUCUUCUGGGGACACUGGAAUUUCUUUCCAGAAAGAAGCUUUCUUCGCAACACAAAAAUACACAAAUAGAAGGUAUAGCUCAACCAAUUCAAGACAUCAAUGAACAAGGCUCAAAGAAUGAUCGAAGGAGAAAAGAAUUUGCGAAAGAGAAGUCCAUCAAUGAAAUGAAAUGAACAAGUCCUUCGCCUACUACAAUCAGUGGAAAGCGUCCCCGACUAAUUAAGCUAAUCUGGAGCCUUUCUUUCUCCUACGCGGAAGCGUAGCGGUUAAAGCUCAAUAUUCUUUGAGCCGUCCGGAGUCCGCAGGAUUCUUAUCCGGAGUCCGGAGGAUUUAUCCGUAGGACCAUCCGUAAUUAACCGAAGUAGUCCGGAGUCCGGAGGAUUCUUAUCCGUAGGACUAUCCAUAUGGAAGUAGGACCAUCCGUAAUUAACCGAAGCAGUCCGCAGGGCCAAAGAAAGGUCCAGGUGAUUUAUCCGUAGGACCAUCCAUAUGGAGGGAAGUAGUCCUACGUCCGCAGUCCGCAGGAUUUAUCCGUAGGACUAUCCAUUAGAAGUAGUCCGGAGGAUUUAUCCGUAGGACCAUCCGUAAUUAACCGAAGGAGUGGGCAGUCUAGUCAACGCAUAUUUCAUUGCGCCGGAGGACAGGUGGAAAUCUCAAAUUAAGGCUCAAGACGACCCCUUUAUUUAUGGAUGUUCAUUAAAUAGUGGGACUGAUUUUGAUCCAUAUUCAUGAACCGAAGGCGCAAAGAAUAUUGCGAAUCCGGAGGAGCAAUAAGACAGGGAUAUUGAUUUCCACUAAAUUCUCUCUUUAUUUUGAGUCCUACAAUUAGACGUGAGAGAUGAGGCCCACAACUUAUCCAGCAACGGACCCAAUUCGCCCUAUUCUCCCCUGUCCUGAGACUAAUAGAAAAAAGUACGGAUGGUUCUGACUCUUGUUGUCGAGCGGUAACCUAUCCUGUGUCUCGGGAAAGAAAAAUACCCUCUUUCAGAUAUACUAGAAUACCUAGUAGUGGGCUUCGUCAAAAUACCAGAAUAACGAGUAAUCCUACAUCCUAGACCCGUAACUCUUGAGCGGGCCACUCUACUCUCCCUAAUUCAACCGACUUCCUCUUUCAGUUCUAGGUCGAUACAGUUACCAGAAAAAAGAUAGGGUUCACACGGAUCGUAUUAUUUGUAUGUAAGCCGCUGAGAUCCAUAUCGUCUUGGUCGAUCCCAUUCCUAUCCCUCCCCUACAGUAAAAAGAGAUUCUGCUUUCUCUUCUUUCGAUAAUUCUUUGAUCCUCCUUAACUGCGCCCCACAUUUUAGCCUUACAGUCGAGCCGCUUUCGCUCCUAACUAGUGGUCUAAUCAAUUGAUUAAGAAGGCAUAUUCCUCGGAUCCGCUACGUGGGCUGGAGCUUUUCUUUUUGGAGUCGAAAUUCAACUCAUAUUAGAUCUCGCCUUCCUUCCGUCUCGACUUCCAAGGUAUGAAUAGGCUAACUGGAAAGGUGUGAAGCUGCUGAUGAGUUGGAGUUUGACAGGUAAUUACCAGUGGAAUCAGUAAGAUCAAUAGGAAUACAGAAAAUAGGAAGAAAUGAAUAACCGUCUUCUUGCAGCGGAGGCAUCCGUAUCCGUCUCUGCUUCCUUACUAUUCUCUUGAUUCAAUCGGAACUUUGCUUCAACCCCGUAAAUAGGGGAGAGAGAACUUGCUUCCCGAACGAAGAGGGACGCCGCCCCUUGCAGCUCGACCAGAUUGAGUAUUAGUAGUAGGAGUGGUAGAGGCAUUCUCUCGGCUCAUAGGUUACUAGUGUAGAGAGAGCUUAUUAGUCUCGACCAAAUGUUGCGGAACCCGUUGAGGAAGAAGGAAGGAAGAAAUUCUCUUUCAAGCUAGGGAAAAGACAGAGGAAUGGGAAUUGAAUUGUUCUCAACAUAGAAUGAGAGGAGCCUGCCUGGAAAGAAAGAGGACCAAGGCGAAUUCUCAGUGUCGGCGGAGUCAGUUUAGGAAGUGGCUGCCCUUGCUCUUGAAUGAGAUAGUCUAAGGAGUCAAAGUCGAGACUGGCAAGCAAAGAGGUCCAAGGCAUCACGCAAUAUUCUUUGCUCCACUAGGCUGCUUGAUAUUUGGACGCUCCGAAGGCCUCCGUAGGCCUCCUCUUGAGCUCUUUUCUGUCUUCCCGCUCCCUCCCGCUCCGUGGGAAUUGAACCGCUCCGUCGGUCCUAGUCUGAAAACCUUUGCCUUUUUAUUCGCUACGUGGGCUUCCGUUCGGAUUGCUCGAACCUAUUUAUUUUAGGUUUAGGAGUUCAAAGCCUCGCGCUAAGGUGGUAGUCUCGCAUCUUUCCCCUACCCGAUCUCAGACCUUCCCCCAGCUGCCCUUCCUUAUCCCCUGUCGAAACUGAGACAGUCUGGGUCUUAGCCGAAGCGAGACCAAGGGUUGAAUGUGCGACUUGUGCGAUUUCCCAUCACUCUACUCUGCGGUCAAAUCUUCUUUUUCCCACUAGUCAGAAUCACUCUACUCCGCAGUUUUGGGCUAUGCUAGCUGAAAGAUUUUUCAUAAAAUCAGCCCUAGAUUUUCAUCUAUUAUUUUUUAUACGCUCUCAAAUCGACUUUUCCCGCGAAAUGAAGCAAGGGAAUGAAGAUGCUCCAAACAAAGUCUGAAACCCUACUCAAUCCAAAGGAGGACUCUGAAGAAAGAUCAAGCCUAGCGAAGCCAACUCCAAAGGUGUUGAUGAGCGCAAAGAAGACGACUUUCGCCUAUUUUUUGGUCUCAUUGACUUCUAAUGGAUAGUCAUCUGGACCUUUCUUCUUUGACCGCCUUGAUUUUGCUGAACUUUGAAUGAAUAUGGAUAGUCCUACGCCUUAAUAGUCCUUCGGACCUGUCUUAUGGAGCAUCGACCGACUUGAUUCUCUUCUUUGAUUUACAAUAAGGCGAAACCUGAAACAAGGGUUUCACAUUCCAAAAAGUAUAUGAUCCCUCCCACUGGCAGCAGCAAGGCGGUAUGAGAUCUCUCAUUCUAAGGUGCAUCCGUUUCCGGAAUUGAAUUUGGAUCGGUAUUCAUAGGCUUUCCCGCCGGGUUAAUUAGUAGGGUCGUAGGGACCAUUCGCUAGGGCAUGAUCUCUUUCCCUUUCAGAAUAUAGGGUUCGGGGAAGUAGCUCUCCCGUUGCAGGAAAGGGAAUUCUCUUAAUAGGGUCUUGCUUUCUUUCGUUAUACAGUGGGAUCAAUGGGCAUCCAUCUUGAUAAGGGAAUGAGACCGCCAUAAAAAAAAGAUAGGGGGGGUUGAGGCUACUUAUCUUUAUUAGAGAAGGAUGGUAGGUAGAUAAAAAGACAAGACGGCUAUGAAGAGUGAGAGAUUGAAAGAUGGGAAAAGAAGCGAAAGCAAUUGCAAGAAGAAGGUUCACCACUGAAAGAACUAAAGCAAGAGCGCGAGUGAGGUUGGGGAUUUGAAAGAGUAUUCCACCCUUAACCUUUUCUUGAAAAGAUUAUUAUCAAUAUCAAGAGCGCUUUCCGGGUCAGACACCGAUCGGCAUAUCUUUUGACAGUGAGGUAAACUUCUUUCAUUUUUGGAAAGGCGUAUGAGAUUAUCAAUCUCAUUUCAUGAUUUGACUGCCGGGCGAUUUCCCAUUCAAUCUUCCAUGAAAACCAUACCCAAAUGGGGAAGGUCAACCAUUUGGUGUCCAUUUUUCACAUCUCUUUUCCCGUGCGGAGGUUCUGAUAGGACGCUGCUUGACUAAGAAGAGAGGAGGUUGCUUGGGGCUGUGGAAGUUGCUUCCUUUCGGUAAGCUGAAAGAUGUGAUCUGGCCCUCGGCCUUGGACUCCCAAGAGAAGAAAUCCAAACAAAGAUGAUAAGAUAAAUGGAAUCAACCCCUCGUUCUACCCGUGGGGACGGUUGAGCUGACCAUAGGAAAGAGCUCUUCCGACCGGUCACCUGGACCCUUCUUUUUAAAGAAGAAGAAAUUCAAUUGAAUUUCAUAGUAAUUUCUUUUCAAUCAUCAGGCUCAAAGAAUUUGAGAAAGAGUAUUCCAAAGAUUACUAUCUGCUGCUCUGAAUUUCAAUAUAUAUAUAAGAAAGUAUUCCUUUAUCAAGCUCGAAUAUGAAAUAAAUAAGUUGAAGAAGAAAAAUAAUAAGUUGAAAGAAGAAGAAGAAAGCCCACCUUCCAACUAGGGAGCAUCUGGACCCUUUCGUCAUUGAGUAGUAAUUCAGCCUUUUCUUCUUCUUAGUUUGGAAUACUUAAAAGAUAAAAACCGCGAAAUCCAAUAAUAAGGAAAAAGAAUGGGCUUCCCAGUCCCUUCCAUUAUACUUGUCCAGCCUGAUACUCGACUCAAUGAAUUCAGCGAAUCUGAAUAGGAUUUCCUCAUCAUAAAUCUUCUAUAGCUCAAAGAAUGAUCGAAGAAUAAUGAAAAAAUUGCUCUUUCUCUUAGAUUCCAGAAGAGGUAUUUUGAUCUUUUAGAAAGAGAAGAAUUACUUAAUUAUGAUCGCCUUUGUUCAUUACUACGAAUGUGCGGGGCUCUAAAUAAGAGUCAUUUUCGAUAUCGUAUAUCAGAUUUCCUGAAUCCCGGGACAAGACCUAGGGGAUCCGUCCCUACAUUUUUCUCUUUCAUUCUUUCUGUGAGUCUGAGAUGAGGCAUUCUUUCUCUGGUUAAGUGAAAAUUAUUGAGGAAGAGGAAGAAUUCCGAUAGUAUGAAAGGUACCGCUACGUGGGCAUUCCCAGCUAGGGAAGAGAAAGAGAGAGAGAAGAGGCCGGGCAAGGAGAAGAAUUCCAACGAUUAUUAUACCGGAAUAUCCUAUCCAUUUUUUUCUUGUAAUCUGAAUCUUCCCUUUAUUAUUUGAUCCGACCCUCUCCUUCUAGAACCUAUAAACUCGAAUCGCUGAGUACAGUUUUUGUUCAUUAAAAACCUGCGAGACUGGUAAUAAAUAGUUAGAAGGGAAUGCGCAUCCUCGUAGCCGAUUGACUUCUCUUGAUCUUUUAUAAGUCAACUCUUUCUUAUCAUAUGGAAUCGCACGAGAUCUCACCUCCUACGCAGAGUCAAAAAAUAGGAUUUGUAAAUUGGGUUUCGGUCAAUUAUGAUUCUGGCAUUCCAGACUAAAUCAUCAAAAUCUCCGCGCUUUGCUGUCGAAACUAAGACAAAGACUGGUAUUUCAGCGCUCGGCGGACUUGGCGGAUUGGGAUGGACUUCUUAACCUCCAUUCGUCUUGAUCUCCACCUACGAGUGUGGGAACUGAAUAAGACCUAAUACUGACUACUACCGCGAUUGAGGAAGAGGAGAAUAUUCCUUCAGUUAUCAAAUUCAUUGAAUUCCAGGCAAUCUUCGAAGUGCGCGUAUAAAGAGCAAGGUAAGAAGUCCUCGAGGUUUCGUUCUCAUAUGAAUUCAGCCUAUCCAAGGCAAGUGGUCAUUGUCUGGUCACACCCGUGGAAAGGUUAUUGGCCUCUGUGAAUUGAUGCUCAGUCGAUCCGGGGCAUAAUAGGUUUCUGGUCGCCGACUAGCUCUCUGUAUCAGCACCUUGUGAUCUGAUCUUUUCUCAUUACGAGCCCUCUCCGCUCCGUGGGGUCCUACGAAGAGCUAAGCAAAUUCUCCCCAACGAAUCCUUCUAAGUCGCAAUAUUCUUUGCGCCUCUCAAAUUUCAUUCUCACGCAUAUUUCAUUGCGCCUCCAAAGUCAAAUUCUCUAAUGGAUAGGCCUUGGCAAUAUUCUUUGCGCCUUCUGGAAAUCUUCUUUGAACCGGAGGACCGUCCGAAGGACUGAUUUUGAUCCAUAUGAAUGAGGCGGAGGACGCCUAUUUUUUGGAAAGAAGAAAGCAUUAUGUUCCUUACAAUAUCCCUGUCUUAUGGAGCCUUGUCGAGCUUCGAUAAUUCUUUCUUUUAAAGGAAGAUGAACCGUCAAAGAAAGGUCCAGGCGCAAAGAAUUUGCGGGUCCAUAUUAACCUCUUUGCGCCUCCGGACUUCUUUAUCCAUUGAAUUUAACCUAACUACGGCUCCUCUUCAGUCGUUUUCUACCCCGCUAGAAAUCCUUUGUUUUUGGAGCACGUAGAAGGAGGCUGAAUUCAUAUGAGUUUAAAAGACCGCUCCAGGCGCAAAGCAUAUUGCGUGAGAUUCCACUAACUAAUAUUCCGACCGCUCCAACUAACCUCUGCGGUCAGUCCUUCGGACCAGCUUGCUAUGAAUCAUAUUGUCAAAUAAGCCUUUGUGGACUCCUCCUACGCUCAAUAUUCUUUGAGCCUCCAGGACGUCGUCUGGACCCUUAUUUCCAUAUGAAUUUGUGCAUCUUUGCUUAGCUUAAUGAGCUCAUUUUCUUUUCUUUACGUAAAGUCUUCGCCCCAAUGAAUAUGGGGAUCGUUGGAAUAAGACUCGUCCGGAGCCGUAGUUAGGGGCAAAGAAUAUUGCGAAAACGUAGGCGCAAAGAAUAUUGCGGAGAAGAAGAUUUCCAAGACUGGUCCGUCCUCCUUACUCAAGGAUUCCGCUAAAGUGCGAGGCGCAAAGCAUAUUGCGUGAGAAAUCCCGUCCUCAGUCCUAUCCAUAUUAAGCUGUCUGUCCUUCGGACCUGUGGUCUAAUCAAUUGAUUAAGAAUCGAUAAUUCAGGCUCAAGACGAUCUCCAUGGGCUCGCUUUCUUUGGAUGGACGGAGGAGAGGCGCGUAGCGCGUAAAAGAAAAGAGGUCUUUAUCUUUCUACGUUGAGGCGCAGCAGUUGACUGGACAUCUAGGGGUAAAGCACUCUUUCGGUGCGGGCCGCGAGAGCGGUACCAGCAAACUCUGAAUACUAGAUAUGAUCUCAAAAUAACAGGGGUCAAGGUCGGCCAGUGAGACGAUGGGGGAUAAGCUUCAUCGUCGAGAGGGAAAGAGCCCGGAUCACCAGCUAAGGAACCUACCCCUAAAUGACCGCUCAGUGAUAAAGAUAAAGGAGGUAGGGGUGCAGAGACAGCCAGGAGGUUUGCCUAGAAGGAGCCACCCUUGAAAGAGUGCGUAAUAGCUCACUGAUCGAGCGCUCUUGCGCCGAAGAUGAACGGGGCUAAGCGAUCUGCCGAAGCUGUGGGAUGUAAGCAUCGGUAGGGGAGCGUUCCGCCUUAGAGGGAAGCACCUGCGCGAGCAGUUGUGGACGAAGCGGAAGCGAGAAUGUCGGCUUGAGUAAGGCAAAGAUUGGUGAGAAUCCAAUGCCCCGAAAACCGCGUAGUGGGGGUUCCUCCGCAAGGUUCGUCCACGGAGGGUGAGUCAGGGCCUAAGAUCAGGCCGAAAGGCGUAGUCGAUGGACAAGAGGUUCAUAUUCCAGUACUACCCCUUGUUGGUCCCGAGGGACGGAGGAGGCUAGGUUAGCCGAAAGAUGGUUAUCGGUUCAAGGACGCAAGGUGCCCCUGUUUUUUUAGGCUAAGAAGGGGUAGAGAAAAUACCUCGAGCCAAUGUUCGAGUACCAGGCGCUACGGCGCUGAAGUAAGCCAUGCCAUACUCCCAGGAAAAGCUCGAAGGACUUCUUUAUCCAUUGAAUUAGGCGACUUGUCUUCAGACGAGUCAAUGAAAAGUGAAAAAAGGAAAACUCUCAUUGUGAUCGCCAUUCUCUUCUUUCCGUCGGAGGCGAAGGACCAAUCUUUUUUUACCGCUCCCUCCGCUCGUCUUGAGCCUUAAUUUGAUCCCCCUACGUGGGCGAGAAAUAUCCGGUGAAGGCGCAAAGAAAGAAGCUCAUUAACGAUAAUGAAAGCAGAAUGAACUCAUUAACGAGAAUGAAAGAAGCUCAAAAUGGGAAUGAAAGAAUCCGAUCAUUCUUUGAGCCUUGUUUUUACGGAGUGAAAUAAAGAAUAGACCCGUAUUUCUCCGGACCAGAAACUAGAAGUUUGAACAAACUAUGUGAAUUUCUUAUCCCUUUAUGAUUCUUUCAUUGCUAUUUCCCGGCUUUUUUGCUUCUAAAUAGGACUUUUUCGACUUUUCUUAUCUAACGAAAAUAGAUCAAAAAUGACAGAUUUUUCAUGAUUUCUUGCUACUUUAUAGGCCCAAAACCUAGCAAAAUCUUGUAUUUCCCUCCGUAAAAACAAGGUUAUUCAAUCCGAAUUAUUCUUUCAUUCUCGUUAAUGAGUGAAUUAUUCUUUUCUUUGAUUGACUUUGAACAGGCGCAAAGAAUUUGCGAAGAAGGACUAUCCAUUAGGGAACGUGAGAAAGAAUAUUGCGUGAGAGAGAGGGAGCUAUUUCCCAAGGCAAUUAAUAUCAAGGCAUAAAUCAAAGACAAAGAAGCUUCUCGACCUGGUACGAAGCGAGAGCUAUCAGAAUCUGAAGAAUGAAAAUGAAGCUCUCAAAAGAAAGAGGGACUUGCUCAACGGAGGGACGGACGCUCCACGCUCCACAGCGGGAGGACGCGCCUAAUUCAUCGGGUUAUGCUUAGGUUCGGUUCGGAAAGGAGCUCGCUCAGUCAUUCCAUUAGCAUCAGAAGGUGAAAAGAAUAUUGACAGGACCACCAGGCCUAUUCAAGUGCAAAAAGAAAGGUCCAGGCGCAAAGAAUAUUGCGAAUAGCUAUUACUUUAUUUGGAGGACGAGACGGAGUGAACGAAGUCGAUUACAUAGUGGCUCGCCCCACGGAGCGGUUACGAGCGUUCUAAUGGAUAGUCCGGAGGACCACGGAGCGGUCAUGAGCGAGAGGAUCCAGGCUCGACACCAGUAGUAGCAAUUGUUGAGGAGACAGGCUCGGCCGGUUAAAUGGAUAGGACCCACGGAGCGGUGCAAAGAAUAUAUAGAAGGCGCAAUUCAAUAUGCGAGGUCCAGAUGAGUAAGAAAGAUUUCCUUAACUCCUAACGUCUGCGACUCAAAGUAAUAGCUAUAAUGAGUCCUCCCUCCUUUAGGAGUCUUCUUCAUAGUCCUCCCUCUCAAAAUGGGGAUGAAUAGUCCGGAGGACCAUCUGGACCCGUCCGGAGGACUGAUUAAUGGAAGCAAAAGAGUCAUGAUCCCUUAUAAAGCAGUUUCAGACGUUAGGAGCAAAGAAUAUUGCGAAAGAGUCAUGAUCCCUUACAGACUUAGGAUCAAUGAAAUUUGAUGAGUCAUGAUCCACUAGGUGCAAAUCUUGUUAUAGAUUAUGCUGAUUAAUAUGGAUAGUCCUUCGCAAAUUCUUUGCGCGGAGGGCUCAAAGAAUCCAAAAAGAAAGGUCCAGGCGCAAAGAAUAUUGCGUUCGUAGCCAUUAUCGAAGAAAAAUCCGUAAAUAAUAAGGCUCGGCUCGUGUGCAGGACAAAGGCCCCAAGAGAGGCAGAAUCAAAACCCCACCAGGGAUCGGAUCUAUGGAAAGAAAGGUCUCAAUCGCGGGUCAGGAAAACUAAGACGCUUAGAGAGCCACGGGCUCUUUCCGUCUACGAAGGAAGCCACCGCCCUCCUCAGAAGUUGAUCUUGCGUCCGAGGUAGAGGUCCUUUUCCCUCUUUCUUUGGAAGUGGAGUAUGACUUCGGUAGUAGAUUGAAUAAACUGCUAGCUCCCUUCUUUCGAGGUGGGAAGCCGCUGUCAGUCUUGAGUCAGACUUCGUUAUUAGUUCGUGGAAUCUGAACUAAGAUCGGUGCGGGUAAGACCUCAGGCAGAGUUUCAGUUUCAAUCCAUCACUCCACUCGGACGAAAGGGAAAGAGUACAAACCCACCUAUCCAUUAUUAGGGGUCUUAGCAUCUCCACAUCAAGGGGCUAAGGCUUGAUUAUUUCAUGGAAUGUGUCUCAUAAUCGUAAGAUAAAAGAGAAGGUACCCUAGAAGUAAUAGCGCGACCAGAGUCAGAAGCUGCUAGCUAGGCGCCCUAGAUCUGAGAGGCGAAAGGGUCGAGUGAGUUCUAGAACGAGAGAGAAAGAGACCUGAGGCAUCCAUGCCCUGCUUUUUUUUGUUUACCCAAUAUCCCUUGAAUAGGAAAGGAAUGAGCCCUAGCUUUAUGCCAGAACCCACGGAGCGGUGAGGACCGACUUUCAUAAUUCUCGCAAUCGCCUAUCCAUUUUCUAUAGGAUAGACUGGAGCUCACCCGAGGGAAGAAGUACUGUAUCGGGGAAUGGGACCCCACGGGGCCUCCAGCUCGACCUUCCCCAGUGGGCGUAAUUAAGGAAAGGAGACCCCCUCCCUUAUAAUUGAACCGUUAAGCCCACUCCUCCUUCAGCAUAAUCUACGAAGCGCAUUUAUUAAAGAAGAAAGGCUCCUUUCAUAUUGAGAAUAUUGCUGGAAGAUUUGCACUGGGGGAUAUUGAUUUGUUGGAACUAAAAACCGAUGUCAUUGACUCUUAGGCGGAGGACCUAGAAUAUCCCUGUCUUAUGGAGCCUCCUCCUACGCGUCCAGAUCCCCAUAUGAAUUAGGCGAAGGACUGAUUAAUUCCACUAAUAUUUCUCCGGACCAUUAAGAAAGAAUGUCCUUCUGACUAUUCGUCCUAUUUCUUUAGAAGGACGAUCUAUCUCUUGAUUUUCUUUUGGGGAAGAUCUUCCUCUUCUUUCAGAUUCCCGCCGGCAUAUAUGAGGGAGGGAUGGGAAUUGGGCCUCAGCCUCAGAGCUCUUGUAUCAGACAGAGGGGGAAAAGACCUAGUGCACAUUACCGAGUCCGGGAUAGAGGCCGCCCGCCCAAAGAUCACUUCUUGGGAUAUCUGGUCUAGCCAUUGGUCUUACCGACUCCCGUUUCGCCUUUGCCUGGGCCUAGGUGAUCGCUCAUAAGCAUCUGCUUGGACAGCCCGAGUGGUCCCACUUUGAUCUUACCCAUGAAACCUACUCAGACGGGACUCAAAAAUCAGCCCUUGCUUUCUCUUUGUUUAUUGAUUUCAUUCUAGGGAAGGAAUCCAGGCCUCGUUUUCAUCCAUUUCUGACUUGUUCAUAGAAUAGAAUAAUUGCUUAAAAAGAAACUUCCACAGGUCCGAAAAUCAAUGAACUCUGCGGGUAGAUUUCAGACUACGACUGAGGUCUAAAUAUAGAAAGUCUUUUUUUGAAUCAGACUCGUCCUUCCGCGGUUCUGAACAUGAAUAUGGGGAUCGUUGGGGAAUCAAUUGAUAAGGAAUCUUCUCAUAUUCAUUCAGCCUCAAGACUCAACAAUAUCCCCCAACUACGUUGCCUCAGUCGCAGCUUCAAGUUCCAGGCAAUAUUCUUUGCUCCUAACCUUUGCGGUCAGUCCUUCGGACCAGCUGACUAUCCAACCUAAAUAGGAAGGAGUCUUAGAGCGGACGUCGCAAUAUUCUUUCUCAUAUUUCGGCAAUAUUCUUUCUCUGGGUUAAUAUGGAUAGGACUGAGGACGGGGGAUGUGAGUUGCUCAAAGAAUCCCACACCUCUCACGGUAGACGAAGAGAUAAUGACUAUUUAUACCGGAACUAAUGGUUAUCUUGAUUCAUUCGAAAUUGGACAAGUAAUGAAAUAUUCUUUUUUUCCUUGAGUUAGGCGAAUAAACCGCCUCAAUGAACAAAGGGUGGGGUUCCUCUUCCUCUUUUUGUAGUUAUUCCGAUCCGCCAUAAAAAGAGAUAGGGCUUUCUUCUUCCUAUGAAACUCAUGAAAGAGCUUUUUUCCUAUACCUCUGACUCAAGAUGGAUUCCUCUUACCCCUCCGAUCCCGAGAAAGAAAGCGGAAAUCUUCUUUUCACCUCUGCCGCUGGUCGAGUCCUUUGCCCCUGGAUAGCUGCUUUUCCUACUUAUUCGUCAUCCUUAGUUUGCAUGAUAAAGGGUUUAUUCAAUUCACGUCAAAUCCUUUUCCUGGGAAAGAUGUCAAAAAGUCAGGUUUCGCCUAUGGAUAGGGGCAUUCUUUCUAGUUAGAUCAAUGGAAUGGCUAGUCAAGACCAGGAAAAACCUGUGCUGCCCACACCAGGGAGGGGGCAGAGGCCAAGACUCAUAAUAUCCGAGAGGGCGACCACUUUACCUGCUUUCCUCUUGAGCGCCCUACUUAUGAUAAUGGGUUCAUUCACUCAAUUCCAUCUCGCCUGCCUUUGAAUUUCAGGUAAUUUGAUUGAAAGCCUUGCCCGAGAAUGCUUGGGAGCACCUUGGUUUAAACCAUAGGCGAGCCCUAUAAUAAAGAAUUUGGUUGACUACCCCCUUCCGCUGGAUUGAAAAAUCAUCCUUUGGUCCAGCAGUCAAAGAACUGACUUUUUUUGAGUGCUUGCUCGACCUACUCCUAAAAGCAUACAUCAGUCCGAAAUUCCCCUAUUGGAAGCAGAGUGAACUAGAGGAGCUCCUAUCUUUUAUGGCAGAUAGGCGGAUAGAAGGAUUUUCCUACAAAAAGAACUCGCUAAUGAAAGAAUUGAAUAUGGAUUGACGCCUGGUAAGGAUAGGUUUGAAUCAGCGGAACUAGGCUCAAAGUAACAAGUCAGAGCUAUCCCUUAUUAUUGAGGGCUUUGACCCGCGCAAAGAAUUUGCGAAAGCUGCGACCCACUACGCUCCCUGAUGGAUAGUCCGGAGGACCACUACGCGGGAAGAAAGAAUAUCCUUAGCUGCCGUGAGACAGGGAUAUUGUGAAAAAACAAGGCUCCGAAGUGAUCAAAAAAGUUCAGACUCCUUUUGAUAGGCUUUCUUUUCAGUCCUCAGGUUAAUAUAGUGGAAUUCUUUGAACGUCCAGAUCCCCAUAUUCAGUAGGCGAAGGACUUUGACUUAGUGGAUAAGAGAGGUCCUUCGGACUGGUAAAAUGCUAUUUUUCAUCUAUCAAUAUCCGAAGUAUUAGGCGCAAAGAAUAUUGCGAGAAGGAGAGGGAUGAAAUAGCGAGACCGUAGGGAGAGGGAUGACUCUCAUCUCAAAUUUCUAAUACCUCAUAUCAUGGAAAUAUGGAGGUCAUUGAAUAAUGGCAUCCAAAAAUGCAGAUUUGAAGCAAAGAAAAAAGACCGCUUCGGGGAUCGCAUAUGAAGAUCCUGAUCUCACCAUCUCGGGAGAUCGACUCUGUCCCCUCUUGGUCUAGCUCGUCGUCAACUCGGCUUAGCGUGAUAGGCAUUCUCUUCAAUACUCGUUUACUCUUAUGUAUGAAAGAGAAUUCUUCUAGGCCGACCAAGCGGGUCCUAUCUUUGAGUGAAGAAAAAGCUAAUAGGUCAUGCGCGGGCGCGCCCGCCGAAUCAGUCUUGACGCUUGGAAUCCUUAUACUUCUUCUCCUUCGAGAUAGAGAAGAUCAUGAACUCUUAUAUAUAUAUGAGUGAAUAUACUAUCUGCCGCUUUUAAGAAAAGAAAGAAGAACUUCUGCUACGGAAACGGCGGCUCGAGCGGACUCAGUCUGGCGACCCGACUAAAGAGAGUUUUGAAGCACAAGUUCACCUUAUCAAUGAGUUAAAGAAUAUAGACAAAGAAAGGAGGCAAGGAAUGAAGCAAUCAAUGAUUGAGAACAACUCCUUCGGAGCGCUCCUACUCCGUCUUAUGUAGUGUAGUGCCGUAGGUCUUUUCAUGCGAAAAUGAACUAUUUGACCUCUCCUUUUGACUCCUCCUCCGGACGUAGAAGGCGCAUAUUGCGAGAAGGUUGAGGUCAUUUUUUCUAAGAAAGAAGAGGGACAUAAGAAGAAAAGUCAAUGAACAAAUCAGCCACGCGAUUAGCCUGACGAUCGAGCCGAUCCACGGAUGAGGUCUCUUUCUUCAAGAAGAUCGGAAACUGGAGCCUCAGAUGCCACAGCCACUAUCUUCAGAGCGGGUUUAUUAAGAGUGAACAAUGAAAGAGAAGUGUAGACCCCAGCAAUGGUUGAACUAUGGGGGCACCCUCAUUCCAGCUUCAAAAGUACUAAUUAGUGGAAGGCAUCUUUGCGCCUCCGGACUAUCCAUAUUAAGAAAGAGUGAGAAAGAAUAAUCCCACGAGCGACUCUAGCUUGGACAUAAGCUCUGGCGGAGAAGAGAGAGAUUUGUCUUAUCUUUCGUCCCUAGCGCCUUAUUGACAGGGUCGAUUCCUCUCCGCAAUAUUCUUUGCGCCUCCGUCUAGAAUUUCAUUCCUCUUUAGUUUUAGUUUAGUCUCGCAACUGCAUUCCUUAGUAAGGAGUUUGGAAUGCUUCCACUUCUUCUCCUUCAAGAACCCGAACGGAUAAUGUGUCUGAGCGGAACGAUUUACGUCAAUCAAAGUACAAAUCAGCCACGCGAUUAGCCUGACGAUCGAGUCCCUGAACUAGCAAAAGUUCCAUAAAUCAGUCAAGAGGAUCAAUGAAAUUUGAUGAUGAUGACAGGCGCAAAGAAUUUGCGAAGAAGGACUAUCCAUCAGGGAGGUGCAAAGAAUAUUGCGCUAAAGGUCUAUCAAAUGCAUUCCUCUCCGAGCUUCCUCUUCCCCUAUUUCCUAUUAUAUAAGGCGAGCCUAUUUCCUCUCUUUUCCCUUUGAGCAAUAUUCUUUGCGCCUCUUCCUUUCUUUCUCGACUGGGACACUGCAAUUUCUUCUUUUCAACGACUUAUAUCUUUUUCUAUAAAAGAAGCUUGAUUUGCCCUUCUAUAAAGAAGGUAUAGCUCAACCCACGUAGCGGUAAGGUAGGUCUGCUGAUCUGUCUUCCGACUGAGAUAUGACCAUAUCCCGGUUUCGGUCGGGUCAAUCCAGUCGCCUAUCUGCUUCGCUUACUAGAUGGAGUCUUUCUUUUAGAGUACUGAGAAUACGAACUGCAAGCUGCUCGGACUAACCCAGCCGAUCAAAGAGUGGCUUUCCACGAACCAUGUUUUGAAGUGCAAACUCUUUUCCCAUGGAAGAUCUGAAUUGGUGGACCUCUGUACGAUUAGGGCGAAGUCCACCCGUGCAAGAAUCCCUUUGUUUUGGGUUCCCCAUGUGCUUUUUAUUAGUGCGAAUGCACAAAUCCCCACGGUUUUUUAUGACUUACUCAACUCUGAAUCACUCUACGGAGCUGUUUUGACAUAGGGAAAGUAUAAGAAGUUCAGUAAAGAACAAAGAAGAAUGAGAAGAGAAGAAGACUUUUUCAAAGUAUGAAAGGAUCAGAUCUAAAGUAGAGAGAACCAAUAUUACUUGAGCAGGUGCGAAGCCUUAGAGGGAAAGAGAAGAUCAGAAAUCAAAGCACUAUUUUAAGCUUAUGAACUGAGUCUUACUUGAGCAGUUCUUGUUCAACUUAUUGAAUUUCAUAGAAUUGACUUAAUUAUGACUUAGAUUUCAUAGAUUCUUAUUAAAUAAUCUUUCGCACUUUCUUGAUGAUGAGGCGAUCAGAAUGAUCGGAGUGCAAGUGCAUUAGAAAUCCCAUUGUGCACAUUUACCCUCUAUUCUAAAACCUCUUUUACGGGAUUCGGACAAGUCUAGUCUGGAAUACGAACUGAUCCUUCUCCUUCUCAAAUUCUUUGAUCCUUUACUCAUUAGUGAUUUUGAAUACGGAAUAAUCCACCCUAAAAAGUAGGAGGAUACCGAUUCUGGCUUCGCCCCUCUUUCCUCCUAUUCGGGCGGUCCUAUUCACACCCGAUCCCGUCUCCCUCUCACUCUCCGCCCCGUGGGUUUCAUCGACCGUACUCUGACUCUUACUCAAGACUAACCUCCUUGACUCAAGACUAACCCUCUCCUUUCCAGUCGAGUUCUUUCGCACCGCUACGUGGGCUUUCCAGUCCUCUACCCGAACCUGUCCCACUACACAAUAUCCCCUCAUACCUUCUCUCUCAAUUUCUUCUUCAAUCGAUGAAUAUCCGCAAAAGAAAAGGUACUCAGAAAAAGGAAUGAAUAAGAGAAAAGCUAGCCUGAUGGGCCGCUUAGUCGGUCCUUCGAACCAGCCCUUGAAAGAGCACUCCCCUAUUAUAUUAAGUCAAGCUUUUUCUCCCUUCUUCUUUCUUCUUUCACAUGGUUUCCGAAUCAGAAUGAAUGAGCGGCUAAUAUCCCUACGACCAAGAGCAAGCAAACUCAUAAAGUAGGGGAGGAAGGUAAUCAUGGGGCAGGAGGUUUCUUAUUAAAUAGAAUAAGAGCUUUCCGUCUUUCUCUUCAAUACCGUCAAAAAAAGACCGUCGAAGUAUGCGCUUCCUCUCUUCUCGCCCUAUGCGCCUUCUUCUUCUGUUCCCACUCUGCGGUACGGAAUCUUCCUUUGGCGCAGUGCUAUGGAGCAUUUCCCUUUCCCACCGGUCAUACACCGAAACCAUUGUAACCAUUGUCUUAAGCAUAGCCUGUCCUUAUCGUCCAUUCAAACUUGAAAGAAUUGCAUUCAUGAUCGAAUUACUAUACAGAUUACAAGGAAUCAAAGUCCUCCCCAUCCAUCAUUCAUAGCACAAGUCCGACUAUCCUACUAGGGGGCACAAACUCCCCACCAUAAGAAGAGGCUUAGGCGCCCCCAUAGCGUGGAUCGGUAUCGGUCGACCCUACAUUCCUAUGAAAGAGCUGAUUUUGCUCUUUGGGGGGAGAAGAGGAAGCCGCUUAUCGAGCCACAGUUUAGGCUCUUUCCGUCUCAGUUCUUUAGGCAGGAAUGCGAGACCGGUCAUUUGUUGAGGAUGCACCACCAUCCUACUCGGUUGAAGCUUUUCUUCUUGAGGAAGAGGUCCUGGCUGAAAAGGAAUCAAUCGCCCCAGUGGCUGGCAGGAUCUCUUUGUCUGACUUUCUUUUCUGUUUAUGUACAAGUCGUUCUUUCAUAAAGAGAAGUUGUAGGGCAUAUCUCUCUUUCCUCACGCGAAAGGAUUCUUUCUGUACUUUUACAUGUCAAUGUAUUGACUUUGACAAGGAAGAAGAAGAGAAAGUUCAGUCAGCCCACGUAGCGGUAAAGGAGAGGCAUAAUAUAAGGAUAGGAGGCAAGGCUCUUUGAAUUUGAGAAGAAGCGAAGCUAGGCUUCAUAGGAGAAAGUUCAGUCAGGCGCAAAGAAUAUUGCGUGAUUGAUGCAAUUCAAUUCCUCUCAUCAAAAACCUAGAAAAGUAAUAGGAUGAAUAGUCAGAAGGUGCAAAGAAUAUUGCGGAGUUUGGUCCUCCGCCUUACAAUAUCCCUGUCUCAAAUUAAGGAUCUGGACCUUGAUUUUUCAUGGAUCUUUUUUGAUGCAUCUGGACACUACACAAUAUCCCCUCGCAAAUUCUUUGCUCCUCCUCUCAGUCGAGCUCCUUCUCGCAAUAUUCUUUGCGCCUCCCUGUCUCCUCCUAAUGGAUAGUCCUACUUCGGUUAAUUACGGAUGGUCCUACGGAUAAAUCACCUGGACCUUUCUUUGGCCCUGCGGACUCCGGACGUAGGACCUGUCUUUAUCAGGAGCGUAGCGAACAGCCGUCAACUACUUUCUAUUUAUCCUAUCCUUUCUUUCGGAGUAGCUCCAGCGUAGCGUAGCGGUGAAAGCUCAAAUUGCAUUGAGCCUGUUCAAAGUCAAUCAAAGAAAAUCCGUUCAUUAACGAUAAUGAAAGAAGAAAAAAAGCAAAUUCAUCUGCUAGAUUUCAGACAUCUUUGCUUAAUGAAGACGGAGUGAAUUCCAUGAUUUUGCUAGGUUUUGCCCAUAGGAAGUAGCAAGAAAAGACAAAAAAUCAGUCAAAAAAGUACUUUUAUCGUUAAAUAUCAAUAUGAGAAAAAGUAUGAAAAAGAAGCAAAAAAGCCGGGAAAUAGCAACUGGUCCAUUAUCAAAAUCUAGGUCAAAGAAAUUCUCAGUUCUAGUUUGAGUUUCUGGUCCGGAUACUGACGGGUCUAUUCUGGAUUCCGCUCCUCCGUUCUAAUGGCGCAAAGAAUAUUGCGGUCAUGAUUCCCAAGGCUAAUAUGGAUAGUCCUUGCACUCCGUCCUCUUGACUCGUUUUCUCUUCUUAGAUAAAUGCGCUUCGCUUCGCGCAUCUGGACCCCUUAUAUCCGGAGGAGGAGUUUUCUACCUUUGAAAAGGAGUCUUAUUCCACUAAAAAAUUAGUUAGGAGCAAAGAUGACAGGCGCAAAGAAUAUUGCGAGACCGGAGGACUAUCCAUUAGAAAUCUGGAAACUUCGGUUCAAUUAUUUUGGAGGGGUCUCAUUGAUAAGGACAUAUUAAUCUGUGGAUGCUACUUGAUUAAUGGGGUGAUGAGCAAUUAUUAAGGAGAAGGACGUUCAAAGAAUAUUGAAUCUACCUUUCUGACUGAACUUUUUUGAUUGCUUUCUUCCUUUUAUUAGUAGGCCAAAAGUAUAGGGCACGAGCUCAAUCUGGUCUAACCGCACCCGCAAGACCCUUGUUUGGGGUAGAAGAAAUGUGAACAAAGAAUGAGCACUGCUCUUCCGAUUUCAGAUGAUAAUGUCACAGACUUAACGGAGAAUUACCGCUCCGUGGGUGAUUCAAGAGCUGAAAGAGCAGCCUCAGCAUCUGCCGAAAGAUCUCUUUCUUCCUCUAAGAACCGCUACGAUCUUCCUUAUUGAAAGGUAGAUUCAAUAUUCUUCUCCGUCCGGAGGACCUAACGGUCAAUGAAAUAUGAGAAGAAGAUUUCUCAAGAAUAUUGAGGCUGAAUGAAUUGAGAUUCUUUAUAUAUUGAUUCUUUCGUAGGUUCUAAAGGAAGAAAGAGAAAGCCUAGGUCCGCUACGCUUUCUGAAUAGAAGGCCUUACCAAUCCAACUCGCUCAAAGAAAGCCAAACCCGUUACAGUAUAGAUAGAAAGAAGCUCUUUGUUUCCAGGCGCCAUUGAAUCAGACUAGGGACAAACUCCCCCGAUCUCGGGAACCUCAAUCACUGCACUGGUCGGAAGCAAGCCGGGCCACUCUUUCCUUUCAGUAUUUCAGUAUCCCUUUUUUCUCUUGCGAUUUCCCAACCAAGGAAAAUAGAUAGAUAAGGCCUCAGCCCAAGCCGAUCUACUGUCCUCUUAAGGAAUUCAGUUGUUGAAUCUGUGAAUUCACUCUCAAUUAGUUGCUCGCCCCAGACCCCCAUUUCCGGCUGAGAUGUCCAGAUCAGGCUAUUUUCGCUUUCGUCAGGCUUGGGAUUGAAGAGAAUUCAGUAAAUACUAGUUCCACAUCCCUAACUUGUUGAAAGAGGGACAAACUAACUAGACAAAGAGGGACACAGUUGUGAGACCUACUACAGUCCAAGAUUCAAUCAAAGGCGCUCAACAGCGGUUACGAGGCCUGGUGGCUAAGAAGAUUAAUUGAGUCGACCUGGUUUAGUUUAGUGAGCACUCUGCCUUUCCGAGAAGAGGUGCGGAUUGAGAAGUUUCCGUUCUUGAAGCUCUAGUGGAAAGAGAGCUUUUCUUCUUUAUAAGAAAAUAUUCUUAUCCAUCGUUAAUUCACUUUUCUCAGAAAGAAAAUGGAUUCAGUCUACGGUUUUCUAAUCAAUCCUAUAUUAGUUAUGGGACAACCACACCAACAAAUAGCUCAUACGGUCCCCCUGCUUCUGACUUGAAAGGACCCGGGAGAGCUCCUCUUGAUCGAUCCGACGAGAUGAUAACUGCACUUAUUCAAUGGAAGAACUUCUCGCUUCCUUUUUUUUUGAGUGCGCUCGGCGGGGGCCACAAAGUGUUGACAACUAUUUCUCAUUUCUCUUCUCUUUCUGGAGUAUCUCACUUUUGUCUCAUUUUGCGGAUCGCCAUUGAGGAAGGAAGGAUCGGAAGAGGUCGUCCCAGUUUCCUCAGUUGCUUAGGCACACCGUGGGGAGGUGGACCAAAGAAAUGAUAGUUGCGCAACCUUUAUUAAUAAAGUAGCAGCGGAUGCGAGAAUUUGAGAAGGCAUUAGAGCUCAAUUUCAUCGACCCUCUUCCGAGACAGAAACUCUUAUUGCACUGAACUUGUCUUCUUUCAUUGGCACGCGAACGGUGGUAUACCGCCUCAAUGAACAAGGGCCCGAUUCCGCCUCGAGAUCUUCCCUUGAGAAAAGAGAUCCUGAUCUAGGUUCUAGCGCUAGUCCCGUAAAAAGAGUUCAUUGCCUUGUUCUUUCUUGUCAAGCAUUUCAUACCCGUCCUUUGGACCAAGUCCUCCUACUACGUCUUAUUCCUUUAAGAAGGUUCCCAGUCGCUUCGCAUGCCAUGCUAAUAUUGAGAAAAGCCUUGUAAACUUCAUAUGGAUAAGUCCAAAAACAAAGGUCCAGAUGAGACGUAGAAGAAAAAUCAAGCUCCAGAUGACAUCACGCAAUAUUCUCAAUCUUCUGAUCGCCAUUCUCUUCUUUCUUUCUUCUUUGCACCUCUGAAUUUCAUGCUCCUCAAAUUCUGAUCGCCAUUCUCUUCUUUCUUCUUUGCGCCGGAGUUAGGCGAAUAUUGCUACUAUUCUUUAUAUAUUGAUUAGACCGCGUAGAAGGUGAAAAGAAUAUUUCAUUGCGCUCCUCUUAAAUAAAAGCCUUUCUAAUCAUCAACACCGAAUAUAGGGGAAGGACUUGUCCUCAAUCAUUGAUUGCUUCAUUCCAUAAUUCUGAUCUUCUUUGAAAUCUCGCCCACAUUUGUAAAUCAUCAAAACCUUUUCUGUCUUCUUGUCUGCAGAUUCAGGGGAGAGCCCUAAAGACGGAUGAGUUCUUAUGAUGGAGAUUGAGGCUUCUUAUAAAACAUCAUUUGACCUUGAUUCUCGUUCAAGGAUUCCCAUUCGAGCAUAAUUGGUCGUAUGAAGAUGGAAGAUUAACUUCUUCCUCUCCUUUAGCUUCGCUUUAGCUCUUUUCUCUUUAAUACCUCUUCUCAUUGCUUAGCUUCUGAAACUGACUCAGACUCAACCGCUACGUGGGCUUCAACGGCUCCUAUCCGAUCCCUCUUCACCCUACCAGAAACUACCUUCUCGUUCAUGAAGUUACCUUCGUCCCACUCUUAAUCUUGAGUUCUAGCUGACUCUGGAAGUCGAGCUGCUUCAUACCUAUCCUUUAGAGCUUCUUCGACCCUCUGAUUCAAGAUAGCCAUCUCUGAUGAUGGGUGUGUGUGGGCCUAGCCUCUGGCGGAUGCCUCUACUGACUCUGAGUUCUAGCUGACUCUUCGCGAGGCUAGUCCUCACCGCGUAGUGGGUUCUCGUUCUACAACUCUUAAGAGCUCCUUCUAGCCUAUCCCUAGGAGUGGGGAACGGACUGAAGAUCUUGUUCGCGGGAUCCUGAGAAUUCCUUUCUCUUUUUUAUACUCCAUUUAGGCUAGUCACUUCUCGUUCUCGAUCCGAUGAGUGGGAGUUUUGUCCCAGAACUAUGAAUUUACGGAUUUCUGAAUCAGUGAGCUCAUCUCUCUCCCGCUACGGUAAAAUAAAGCGGAAAUCUUCUCUGGGUUAAUAUGGGCAAUAUUCUUUGCGCAUCUGGACCCCUUAUAAUUGGGCCAUAGAUCUUUGCGCCUUGUUCUUACUUGUUCAUCCUAAUGUUCAUAAUAAUGGCUUUGCCACAACUCAAGAAAAAAAGGGGUACGAUCCAAGGAUUUCAGUGUGACUACUACCACUUUCCUUUUCUUAUCAUUUUUUGUCUUAAUCAAGACCUGUCCAAAACUUUCAAACUUGGCUAUUUCCUGCACUUGCACUCCGAUCAUUCUGAUCGCCUCAUCAUCAAGAAAGUGCGAAAGAUUAUUUAAGUUGAUAUUCGAAAAUGGCCCACGUAGCGGUAAUCUUGGCUCUUCCAUCGACUCUGCGAAAGUGCUCAAUAGUUCUUGAUCUUAACUUCUCUUCUAAUAAGUGGUGCAAGAAAUUCAUAUAUAAAGACUUCUAAGUCCUAAUUAAUGUCUUAUUCCCGCUCCCUCCUUUGUUGAGCAUAUUUAUUCCUCUUACCGAAGGACUACAAUAUCCCUGUCUUAUGGAACCUUAAAUCACUUUGCGACUGAGGACGGCUCCGCUUUCAUAUGAAUAUGGAUUUCUGAGUGAAUCAAUAUAUAAAGAAUAGUCUAUAUAUUCUUUGCUCCUUACUAAUGGUAAAGGGUAGAUUCAAUAUUCUUUUCACCUCCUACGCUAUAUACUCUGAAGGACCUUUGCAAUAUUCUUUGCGCCUUGUUUAUCCACUAAUAUUCUUGUCUUAGGAAAUAGGUUCUUUGUUCUUAGGGUUAAGAUUCUUUCCUUGGUAUUUUGAUCUGCCCUUGCAGCAGUAACUAGACACCAUUCCCACUCGAGUAAAGGCAAUCAAAAAUCGCAAUAUUCUUGAGAUAAUUCUUUGAUCCUCCGUCCUUAGUCGUUCUUUAUAUCCAUAUUAGCUUAGCUUUCUUUCUUUGCGCUGCGCCUCAGUCGCAAUGACGAAAGGGAUCCAGAUGAGGAGCAAAGAUCAUUGAUAAGGAAGAUUAGAAGGAAGCGGAGAGCCAUCAGAUCUUUCUUCUUCGGUCAGGUGCUUUUCCCGGAGGCCGGCGAUUAGGAGGUUAGUGCCGGUUGUACUUUGUGCAGGACCUGGAUCGGGUACGUGAGUAUGCUUGGGGAGCUGCUUUGCUAGCAUACACGUACCGUGCUUUGUACACUCGAACUCAUGUGGAUAGUAGCUCCACGUUCAGGACUUAUAUGCUUCGUCCCUUUGAUUCAGGUAAUCACGGUCAAAGAAUUCUGCCCCUAGCCCUUGUAUUUUCGAUUCUUCUUGACGGGUCUUGCAAUGGUGGCUCUGGGAGCAUAUCGAUGUUGGGCGUCCUCGUCGAGCAGAGGUUGAUCUGACUUUCUUUCCUCGGAGCCGUACUUGGAGUGUACGGGAGUCUCAGGGCGACAUGCUUCGUCGUCUUCAUUACUUCCGUAAUCAGUUCGAGAUCCUCCGGUCUGUAUAGUAAUCAUAUCAUCGACCGCCUUGAUUUUCUCUUAAGACUCCUUUCUAUUUAGGGCAAUAAGAAGCCGGAAAAUCAAGAAUGUCAUCUUGACUCAAAUUUCAUUGAGCCAGAAAUUCAAUGGUUAAUAUGGAUAGUCCGGAGGCUCAAAGAAUUUGAGGAGCAUGAAAUCAAUGAACAAGGGGCGCAAAGAAUAUUGCGAGACAGGUCCGAAGGACUAUCCAUCAGGUCCAUAUUAACCUGAUUCCACUGAAACUUAUGGGCCUUCUACGCCAUAACAUGAAAGUUCCAUUAUCAGACUCCGCUCUGCUUCAUUUGCGGGUGAGGAUUAGGGUGAUUUUUCAGUUCAUAACAUGUAAAGCAAGGUGAAAAGAAUAUUGACCAACUGCUUCCCCCCUUCGUCGCUUCCGGCUAAGCAUCUUGAGGCGGAGGCGACUAGUCGCUUCUGGCGAAGCUGCGAGUGAAUUAGCAAGUGAAUGAACGAGCCAUGUUCCUAAAAGGACCUCUUUCUUUUAUUCCCUUCCCCUAUCCUUUCCCAUAGGUUGGGCGCUCCCGCUUUACUAAUAGUUUCGAAAUGCUCUUCUUAUUUCUUGAGAGGUGCGAAGCAGCUCGCCUACCCUGAUCGAGCCUACUUAAAUAGCUUACGCUUACCAAGUCUAGUCUACAAAAAGAGGGCUAGAGCAAGCAAGCUUUCCCCCUUUGUUUGUUGUGGGUCGCGCCUCACCGCAGGCACUGAAUGAAUGAAAUGAGUGGAGAUCUUCCUUCCCCCUUCUGAAUUACCAAGAAGUUGCCACUAGUUUAGAAGAAAAUUUCGACCAUCCCACCCAGAGCCUAAACUAAAGAGAAGAGAGUUCAGUCUACAAGAAGCUGGCAGAGCUUUAGCCAUUGGACUACAUCCAGAUACCUAAAUCGUCACCCUUUUUUUGCUUUUCGUUCUUUAGUGGAGACAAAUUCCUUUCGGCGAAGAUACUACUUCAGUCUUCCCUCUCCUCUGAAGUCGACCCUAAGAAUUGAAGGAAGCAAGUGAACCUAUACGAGAGUGAGGAAGAUUCACCAACAACUUCCCACUCCCACGAUUCUUCCCGUUUAGAAGUCCAAAAACAAAGGCGAGAAGACAGGCGCAAAGAAUUUGCGAAAGAAGGCGUCACAGGUCCGAAGGACUAUCCAUUAGGGAAUAUUGCGUGAGGCUCGACUGAAAGGAGAGGCGUUGAGGUGCGGUAUCUAAUCUUUCAGCCUUGCACUCCGUCCUCUUGACUCGUUUUCUCUUCUUAGAUAAAUGCGCUUCGCUUCGCGCCUCCGGUUCAAUGCCCACUCCGCGGUCGAGUCUGAACUUUUUUGAGUUCAUUGAUUAUCUUCCGCUCCGUUUUCUUGAAUCUCAAUGAAAACCCGCGUAGUGCUUUCUUUCCUUAUUCAUUGAUCUAUUUUGAUGCCAAGUUUCACUCGCCUAGUAAACAAAAAAAGCUUUGUAGAGAGACGAGAGAGGUGCAAAGAAUAUUGCGGAGAGAGAUCAUGCCCUUUCUUAUCGUACUGCUGGGACAACCUCUGCCUCAAGUUAGACGGAGAUCGAUCCCUCUCAGAUAAAAAGACCGAAAGAACUAAAGAGAAGAGAGUAGGCCUUGCUCCUCUUUUGAUUGAUGUUACACCCUAAAAGACAUAAAAUAGGAUAAGUUCCAGUUCUCGCAAUAUUCUUUGCGCCUCACAACUAAUGGAUAAAGAAGUCCUUCGGACGGAGGCGCAAUUCAAUAUGCGACUUUGCACCUUGUUCAUUGAGGACCUUUCUUUUUGAAGAAGUUUGAGUCUCAUCUGGAGCUUGAUUUUUCGGAGGGGAUCCAGCUGAAGAAAGAUCUGAGGCUUACGAAAUAAAUGAGAAGACUUUGAAACCGGUAUACCCUGCGACACCCUACUCAAGAGGGUCAAUGAAAGAGGGUGCGGCUUCUUCAACUUCGAAUGCUACGGAUCCAGCUGAAGAAAGAGAUCAUCUAACCUCUCCCGCUCCGCGAAAGAAAGAAGAGGAUAUGAAGAACUUGCACUCCUUUCCAGUCGCUUCCGCCCUAGGCUUGAUCUUGAUGACUUGAUAGUGGAUAGGCAAUUCUUCCAAAUAGUAGGUUCUUCUUCGUCUUCUGACUUGGGAUUUUUUAGGCUUUCUCACGCAACAAUAUCCCUGUUUUCUCGCCUUCGGACCUGUCCUCCGUCCUUAGUCGUUCUUUAUAUCCAUAUUAGCUUAGCUUUCUGCGCCUUCGCUCAAUGUAAUAGCUAUGAGAGGGGUGUGCGCUCCUGAUUCAUGCAUAAGAGUAGAGGCAUCAUCGGGAAUAGAGUUUGGGGUAGAAGAAGAGCAAUGAGGCACUACGCGGUUUGAGCUAUAGGCGGCAUUCAAACUCUCUUUUCUCGGGGAUUGAGGAAAGGGGGACUAGCACUAUCACUAAGAAGAAUAUGAAGUUGGGUUCGGGAGCGGGUUCAGAGUAUUGAGCAGCGGUCCCUCUUAGCCCGAGAAGGGCGAAUCUCACUAAAUAAGGCCAGAAUCAAGGGAAGAGAAAGACUAAGAUGGAUCGAUCGGCCGAUAAAGAUAAAGAGGAAGACUAGUGAAAGAGGAAAUUGUCUGUAUCGUAAGGCAUUGUAUUCAUAGAAUAAGAGUUCGUCCCUUCGUAUUCAAAUAAGAAAGGGCACAUCUCCCACUCCGCGGUAGCAUCCAUUGGACUAGCCCUUUGCUAUCACUUUCUAAGGUGAGGACCUGCUGAGUCCAGCAAGAACGUCAAAGUAUGCUUGGAAGUCGGAAGAAAGGCUAUCAAAAGGGGCAAGCUAGCCGUUGCACACUGGGAGAAAAUAUGACCUGACCCUACCUCCUUCUAAAAGCUCUCACUCAAGGACUAGGAUUGAAGAAGAAGAUCGGCGAGCGCGAAGCCUGACAGCCUUGGAAGAGGAGAAUACGAUUUUGAUUCAAAUCCCAGUAAUUCGAGUUGUUCCAGUAUGGUCGAGCCACUUCUGCCUCUAAUGAAAGAGCUUUGUUGAUCCAAAGAUAUGGCACUCGCGGCCGCUACGGUCGGGUCCGGAUAUCAUCAUGGUUGUUGAAGUUGCUGAGGAAGAAAUGAUAUCCAGAGUUUACGAAAUCUGCUGACCCGACUAAUGAAUGAAACUCUGUCCUGCCUCUGACCAUACUUUUUUCUUGGAAGAUUGGAAAAUCGGACUUGAUCAUGUGAAAAUGAACUCCGGGGAAAGCAUGCAAUUCUUUUACCUUUUUCUUCUUUAGUUUACGAAAGAGAGGCAUUUCUGCCUCACUCCCACUCCGCGGUAGCAAGAGAUAGCAGAAGUAUUCUUAUAUAAAAGCUUAGAUUAUCUUAUCAAAAAUGAAGGAGAAAAUCAAUAAUAGAAGAAUGAAUAUCAUCCCAUUUUAUGGAGAAAUGCUGAACGAAAAAUUCUCUGUGGCCGUAGCUAUCUCACUUAUCUCGUCCGUGAGACCGGCAGUGAGGCAGUCUAAUAGAAGGAUCGGUCAUCUUCGCUAUAGGAAGGAUGCAAACUCAUCAAUCGGCGCCAGGUAAGAUGUUUGGCAGCUCGACUCUGUAGUCUAGGCUUAUUUCUCCAUUUCGUGGGAUAGUCGGCCCACGUAGCGGUAGCAGUAUAAGAUUCAUUCUCCCUUGCAUAAGAGGAAGCGUCAGCGCUUUCAUGAAUAAGUCAGAAGAAUGGGAAGACUUUCAUAAGACAAUCAAUGAACAAGGCUCAAAGAGGUUAAUAUGUCCUUAUCAAUGAGACGGAGGUUCAAUUUCAUAUUCAUGAAUUCAGGCCUAUCCAUUAGAGAAUUUGACUUGCGAUUUUUCUUUUUUUCGAGGCGGAGGUGCAAAGAAUAUUGCGUGGAGGAUAGCUCUGAUUUUGGUUGAGGCGUCUCCUUCACCUAUACCUAUGAUAGCAAUUCCACUAAUAUAUAGGACUUCGGACCACUAAAGGCCUUCUACGCCAUAAAGACCCGGUAAGCAAGUAGUACGUCUUUCCACCAAAUAGGGAGGAGCUCAUCACCAUGGGGCAAGUCCUAUUCUUUUGGAUUUGAGAAAGAAGAACUUGUCAAAGGAAUUGGGCAUUUACGAAGAAAGAGAAGAAAGAAGAGUGGGGCUCCAUAGGAAAAGAGGAGCUUCUGCUUACUUAAAAAAGCUCUUUCAUGAGAUAGACUCCUAGGAUGAAAUAGCGGGCACAAAGGCCCCGGGCACGAGGCACACAGUAAGGAGAGAGGACGGACUCGACCAUAGGUCGAGGGACGAGGCCGACGAACCGCACUAAAGAUCGGGCGCAUAAUUAGCUCUUUCCAAAGUGGCAUUCUAUUGAUAAGAUGUUUCGGCAGAUGAAUGAGUGCAGUUUCCGCUUGGGGUUGGACGCACCCUUAAAUAAUAGAGUGAGUCAGCGAAGAAGGAAGAUCAGAAUCAAGGUCAGACGGAGGCGCGAUAGGGGAAAAAAUUGGCUGAAGAUGAGUGCAAGAGGGGGAAUCAAAGGACUGGAAAGCGGAGUGGGAUUCCUUCUUUAUUAGUGCGAAUGUGAAGUUCAUGAACUUUUGACCCUAGGGUAGAUUCAAGAAAAGACGUCCAAUCACCGCUUUGAUAGUUAUAGAAUUUCUCAAAAAAGUAGAGAUUUACGAACAAAUGGUACAUUUGGAAGCCAAAAAGACGGAGCGGAGCCAAGUUCGAACUAAUAGGAGGAGUCCUUUCUUCUGCUUCUGAUAUGAAGAACUCAAGAAGAAGAUAAGAAAGCUCUUCUUCUCUUUCCCGCUCCGUCCGAAGGCGCAAUGAAAUAUGCGUUGAAGAGUUGCGUUCGAAAGAAAUCCAUGAUUUUUCCUGUGGAUAAAAGAGGUCCGGAGUCAAAUAUUAGUGGAAUGAAUGAGUCCUCCGGUUCAUUCUAGUGGAUAAAAACAAGUCCGGAGGACGGUCUCGCUCCUUCUUUUUGACUCAGCUGGAACUGGAAGUCUAGUUGUCGACUUUCUUCCUUCUCUCUCCGGUCUCGCUCAUCCCUUAGAAUUGGGAUUUGACUCCUUCAUAUCAACAAAGAUAUUUCAUGGCUUUCAGAACCGCUACGUGGGUAGAGCCACUGACUAAAGCUCUAGCUUUUGAGCUAAUUGAAGGAGAACGAGAGAAGGCUACUUCUGCUCUUUCAACUAAAGCGACUGCCUUUAGAAUAGCCGCAAUAUUCUUUGGGCCUCCGUAGCUUAAUAUGGGAAAUCUUGUUGAAGACGACCCCCUCCGCGGUCCCAUAAGACAGGUCCGAAGGACUAUCCAUCAGGGAGGCGCAAAGCAAGCCCACUACACGGGAAGAACUUAUCCACGAUCUUUGCGCCUGGACCUUUCUUUGACAGGUCUCGACCUUUCAUUUCAAGUCUAUAAUUUCUCCUUCUCCGAUCCUCGGUAACCCCAGCCCUUUAAAGUCAAGCCUGCUGAUCGACCGGUCGUCUUCGCCCGAUCUUUCUACUUUCGGACUCUUCCUCUAGCGCCUCUUAGUCUUUCCUUUUGAUCCGACGAGAAGAGUUACCUGUCUGCGUCCCCGCGCCGCGUAGUGGGCAGGGAGACUCUAACUCUUCCGAGACGGAUUCAACUCUCAGUUCCCCCUCUUCCGAUACAGUCUAUGAAGACCCUAACCACCCUAUAAUGAGGAGUUCUCGCUUCGCUGUUCUAGCUUUAGGCUCCAACUCUCCUUACCUCCCUCCGAUCCUUCUGGGGACUCAAAUAACUCGUCGGAGUCAAGCUGAUAACCUCUCCUGUGCCCCCAACCUGAAAGAUAAGAUCCCGAGCCGAGCCUCUUUCUUUGAUAAAGAGAAAAGAGAUCCCUGUCUGAAGGGGACCCUACUAACUUCCUUGUUCCCCACUCCUCUCCCUCCUCUGGGCGAGCUGACUCUUGGGGACUUUCUCGUCUACGAUACGAGUCUAAUCUUGGGACUUUUUCCCCCUAUACUUCAUCCCUUCCUGAGCAAUAUUCUUUGCACCUCCUUCAUUCAAUCUAUGAAUAAUGGCUUUUCAUCUUCGCUAUCUUUCCACUACAGCCCUUGAAAGGGGUACUGCCUCUGAGGAAAAGAAAGAGGAAAUCUGAGCAAUAUUCUUAGCGCCUCUAUUAUAUUCUGGACUAGAACUCUCUCUCUCCUUUGAUUGAAUCUUGGACUCCCGUAGGUCAACUUACUUCGUCCCGCCACCAGGCCUCGGUAAACUCGGUCUCUCUCCUGAAUUCCUCAACUGGUCGAGCCUAAUAAGGGGAGGAGAAUGCUCCUGAAAGUAGAAAGUAGUACGCUCCUUCUAUCCUAUACAGGAAAGCAUAAGGGGUUAGCUCAUACCUAUCUGCGCCAACUGAUCGAUCAUACGAACUCCCGACUCGCUCCUUACCCACCCAGUUUCUAAGUGGUUGACACACCGGAAAGAGCUGGAUUUCCUGCUAGAGCUGCUUUCCCGUCAAGGCUCCAUAAGAAAGGGGGAUAUUGUAGACCGCUUAUUUCAGUUAUUUCACUGCUUUUUUAUCGGCUAUUUAAUCAGACUUUUGAGAAAUCUUCUUUGAGCCUAGCGGAGGGGUCUAUAUAUGAACAGGUUAAUAUGGAUAGGACUGAGGACGGGAUUUCAUCCUUGCACUCCGUCCUCUUGACUCGUUUUCUCUUCUUAGAUAAAUGCGCUUGUCAAUAUUCUUCUCAUAUUCAUUCAUCCUACGCGCGGAUAUUAUUUCCAUUUCCACGCAACGCAAUAUUCAAAGUUUUCAUUCUUUCUUUUUUUUGGAACGCAUAUUUGAGCAAAUCAUAUUAAGCUACGGAGGCGCAAUGAAAUAUGCGAUUGAGAAAUCCAUAUUCAGUCUUAUGGAUCCUAACUACGGAUCCAUGAAAUUUGAUGAACUAGAGAAAAAAUAGAAUAUGUGACCGUCCGAAGGCGCCAUAAGACAGGUCCGAAGGACUAUCCAUUAGGGGAUUUCCGCUUUCUUUUUGUUUGCUGCGACUGAGGCAACGUAGUUGGGGGAUAUUGUUGAGUCUUGAGGGUCAAAGAUGAUGUAUCCUUGAAUGAUCUAUAUUAUUAAUGAAUCCGUAGAAUAGAUACUCAUACAAAUUCAUGAUGUGCCGAGAAAACCAGAUUUGAACUGGUGACACGAGGAUUUUCAGUCCUCUGCUCUACCAACUGAGCUAUCCCGGCCAUUUCCGACAAAUUCUCCUUCUUUUCAUCGAUUUGGUCUAUUUCAUCGAUUUGGUCUAUUAAGAAGAAAGAGAUAAAAGGCGCAAUUCAAUAUGCGUUGCGAAAAAGAAGGACGCAGAUGCGCAAAGAAUAGAAUAUGGAUAGUCCUUCGGACUGGCACAAAAGUCAAGAAAAGCAGAAUUCACUCAUUAACGAUAAUGAAAGAAGCUCAUUAACGAUAAUGAAAGAAGCUCAUUAACGAUAAUGAAAGAAGCUCAUUAACGAUAAUGAAAGAAUCAUUAUGAUUUCAUAACUCGAAUGAAAGAAUCAUUAUGAAUCUGCUAGAUUUCAGAUGAAUCCGCGGAGGGAAAUGCUAGGUUUUGGGCUCGACUGAUAAGGAGAGCUGAAAAGAAAUAGUAGAAAGAAAUCAUGAAAAAUCAGUCAUUUUUGAUCUAUUUUCGUGAAAUAGAAAUAUGAGAAAAAGUCCUAUUUAGAAGCAAAAAAGCCGGGAAAACGCAAUGAAAGAAGAACUCCUAGGAAAGGGAUAAGAAAUUCACAUAGUUUGAUUCUUGUUUGAGUUUCUUUUCCGGAGAAAGAGAGGUCUAUUCUUUAUUUCACUCCAGGUUAUGAAAGAAAAAUGAUGAUUUCAUUCUCGUUAAUGAGCUUCUUUUCUUGACUUUUCACAGGUCCGAAGGACUAUCCAUAUUUUUCUGUCUGUCCGAAAAGAAUAUUGCGAGGACGGAGGACGGGGAAUAGUGAGAAGCGGAUCUUGAAAAAAAGAAGCGGAUAUAGAAAGACUUUAUUUGGCCCUUUUUCGCACUUUUAGGCGCCUCAACGUAUAUUUCAUUUAUAGGAGGAUAGGCUUUCUUUUCUUAUGAGAACUCUGAUGUAGAAAAGAUUCCACUAAUAUGUUCGGGAAUAUUUAUAUAUUUGAUUUUCUUGUCUUCUUUUUCUGACUUUCCUUCCUCCUCUCCUUUCAGUCGAGCCUGAUUUUUCUUUUCUUUCUCCUUUCACCGCCUCAAUGGAUCUGGCUUUCUCCUAUUCAGCCUAGCGAAGCGAUUCUUCUUCUUUAUCUUUUUCAAUACCGAAUAGCGAAGCGAGCGGGAGAGUAAGGAGCGCAAAGAAGACGACUCCGGACUCUUAUCGACUUAUAUCUGAUUAUUUCUUUCCCUUGUUCAUUGAUCUUUCUUCUUAUUUCAUGAGCCGGCUCUCAGAAAUUGAGUCGAUCUUGUGCAAGGUUCUAGAACGAGAUAGAAAAGUGCAAAAUCAGAAGAUAUGAACAUAGGCUUUCUCUUUUCAUUUACUUAUUAACCCCUCUCUCCUUUCUGAGGAUAUGAAGAACUAAGAAAAAGAUAAGAAAGUCAGACCUUGUUCAUUGACUUUCUUCCUUCCUCUUUCUCUCCAACACGAGCCGUCAACUCAUCUGGAGCCUUUGUUUUGCAACAAGAGUCGGUUAUAGAAUAGUCUUUUGGUCAGCUUUCCCGUUCUUUCAGACUUUCUUUCUGGCCGGUAGUCAAUUCCUAGAGAGAGAAGUAGGGAUCUGAAUCUCAUUCAUUCCUUUUUGACCUUGCUUCCGAGACUCCUCCUAUUCUUCUUCGCCGACCGGGAUCCUUCGUCUUCCUUUCUGUCUAAUAUACUUCAUGUAGUUAGGGUUCGCCCGAGCAGACAAGACAGACUUUUCCACCGCUGGCCAAAAGAAAAGACAGAGAGCUAAACUCAAUAUUCUUUGACCUCGUCUAAAAAAAGAAAAGCGCUCAAUUGCGCUACUGCACCAUUCUACAUCCGUUGAACUUCAAACCACCGUCCCGGGCGCAGCCACUUUAAAUAGAAAAGAUUUGUAGUUUCAAGAAAUUAAUAAGGAAAGGCCUACGGCUUAGGCCUCCGCCCAGAGGUGGCUCCGGAUGGAAGCAGCUACGCUGAACUUACUUCAUUACGUAAAAAAGGCGGAAAACUAAAAUGCCAGACUCUCCAUUUACAGAGGUUUAGCGACUAGCUGCCGAGAGAUUCGAAGGAAAGAAAGAUAGUUCCCAUGCAGCACGAUCACAUCAGGAGGUUCAUCCUCAUUUGUCUCAAUCCGGGAGAGGAGAAAGGAAGAACGUCCAGCCCCCGUAGUUAGGAGAAAAGAAUUUGAUAAGGAGUGAAAAGAAUAUUGACAAGACUUCCAGGUGCGAAGGCCUAUCCAUUAGAGAAUUUGACUUUGGAGGAGGAGCAAAGAUCGUGGCCCACGGAGCGGCGCAAAGAAUAUUGCGUGAUCGAUAGCUAUUACUUUUCAGACAAAGAAGGACCUCUUUUAUCCACUGAUUGUAGUAGGCCGAAGGACUUGUUUAUAUCCAUGUAAAUAGUGGUCCGGAGGACUAUUAGAAUGUAGGCCGAAGGACUGAUUAAUGGAACUAACGAAGGACUUCUUUCAGUUCCAUAAUACUCCUAGCGUCAAAUAAGAAGCCUACGCUUUAAUUUAAUGGAUUUCUCAUAUUACAUUGAGCCUUAACAGUCUCGCAUAUUUCAUUGCGCCGGAGUCCGGAGUCCGCAGUCCGCAGGAUUUAUCCGUAGUCCGGAGUCCUACGUCCGCAGGAUUUAUCCGUAGUCCGGAGUCCGGAGGAUUCUUAUCCGUAGGACUAUCCAUUAGAAGUAGGACCAUCCAUAUGGAGGGAAGUAGUCCGGAGGAUUUAUCCGUAGGACCAUCCGUAAUUAACCGAAGUAGGACCAUCCGUAAUUAACCGAAGUAGGACCAUCCGUAAUUAACCGACUGAGGACGGGGAAUCUUGCGUUCGAAAGAAUAUUGGCGACUAUUCUUUAUAUAUUGAUUAGCUGACUGAACUUUCUUUUAGCAAGCUUUCUCGAAAGUUUAGAUCCAAUCCAGAGAGUUCG
rnacentral:lncRNA from 1 species